UCUUCAAGAACGAACUGGUCUCUCUACUUGGUUUUAGGUAUGAAAGUGUACAUGGCUGUGUCUCUUCUGCUUUUAGAUUCAUGCUUAAAUAAAUCAAGUUUGAGAUAAUACGACCAAAGCAAUUGCAAAAUGCCUACAUAUGAAUUUUCCGACGUAUCCAGCCUAGAGAGAUGAUUUUACACUAAUGAACGCCCAUAUUUUGUGUUCUAAAUUCUUCCAAAUGAGAAACUGCUGUCUUCUUGAAAACCUUUCCAUUGAAUCUCUUGGCUGCAAUUGACAGAUCCUUUGCUGAUUCCUCGGCAUUUGCUUUUACAAGAAAAAAGUCUCUCCCGGUCACAAAACUGUAGCUUGAAGUGGACAUCUAAAUGGUAAUCUUGAUAACAAAUCUCAUUUUUUGCUUGACUUCACAUACAGAACCACUUGCACAUGCAGUCUUCCUCCAAGCGAUUAGUGAUGGGGCCUUGGUUAAAGAAUAGCACGAUUUCAAAGCUUGCAAAGGACUAAUGCACCACAUGAGAAGAGGUCGCCUUUAUCAAGAAUCCUUCAAAGAGUAUUAACAACAUGGAGCAAAUGAUAAACGCCAAUUGCAAAUAACUCUGGAAUGCCUUUCCAUACUGACAUAGCUCAUUCUUGCCCAUAUCUCCAACUCGUGGUGUUUGGGGAGUUUCUCCAGGUUUCAUCAAAUGCAGCUUUAAUCUGCAUAAGGAAGAUAACACUGACUAAUUAUAAUUAAAUGAAGAUAUCCAAGAUCAUAGCAUUAGAAUUUACCCCAUGAUAGAUAAGGUAAAAAUGCGUAAACAUUGAUACCAAUCGGAGUUAGACCACAAUGAAUAGAGACUUCAUUAGCUAGCCGAUGAAAAAGAAACCAACAAACUUAAAAGAAGUAAACAUUUAGCAACACUUUCCCUGUUUGUAUUUAGGAACAGAAUUGAAGCUAAAAAAAUUAUGCUGAAAAGGUGAAGUGCCUAAACUACUGAACAGAAAGACGCAUUUGCCACUGGGUUAUUUUGCAAGUUCCAAUUAGCAAACUCAGCAAUGCGGGAUAAUUUGCGAGGAGGUCAAUUUCAACUUUACAAAUCCAAUGCUGCAUACAUCAGAACUGAGCUCAUCAAAUCAGAAAACUAUAUGACAACAUUCAAAGGAUGUAAUCACACCAAUAAACUAAUAGAAAUGGAGGAGCCUAGCAGUGCAUACCUCCCUUUCAGAGCCUCAUCAAUUCCGAAGUGAUAUCAUUAGAAUGCAACAGCGUCGAACAACUGUGCAUCAGGGUAACAUACAAAAAAUCAAUAGCCUAGUAAUUGAUUAAAGGAGAGCUAGAAUCUAAUGAGCAUAAAGAAAGCAUAUUUAAUUGAAAAAAAUACAUUUACGAUCCUUUAGGGAUGUGAUGUUGAGAUCAGAUCAAGUAUUUGAAUAUUCAGAAGCAUCAAAACUUCCUUGGGACACUCCAGUCAGCCCCAAAGUGUCUUUAAGUUUGGCAUGCAAGAUGGUCCUCAAUUGUUGCUGAUGAUUCCUCUGCAAAACCCCUUUUCUUUAUUUUGAUCGAUCUCAAGAUGCAAUUUGAAGUUCCUCAGCCCACUUAGCCACACCCAAAUCAGUCACGUGAUAAAGCAAUUCCAUGACAACAAUAGGAUCAAACGGGAUACAAACUAAUUAGCAAAUUCUUGAGCUCCUCGUGCCAGCUUGUUUCACAGACAGGCAAAAAAUUGUCCUUUAAUGCAAAAGGCCAUCGAUACAGUUGAUUGAAUUGAAGUCCCAAAGGAAGCCUAGAUCGUUAUAUAGACCAACCAAACCUGUCAUAGAAGCAGCACCAAUUUACCUUGCUUAAUAAUCUUUCAAAACAAUAGUUUGCCUACUGGUAAUGUUAAGGUGGUCAACAUUCAUACACGACAAACUAGCCAAAACUACUUUUAACAUUUUUUUUGUCACCAACCAAAAACACUCAAACCAUGAAUUUAAUUUUAGCUCAGUUCACCAUAUAUACUGGGAAGUGAUGCUCUUCUUAGAGGGUUAAUGAGGGCCAUCAAGGGAACAAUAAGAAACUUGACAGGGUUUUCGUUCAUCACAGAAAAUCAGAAGGCAUUCGUCCUAAACAGGACAUCUGCCAUUAGUCAAAUUUGACAUACAAAAGAACUAAAGGAACUCAAAAUGGCCAAGGAUUUUGAAAAGAAAAUAUGAACUUUGGACAUUGGGAAAUUUCGAGUGUAGUAUACAAUAAUACAAUAAUGAGUAGCAGGAGUUCAUUGGCCUCUAGAUGAAAAUUUCAAAUCCCGGGUUUGCUAAUAGGGGAACUGUAAAUCACUAGGUAAUUCUUGUUUACCUUUGUUGAUAUUUUCAUUCUUGUCUCGCAAGCUGCUAUCUGUUUGCAGUCUACAGAAGCUGCCAAUGGAAGGAUAAAUGAAAAACAUUGCUAUAAUGUAAUCAACAACAAUUAUACAAAGGCAAAUCCAGNNNNNNNNNNNNNNNNNNNNNNNNNNNNNNNNNNNNNNNNNNNNNNNNNNNNNNNNNNNNNNNNNNNNNNNNNNNNNNNNNNNNNNNNNNNNNNNNNNNNUCCAAGGACUCCAAAGCUAUAAUUUGAUCCAGUAAUUAAAAUAGGCUAUUGCAAUGCUCAGCACGUAAUCGUUCAGAUGAAUCAAUCUUGAAAGGCCCAAUAUUCUAAUGGAACUGCACUUUUUAAUUGAAAGCUCUUCCAAGUGCGUGAAUCCGCUAAGCCAAAGUGAUGUCAGCUUAUCCCACUCCUCAAAACAGAGUUUCAAUGGUAUUGAGGAAAGCUCGUGGAUGUCUUCGAGUAAAUGGCGUACGCUAAGAUUGAGUUUUCUUAGGUGGAUGAGGCUAAAAAGCUGUGGCAGUGUAAGGCUCUGACAAGUGAUCGACAGAUCUGUUAAGCCCGAAGGAAGCCUUGGCAGUGACCGGAACUCCUUACAGCCGUUUAGUUCAAGGUGUUGGAGAGAAGAAGGAAGCUCUGGCAGCAACCGGAGCUCCUUACAGCCGUUUAGUUCAAGGUGUUGGAGAGAAGAAGGAAGCUCUGGCAGCAACCGGAGCUCCUUACAACCCUUUAGUUCGAGGUGUCGGAGAGAAGAAGGAAGCUCUGGCAGCAACCGGAGCUCCUCACAGCUCCCUAGGUCAAGGCGUUGGAGAGAAGAAAGAUUCCGGACGCUUUCUGGCAGGUCAAAUAUCGGUGUUGCAUAGAGAUUGAGAAUCUCAAGGGAAGGCAAGUCACCGAUUUCACUUGGAAUUGCCCCUUUCAAACUAGUGCACCAGAUCAUUUUUAGAGUCCGCAGAUUUUUCAACCUUCCAAUAGCACUGGGAAGCUUUUCGAUCCCAGAAUGACUCAAGUUCAGAUGUUGCAAAUUCUGUAAAUCCCCAAUUGAGCUAGGGAUUUCUCUCAGUGAACGACAUUCGCGGGCAGUCAGUUUCUCCAACUUCCUCAGAUAACCAAUGGACAUAGGAAUCUUUGUAAAACCAGAAAGAUCUAAUCUAAGUACUUCUAAAUCUUUUAAUUCGCCCACCUCUUCUGGUAGCUCUUUGAGACUUCUACAGUGAUACAAAUCUAAGAAAACGAGGCUCGUGAGUUUGCCAAUAGAAGGGUGGAGAUCUUCUAGUUUGUCACUUCCGAACAAGAUGAGAACCUUCAACUGUGUAAAGCCGAGAGAUCAGGAGUACAUCUUAAAUUUUCGCACCCCGAAAGGCAGAGAACUUUAAGCCGCUUUGAUGCCUAAUACGAAAGAGAUAAACUGUUAAGGAGGAGUUGAUUGGCUAAACAAAAACAAAACCCUAAAAUNNNNNNNNNNNNNNNNNNNNNNNNNNNNNNNNNNNNNNNNNNNNNNNNNNNNNNNNNNNNNNNNNNNNNNNNNNNNNNNNNNNNNNNNNNNNNNNNNNNNUCUUCUCCUAAUCUUACCAUGAACGAACUCCAUCCUUCCCAAUCCUCUGUGAUCUGUUCCCAUGAUGAUAACCACAACACCGAUAAAUUCGGUAGAUGCAAAUUGAUCGGUAGAUAAAACAAAUCGCGACGACUGACCUCAAGCCAUCUCACUGAAGAGAGUUCCAUGGAGUCUUUGCUUGAAGCUGCCCCGAGAAAGUUGUGGAAACAGGGGCGUCUCUGCAAGUUUUUUAACUUUUUAGUUUUCGCCUUUUUAAAUCUUGGAUUCGCACGAUUGAUACCUUUUUAUCCUUCCCCUGUACCUUUUGACGACCUUUCGAAAAUUAAACAAAUGACGUGAAGAUAAAGAAAAAGAUAGUUAUUGCUUUAAAACAACUAAGACAAAUGCACCUCAAUGUUUUAUCCCUUGCUUUUUUCUUUAUCAAAUUUUGUAGCACGUAUAUUUUGACUUUCAUUUAAGAUGAAAUGCAAGAAACCAUUUUACAACGUAUAAAUAUUUACUUGUAAAUUUUCAUAAGACUUCUCCAUCAUUUCUCUAAAGAACGUGUCAAAGAGUGCCAAUGGGCCACUUGUAAGUAGCUAAGGAAGCACCCGGUUUCCAUUUCAUUAGUUAAAUGUAACAAUGUGGAAGAGGAAAAAAGGGGAAUUUUUAAUAUAUUCCGAUAUACAUAAAGAAGAUUACAUGGUGAAAAUCAAAGAAAUCAAAAAUGAUAUGCAUAUCAAAAUGGAUAUUAAAAAUCAAGAGAAAUAUCCUAAAUAUCUCUAAAGAUAUCUAAAUAUCUUUAAACAUCAUUAACUAUUUGUGUGAAGUGUUCACUCAUUUCUUUGAAAAAUGAAACUCAUUUAUUUUUGGUAAAAUAUGUUUAGAAAGUGACGCCGUAACAUUGGUUAGCAGUUUUGACGGAUUGAAAAAAUAAGUCGAUUUCAUAACUAAAACAUGAACCGGUUAACUAAAAAGUGACGUAGUUUUAGUGACGUAAUGACAUUGUUUAAUCAUCAUAUGUCCGUUUCCAUAAGAACGGAAUCGUUCCUUUUUCCAUCUUAUAAAUAAAAAAACAUAUUGUUUAACUUUCCUACUAAAACAUAUCAUUUAAUUAGUUGAAGAUGGUAAAAAAUAAAUUCCCUUAUGGCCUUAAUUGACUUUUAUAAUAAUACCUAAAUUUUCCCCCAAAAGUUUAAUUGGUUAGAAAUUCGCUUUUACGGUUUGACACAUUUGUCGUUGUUUGCUUCAAUAUUAACCAGUGAAAUGCAAUGGGUAUAAGUUCUCUUAAGUCUAUUCGUCAGAGAAGUCGCUAAAUUGUUGUAAUCACCAUCCCAUGCUAUCUUUCAGAAUUUUCGCUUGUACAUCGAUCUAUACUGUGUAUUACAUAAAAAAAUCUACUGUAUGAAAAGGGAAUUUCAAACGUCAAACUCUCCUCAAAAGUUUCCACACAAUUCGUAUAUAUUUCACCAAAAUGAACUAAAGAAUUAGGAUAUAACAAAAUAGACAUAAUCAUAUUUGAAAUAGUCAAGAAAAUUGGAAAUUAAUCCCAUUAUUAUUUCAAUUUCCAAAGUUAAAUCAAAAUCUGUCGAAUUGUACAAUCGUUUAAUUUUUUUUCCGACACUAUUUAUCCUCUUUCAGCAUUUUUGUCCAUUCAAAACAGAAUUGACUUUUCUUUUUCAUUUUUCCAAACACAAGUAUGGUGUGCUCUUUUUGCUAAUGUUAAGAAGUUAUUGGAUCAACAAAAGACUGUGACAUUAAAUCAUAGGAACGAACUAUUUCAAAUUAUAUCAAGAAUAUAAAGCUGCUUUAUUUGCCCAACAUCUCUUGGUCAAUUUCUAGGGUUAAUUCCUCUCCAUUGAUCAGCCGUGAGCCUAUGACGCUUAUCAGAUGGACAAUAUAUAAUAAAAUGACAUGAACAUUAAUAAUUUAAGUAAAAGAUAAAAGAAUCUUAUUGUUUUGAAUUAAUUAUCAGUUAUUGUAAUUGGCACAUACUAUCUUCUUCUUUUUUAACCUAGAAAUCUUCAUUUAUUUGAUUUACGAUGUUUGUACUUCAUCUACAUUCGUUCUUGUAGUCCUUCAGAUUAUCAAUAUUUUCAACUAGAUAUGACAAUGGCAUGCUUUUAGUAAAUGAGUUUUAUAGAGCAAAAUUGUAGUUAAAAGAUCUUAAAUUGAUUGUCAAGCGAAUCUUUACAUAUGUAAUUUAUAUCAAUGAGAUCGAAUCAAAUGGUAUAACUUUUUCAUCCUUUAAAUACUCAUAAUCCAUUUAGCUGUCAGAAAUAAUCUAAGAUGGACAUAAAUGGAUGUUUACAUGGAUCUUUUUUCCUAAUAAGUAAGAGCACCUGUUCAUCCUAGAUGAAAUAUUAGAAUAGAUCAUAUUAAAUAUAUUGAAAUAAGAGGGAAAGAAAAAGAAAGGAGUGCCAUAUUUUACCAGUGCAUUGAUUUUUAGUACUUUUGGGACUCCCUCGUAGUCGUUGUCCCAUGGUCCACUACGUUUCUCAAGCGGUUGUCCUUGGCAAAAAAUGCUCCUUCCAAGAUCUCUUAGUUGAUCAUGCACUAGAAAUUCUCCAUGAUCUCCAAUUUUAAUUAAGCACCUCAACUUCAACUCUUCAAUGCCUUGACUUGGAUAAAGCCCACAAUCCUCCCACAUGUACAUGGCGUAUUUAGUGUAUUCACUCCUUUCGCCAAUAAAGAAACAAACAAUAUCGAGAAAAAUCUGCUUAUGUCCAUCUUCUAAUGCAUCAUAACUUAUUUGCAAUAUUUUUUGGACGUCUCUAUGCGGUUGGCUUUUUAACUGCUUUCGCACAUCUUCCCAUACUUUUCGAUUCGGUUUUUUAUACAAGUAUGAACCUACAACCUUAAGUGCCAAGGGAAGCCCACCCAUGGUGGAUACAAUAUCACGAGAUAGACCCUCAAAGUCCUUUGAAGAAUGGUCCAUAUAAAAUGCAUGUCUAUUAAACAAAAGCAAAGCAUGCUCCUGAUCCAAUUCAUUCAAAUCAUACUUGUGUACAUUGAAUUCAGAUUGAUCAAGAAUGGCUUUAUAUCUGGUUGUAGCAAUAAUAAUACUUCCCGCCAUAAACCAAUUACGUUCUCUAGCCAAAGCAUUUAAUUGAUCCUCGUGAUCUAUAUCAUCCAGAAGAAUGAGAACCUUUUGUCCUCUGAAUCUAGAUUUGAUCCAAUUAAUUCCAUCAUCAACAUUUUCAAAUUCAAGGUUGAUUUGUAGAAUGCCCUUAAUUAGUUGCUUUUGUAAAUGAACAAUAUUGUUGCGGCAAGCUGUUUCUCGAAUAUCUGCAAGGAAGCUACGAUGCACAAAGUCAUUUGACAGCUGGUUAUAGAUUAUCUUGGCAAGAGUCGUUUUUCCAAUCCCACCCAUGCCAUAGAUUCCAAUCAUUUGAGCAUUAGUGGUAGGAGUGUCUGCCCAUUUCAUGAUUCUGUUCACAUGAUCAUCAAUUCCAACUAAGUGCUUAGUAACAUCAAGCUGAAAAUCUUGUCGCAACUUGCUCAGAACAUUUUCGAUAACUUUUUUCACUAAUUCUCCUUCAUGCCUGUCCAACAAAAAAAAACUCAUUGAUAAUUUUGUGAUUAUACAUAAUCUCAUCAAAAGGCACCGACAAACAUGUGAAGAAUGGAUGGGACCAAUUAACAUGCAAGAUGUUUUGGUUUUACAAAUAAAAAUGAGGGAUGAUGGCCAGCGGUCAUUUAAUUGUUUUCUUCUCUCUUUUGCUAGAUGGAUCUUGUUGAAAGAAAAUAAGGCGGUGCACCUGGCUCGUUAAGAGUCUCUAGAAGUGUAAUGUUUGUUACAAGGCCUAAGAUUGCUGCUAGUUAAAUGAUAGGAGGUCAAUUUUGUUUUAAUUAAAGAAGUUUAGGAGAAAAGUAUGUUACUCCACUCUAAGGCCAGGGCAUCUCACAUGCCAAAAUUGAGGACUUAUAGUUGAUUUACAAAUCGCUACCGAUGGGGUCUACUGACAGUAAAAAUCAAACCUAGACAUGGUAAAUGUGAAGUGUCCGGUCCUUUUCACCUGAGCCAACUUCCAUUCGCAUGAGGAGGUCUAUUUUAUCUGGUGGUGAUAAAGCUUUGAAAUACUGAGCACGCGAGUCCUUUCUAAGCGUAUUUUUUGGUGAUUGACACUAUUGGCUGGAGGGGUUGUCAUUUAUUUGAUUUCUGCUCUGUUGAAGACAACUGUAAUUCAUCUGUUUGGCAUGAACAAGAAAAUUUACAGAAUAAUUACUAAAAAAAAUUUGAAUUUAUUAUAAUUGUGUUAAUUUAGUCUUUAAUUUUUGUAUGGCCAAUUUCGUCCUACACAUUUUGAAAAUAUGCUAAUGUGAUCCAUCUAGCCAACUUUGGCUAGAAAUCGCUAACAUGGACACAGGCUGUUCUACAAGGCACUGUCGAUAUCGACAUGAAGUAUUUUUAUAAUUUUUUUAUAAUUUUUUUUCUGAUUUUGUUGAUUUGCUUAUAUUUUUUGUUUAUUCUUUCUUUCUUUUCUUUUUUUCCUUCUUCUUCUACGGUCAUUGGCCAUAGAUGAGGGCUGCCUCGCCAUGAGGGCUGACCUCGCCUGAAUCUGGUCCUUCUAGUGGGUCCUAUAGAGAAUCGGAAGGAGGGACAGACCGAUAGUUUUUCCAACAAGAGAGGGCUGUCGUUGGGUCAGAUGAGGAGGUUCGCCACAGCCAGAACGUGCUGCCGAACUUCGACUGGACGGCACAGGUGGCGCCAGUGGAUGCAACGGAGCAGAGGAACUGUUACUUUGAGGACAAAGACAGAGAUAAAGAAGAGCGAUAUGACGAUGACGGCGGACAAUGGCUCACCCUCAACCACUUCGCUUGCGACAUCCCCAAUUCUUCUUCUUCUUCUUCUAUGACGAUGACGGCGGACAAUGGCUCACCCUCAACCACUUCGCUUGCGACAUCCCCAAUUCAAAAGGACUAGAUUCCAGUGAGGUCGCCCUUGCCAAAUUCGGCGAGGGCAAGCCUCACCAACCCUCGUUUGUGGCCUGUCACCCUCCAUCAAGGAGGCUGUGGCCGGAAGAAGGAAAAAAAAAAUUAAAACUCCUCCUCUCCUCCUCCUCCUCCUCCUCCUUCUUCUUCUUCUUCUUCUUUUUUUGAGAAUUUAGUUUGGGUUGGCCUAGCCUCUUCAAAAGGACUAGAUUCCAGUGAGGUCGCCCUUGCCAAAUUCAGCGAGGGCAAGCCUCACCAACCCUCGUUUGUGGCCUGUCACCCUCCAUCAAGGAGGCUGUGGCCAGAGUGGAAGAAGGAAAAAAAAAAUUAAAAUUUCAGAAAAAAUAAUAAAAAAUUAUAUACGUUAACAAUUUUCAGUUGAUCAACCGGAUGACUAUAUUGGCAAAUUUUCAGAUGGUCUAGGAUUAAUUUGACUGAAUAAAAAUGUUUAGGAUUGUAUUUACACAAUUAUAAUAGAUUUAAGAUUUUUUUGGUAAUUUCUCCAAACACUUACUUAUCAAAAAAGAAAAGUUAAGGUGGAAGCAAAGUACCCGUUAGCAACUUUCUCGGACUCCCAUCCAUGUAAGUAACUCACUUCUUUGAGUGCUUGCUGCCCUUUCUCGAUAUCCUCCUCAUCAAAAUACUUCUUACGUGAAUGGAAAGCCUUCCCAAAACUUCCUUUUAGAUGCCGCACAUCUGAUGGAUCCACUUUAUAAAAGAUGGGCAAAACUAUGUGUGAUGUGCUCUUCGCGUGAUCCAUGAUAUGAAUAAGCUCGCGAAGGCACCAUUUGCUUGAAGCAUAAUUUUUGGAGAUGAUGAGGAUCGAAAUCUUAGACCGAGUGAUGGCAUCAAGAAUCCGUGGACCAAAUUCCUCGCCAAUUGGAAUGCUCUUAUCAUCCCUAAACACGAAAGCCGGUACAAUCCCCACCUUGUCUAGACUGUGAUAGAGGUGAUCGGCGAAUUCCUUGCGGGUAUCUGACCCUCUAAAGCUCAAGAACACAUCAUAAUGAUCAUUACCUUCUCCUGUGGGUGUUGGAGAGAUGAAUGAAGGUGUGGAUGCUCUCUUCUUCUUCUUGAGAAGAUUGAAUGCAAGCAUACAGAAAAGAAUCGUUGCGACAAGCGCCCCGAAAGAACGCCCCAUUACAAAAGGGUGCAUCCCUUCGUUUGUUUCAAUGUGACUCCGUCCAUUGUCCAUGGUGGCAAUCGGCGGAAGUUGGAAAGAAAGAUGCUCUUCUGCUGCAUAAAAAGAUUGAUUACUAGUCUCUAUCAAGUAUGAACAAGUAUGAACAUGAAAUCUUUAACCAAGCAAGAAAAAAUAAACAUGAAAUCUUUAAUUAAUUAGUAUUUGAUUGACUAGGAGCAGUUGCAUGCUUUUAGUCCUUGCGUUAUCUUCUUUUGCACAUCAUCCUUUAGUCAAGUCAAUCUUGCUGGCUUUGGUCUCCUCACGUGUAACGUGUACAUUAAUUUCUUAAUUGGGCUAUAAAAUACUAGAAUCUAUGUACAAGUAUAUCGCAUUCAUUCAAAAUUAUUCGUAGUGGUUUAGUUGUUACUUGGUUAUUGAAAAUAAGAUUUUGAUAAAUCAUUUUUUUGUCAAAGAAUUUGAUAAAUCAUUUAGAAGCUGAUAAUUGAGUAUUGGAAAUGUGGGGAAGACGUGAAGAAAGGACCUAACAGUAAUUAUGAAUGUGAUUUUAAAUUUAAUUAUGCCAUAGAUUUCUCCUCCUGCACAGCACAAAGCCUCCCGUCUCCUUGUUUAUCUUCUCCUCUCGCCGACACAUCCUCUCUUCCCCGCUCUCUCUCCCCUCGUUUUCUCCUUUUCCUUCCUUCUUUUCCUCUCUCUCCUUUCUUUUUCUUCUUGCUUUUCCCUUCUUUCUUUCUUUUCUUCUUUACCUUUUCGACUCUAAUGUCUUUUCCUUUUUUUCUCUAUCAUUUCAAACUCUACUUCACCCAAUAUUAGUACCUUUCCACCAAAUCACUUCUCACUUUUUGACCGUAUUUUACAGUUCACUCUGACAGUCGAAAGUCACCAAGUGAGUGUCUAUGGUCAUGAAUGUAGAGCUCUUAAUCUAUUAAAUUAUAGGAGAAAAGCCACAAAAAAAAAAAAAAACUCCAAAUUUUGCCCAAAGUAAUAAAUUUAUCUCAAACUUUUUUUGGUGACACGAAAAACCUCAAAUUUUGCUAACCGUUACACAUUUACCUCAAUUUUUUUUUAGUAACAAAAAUUAGCAAUAUAUAUGUGAUGAUAAUUUUACAAAAGUCGAGGGAAUUUCACAUGUAUUAUUCUGUAUGCCUUAAAAGGAUGUUAGGCUUUAUGGGAUGAGUAAUAAUCAGAUGUAUUUUAUUAUCUGUGGUAUCAAUUGGAAUAGACCAGAGAAUGAAGGUUGUGCUUACCUCCAGGAGCGAUUCAGAGAUGAAAUAACUGUGACGGAUUUCAGUGUUUGAGAAGAAGUCACCUCGAAGCAGAUCGAGUUGGGUCCGAGUCCCGAAAGGCCGCGCAAUCCCGAGGAUCACCUUCACGCCCCGACCUAGACCGGCUUGGUUUGGAAAGACACGGAGGUAUAUUUGCAGAUCAUCUCAGGUCAGAACGUCGCGAGAAAGGACGAGUAGUGGCUACGAAAUCACCAACUACAGACGGGGAACUUACUGUCUUUUGAUAAAAUCCAGAAACGACCCCCGUGUUCCGCCGAAGAUCCCCCAAAUCCAACAACCCUAAUCACCUCAGCGGAGUCCAUUAUCAGAAAUUAUAGCAAGUGGAACACUAAAAAGUUCGAAACUCGACACGAUUCGAAUUGAUUUUACCUGCUGAUUGGUGCCCGCCGAAAAACCAGUCCUUUGAAGCCGGUGGUUCGGAAGGAGCGACUGCAGGUGCUCUUCGCGACGGCCUCGGGUGUACUGCUCGGUGGAUUCGCGAGAAAGAAGAUCGCUGCUUCCUCCGCCGAUUCAAGCCGAAGUUCUCGCUCUGGUCGUAGAGGCUUCGAUGUGCUUCAGACCUGGAAAUAGAGAGAAUUUAUACGCGGGGGUCGGACAACGCGGUUCCGUGUUGACUCUCUCUGAUGGAAGAUGGUCACGUGCCAUGGUUAGGUGGAGGCACGUGUUUUGGACGCCCAAGCCAAAGUUGGCUUGCAAAAGAGUAUCGGCGGCCCACCGUGGAACAACGGAGAAUCAAAUAGCUGCUGAUUGGCAGGCGAAGGGCGAGGGGCUCGCUGCCCUGACGCACGGCAAGCAGGAGCCGAGAGCCCCGUGAUCAGGCUGCCAGUUCUCACUAGCCAUACCACAUAAGAUACUUUUUAUUCAAAUUAAUAAUUUUCAAUCAAAAUUAUUUAAAUAGACUAUAUUGAGAAAUUAUUAAUAAGUUGAAAAUUAAACAAGUUGAAUUAAAAAAAUUUAUGAUUGAAUUAGUACGAAUAUAAUAAAUUUAGAACUUUUUUGAUAAUUUUUCCUCAUUAAAUCAUACGGAAACCACACUGAAUGAUAAGUUUCUCUAAUCCAAUCCACAAAUGUCUUCCUAGAAAUUUCUUGUAAAUUAAAUUAUUUUAUAAUGAAAGAAGGUCACCUUCCUCCCAUGAAGUUCACGAUGGGUUCUAGAGUUUUCCUCCCAUGUCUCUUUUUAAUUUUAACCUUUUUGGCCAAGACCUCAAAACAAUUCCUUCCUUGAAAUUGCCAAGACUUCUUUUGAUUCUUACCUUUUUGACCAAGAGCUCAAAACAAUUCCUUCCUCGAAAUUGCCAAGACUUCUUUUGAUUCUUACCUUUUUGACCAAGAGCUCAAAACAAUUCCUUCCUCGAAAUUGCCAAGACGACCCCUCUGUAGACUUUCCUUCUUAGUUUUUUUUUGUUAUUUGAUCCAUUGGCCAAGCAAAUCAUAGUGAAAAUUAACCUUUUGAAGAUGGGUGAUACUUUUUGCUUUAUCCUCACCUUUUGACAAUGGCUCUGCUUGGCCACUCAAUUCAAAUUGAAGAUGGGCGAUACUUUUUGCUUUAUCCUCGCCUUUUGCUUUUCCUACCCCAUUAAUUGAAAGAGUACAUACUUUUAUGUUGAAGUCAAGGUGUUCACAAUAGAAAUUAGUUUUCACACGAUGCUAUUUCAAAAUAGCCCCACAAUCAUCUACUUUAAUUGGCAACUUCCGCAAGGUGUUCACAUCGGAAAUUACUUCCCCUCUUACCUCAAAAGAUGAGCCAGAUGUGCUUGGGAUACACACAAUCCCACCAUGGAUUUACGCGUCCUUGUUGAAAAAAUUUACUACUUUAAUCGAUUAACUCUCAUCUUUUGUUAGUUCUCUAUGUAAUAGGAUCGCAUGACCGCAUAAAUCAAAGUGAAGAUGGACAACAUUUUGCUUUCCCUUCCCAUUUAAAUGAAAGCCUCUCACUACUAGAGGCAUUGAAAUGGUAAAAAAUUUACAUUUUAACUCAUAUUUAGUGACUCGGAUCAUAUAUGGAUUAGCUAAAAUUUAAAAAAUAUGCUUUUAUGAAUUCAAAGUAUUUGAUUUAAUAUAUAUUUUAAUGAGUCUGAAUCAUGUCUAUAUUAAUCAAUGAAGAAAAAAUAAAAUUGAUUUUUCCAUUUGCUUUCACGGGACUCCUUCUUAGUUGGCCUCAUGCUCGAGUGUGGUAACCCCAGCAUGUGGAACACAUUGUAUGUGGUGUGACAACUACAUGAGAUUUUUCUUCACUUGCCUAUUGCUUUGACCAACAAUUGAGAGGUACCGUUCCCUACUCGUUACAAACUUCUAGAUCUAGUGGAACUCAAGAGGAACUUAUAUGGAUCCUAUCUUAUUUAGUUCUCCAAACAUGAUCUUUCUCACUAUAUCAAUGAGCUUCAUGUCUAGAUGACAACAUCAAUUUGGGGCAAUUCAGCCAAACCUACUCCAUAUAAUUGUCACAUGAAAUACCGUUUAUUCUACCGCAUCAUUUCUCUCUCUUUCUCUCCGCCAACCCCCCUUCCCUACCACUACCAAUUAAUGUCACCAUCCCAUAAUCACUCCCCUAACCAACACCAAUGAUGCCUUCCACAACUUAUCCCCUAUCUCUAUCCCCUCCCCUGCAAUCUCUUUCUCUCUCUCCCUCCCUCCCCCCCCCCCCAUCCUCUGUCAUGGCUCCACUAAAAAUAAAGGCAUCUUGUUGUAAUGACACUUGACUAGAUCUAGCGUCCCAUUUGAGUCAUUCUGACAUGCAUCAAGCUAUACCCGACAUCCGAUCUCGAUUAAAUCUAAUGUUGAGCCCAACACGCAGUGGGCCAUCAUCAAGGAUUCAUAUCUCAAGAACAAAUAUGUUGUUGCAUUAAUCAAGCACGACGCCAAAUUGAGUCAAUAGGAUAUUUCUCCAUACAUGACAUGCUCAUGUCAGUAUUUCCAUUUUGCAAAAGAAAUCUUUAUCAAGAAAAAGACUUUUUUGGAGAUUCUAUAUCAAUUUUUCUAUGAACCGAGUUAAUUAUCUUUUAAAAAAUUCUCUGGUGAGGGAAAGCAAGCCUAAGUGUUCUGCCAUCUUGCUUGCUUAGUCGCAAAGAAAGUGAUAAGGCAAAAGUCGACAAGACCUACUCAAAAGAAAGGGGGAAAAAGGAAGAGGGACAAAAAGUAAGGCAAAAGUCGACAAGACCUACUCAAAAGAAGGGGGGGGGGGGAAAGGAAGGGGGACAAAAAGUAAGUUAAAAGUCUUUUACCAUCUUGCUUGCUUAGCUGCAAAGAAAAGGAUAAGAUAAAACCCGGCAAAACCUAAGGGGAAGAUUCUAGUGAUUACAAGCAAGUCAAGUCUUCUACCAUCUUGCUUGCUUGGUUGAAUCAACAGAGGAGAGGCCAUUAUUUAUCUUGAAAAUAUUGUAUAAAAUUAAUAAAUAAAUGAUGUGGCAGAAAAUUAUAAGAUAAUAAUUGUACCAAAAUUUGCAUUUUACAAUUGGGUUUCUUAUGGGGUUUGCACGGUUUCUCUUAAGUAUUUUAAUAAAAUCUAGAUGUCCGACAAUGCUUCGUAAAUAUGUUAUAUAUCAAAUUCUUCAAUUUGCAUAUUGUUCUGAUAGCAUACAUGGUAAUGUUAUUCUUCUAUAAUUAUACUAUUUUUCCUUUAAAAUGACAAGAGUAUGCAAUAGGUGUGAUCCUGAUGUUAAUUUAUCAUCAAGUGUUUGAGGAAAGCUGAAAUUUACAUUUGAAAGCUAUAUGUUACUUGAAAAUAUAAAUCAGCAUAGCCAAAAGUAGUUACUUCAUUAAGUUGGUCAAAUUAUCAUCUUUAUUUAAAUUCAUAAAAUUAAUUUUCUUCUCUCCUGCUUGCUUUGCUUAUGCUAAUCGUGAAUUUUUUUUUUAUGAGAUUUACAUUACAUCCAACAUUUUUUUGGUCCAGAUACAAUUCAGCACAUAUGUUAGAUUUAUAGAGUAAUUGCUCCAUAUCAUGAGAAUGCUAUUAAAAGGAGUAACAUGUAAAACUAGUGAGAUUUAUGCCUUUUGCUAGGAACAUACUUGUCGUUUUUUUGGCUUAAUAGAUAAUGGACAGUUAUGAUGAUAUGAAAAAUCUGAUUUUUGCUCGCUCUUAUUAGUCAUAAACCCCGGGAAUCAAAGGUAUUUAGGCACUCUCCAUGGCUUCAUUCGUUUCACAUAAAAUGUUGUGGUUCUAGAAAAUAUUUUCUAGAAAGCCAUUUUUUAAGAAAAUAACAAUAUUUCCUGGUGUUCGCUUGAAACAUGAGAAUGAACUGAAAAAUAUUUUUCGCCAUUCAGUGUGGAAAAUUCAAUUUGAUUUCCUUUUGUGCACUCAUUUUAAUAAUUUUUUAGGGAAAAAACCACCAAAAACCCUAAACUUUGCCAAAAGUGACAAAUUUACCCAAAAUUUUUUUCUGUGACAUGAAAAACCCUGAAGUUUGCUAACCGUGACACAUUUACCCCGAACUUUCAUUUGUGAUACAAAAAAUCCUCAACUUUCAUUUUUGUGACACAUUUACCCUAAAUCAUAAGGAUAUUUUUGUCUUUUUACUUUUAAAAUUUUUUUUUCUUUUUCUUCUUUAUUCCCUCUGCCGGCUCCGGCGGAGGGAGACCAGCGUCCGGCGAGGGCCGCCCUCGCUGGCGUCGGGCGAGGUCGGCCCUCGCCGGCAUCGAGUGAGGGCCUCCCUCGCCAGACCCUCGCCAUAUCUAGCGAGGGCACCCUUGCCCGACACCGGCGAGGGAGGCCCUCGCCCGACGCCGAUGAGGGCCUGCGUCGAGCGAGGGCACCCCUCGCCGGCGUCACCCCAGGCGAGGGCAACCCUCGCCAGGGAGGCCCUCGCCCGACACCAACAAGGGCCACCCUCGCCUGCGUCGGGCGAGGUCACCCCUCGUCCUUGCCAGACGCCGACAAGGGCCACCCUCGCCGGACGCCGACUUCCCUCUGCCGGGGCGGCAGAGAAAAGAAGAAAAAAACAAAAAAUAAAAGAAAUAAAAGAAAAAAACAGAAAGAAUAAGACGAAAAUGCCCUUAAUGGGGUAAAUGUGUCACAGUUUACAAAGUUUGGGGUUUUUCGUGUCGCAAAAAAUAGUUUAGGGUAAAUCUGUCACUUUAGGCAAAGUUUGGGGUUUUUGGUGGUCUUUUCCCAAUUUUUUAUUUUUUAAAAAUUUGAAAUUUUGAUUCUUUUAUUUUUAAAUUUUCUUUUUGCUUUUUUCCUUUUACUUUUACUUUUCUAUUUUUACCUUUUCUAUUUUUUUAUAUUUUUUUUCCUUCUUCUUUGGUCAAUCGCCAACCACAAGAUGAGCCCGAAAAGAAGGAAAAAAAGGAAAAAAAAUGAAAAAUGAAAAAUGAUUAAAAAAUUUCAAAUUUUUUAAAAAAGAAGAAAAGAAAGAAGAAGAGGCUAGCAAGGGUGUGAGAUAAGAUAGAGUAAGUGAGGAAAAUGUUUUCCCUUAUUUUAGAAAAAAAUUUGCUAUUAAUGCAAAAUGUUUUUUUCAACUAGUUCAUUUUCUAUUAAAUGAACCUUGAAAUAUCCGAAAAACUUUUCCUGGAAAUUGUUUUCCGAAUGAAGCCCAAGUGUCUUCCAGAGCAAUAGUAUGAUAAAUGGAACACCAUUGGAUCUUUGACUCUUCUCUCUUUAUUCGAUACUAAUUCAUAUCCUCACCAUGAUUUGGACUAUACAAUGUCAUUGUUGUUCUUGUGUCCAUGUUGGGUACAUUCCUUUGGAGUUGAUUCUUGUAAAAACUAAUUUCACCCUACAGUAAUUAUUUCUAAAUUUCACGCAAACAAGUUGGAUCUAUUUGACUUCCAAAAGCUGGCUAGUAAUGAACAUAGACUUCAAAGGUGCCGUAUAUGUCAGUGGAAUGAGUAAGUCACAAGUUCCACCAUUUCACGUUCUCGAGGUUAUUUUCACCAACUCUAUUAAUGUGCUUGGUGUAGUCUAUUCCCAAUUACAUCUCCAAUUCACCGGUAGACAAUGAAGAUGAAUACCUAGCAAGCCGUGGGGUGUUCUUUGAAGCAAAGACCAUAGAGGUUUGUGGGCACUACUUAAUGAGGCUGCAUUCUUUCUCUGUGGAUGGAUUGUAUUAUAUCGACCGACAUAUGCCACAUGCAUAUUUGAGAGCCAACUCAUCAUUAUCGCCAAUAUGUGCUCCAGUUGGAGCUCCUGACUCAAUCCCAAAGAUUUGUAAUAUGGAACAACAAGCAUUGUGAGCCCCUCCAACUUGAACCUUGAAGCCACAGCAGUGGCUACCAAAAAAAUAAAAAUAAAUAAGAGCGAGGUGUUCUUGUAAUGUUUGAGGAAUUUUGCUCUUAUGGCCACUGCUAUUUCAUUGAAAAAGGUAUCACCCUUCUUAUUCACGAAUUCAAUUGACAUUAGGUGUAAAAAUGGAAUGACUCAAUUGCUUGACCGUUAAUCCAAAUCUUCGGGUCUCAAUCUCAAUAAAUUCUUCGUUUUUCAUGUGAUUUGCAAGUUCAUUCUCUCAUUCCAAGGUACAAGACGUGUAUCAAUGGAACAAAUCCACCAUGGUGUAAAACAAGAGCUUGAAUUAUCAUAUCAGAAAAGCGGAAUGUGAUUGUUUCAAGCAUGUUUCCGCUAUUAGUCAAAUUUGAUGCAUAAUAAAUUAGUCAAAAUUUCUUUAAGGCAAGGAACCCCCCUAAAAAAGAAAAAAACACUAAAUCUGGGCAGAAUAAGAAAGCUUCUGGGCGGAGUAAGCAUUAUACUUGUGAAUUAGCACAAGAACGAAAGCAGCGAAAUGGAAGAUGAAAUUCCAAAACUACCCAUAUGGAAUCUGCAAAUCUAUAUAAAGCUACGACACAACAUUUUGAUUUGAACAAAUUCUCCAUAUUCUUUGCAGCUCAAAGCCACCUAAGGAUUGGCAAGGAUCAAUCUAAUGAUCAACAAUGACAAAAUUUGAAAGGAAAACAGGCUGGAUCCUGUCUAAUUGAUUGUGAUUUUUCUUUGGUAUCGGUCAUUUUCCUCACUAAUAGUAAUCUCACAGUGAAAUAUUAUCUCAUAACUUUUUGAACACGACGUAAUUUUCUUUUUGCAAUCGUAAGCUCCGUAGGUCCUAUAGUUUGUAAUAAUCCAUUAAAAAUUGUAAUCUACCUAAAUUUAUAGUAAAUUUCUUUUCUUAUUAUUAGUAAAUUGUCUAAUGGAACUUAACUUUUGUUUGGUGUACAUAAUCAUCCUCACUGAUAGUAAUUUAUCUGUAAAAUAUCUUUUGUAAUUUUUCUUUAUGGAGGAUGUAAUUUUUGUUUGGACGUCAUAAAUCUUUGGAGUUUGUGCUUUGUAAAAUUUCAUAAAAAUAGUAAUUUAUUUGGUUAAUGGUAAAAAAAAAAAUUAAUGUUUAAUGAAAUAUCUAAGUCGAUAGUAACUUUCUCUACACUUUGUAAUGUUUUGAGACUUAUAUGUUGGUAAUUUUCGUUACUCAUCUUAAUUUUUCUUUUAUCAAAUGAAAGUCUAUUCACAUUUGCAUUCGUAACUUUUCUUUAAUGUCUACGAAUUCAAAUUAUGACCAAAAGUCAAUUUUGUAAAACAAAUUUGAUUAACGAGUUUUUUCCCUUUCUUAUCCAGUGGUCCACGCUGAAUGUGGGACCGGUCUUGUAAAAGGGGAGCUUAGACUUACGGAAUUUCCGUUGCGAUCAGGACGCUUUCAGCACAACAAAAUAGUGUUUUCUUUUUCGCCAAACACAAAAGUAGUGUUAGAAACCUAUCUUUUCAAAUUAUUUGAAACAAAAUAGUGUUUUCUUUUUCGCCAAACACAAAAGUAGUGUUAGAAACCUAUCUUUUCAAAUUAUUUGAAGUUCGUUCUACUGAAAUAUAUAUAGAGGUAAAAGGUACAAAUGUAAAUUAAGAUAAGUAUUACUUUAUUAAUUUUUCCUUUUGCUUAUACACAGCAACAGAUAAAAAGAAAAUAUGAGAUAACUUCUCAGUUCUCAUGGUCUUAUGGAUGCAAGGAGGCCUUUCACCCACGUUACCUCCUACCGAAUUCAAGGACUUAAGCCCAGGAAAGAGGCUCUUUUGGAGAGAAGGAGAAGGCGCGGGGGUUGGUUGGGGGCGAAGAUAGAAUUUCAACAAACUUUGGGCGCGAAAACGGAAUUGGCUCCAAUCUCUCCCAUUCGCCAGCAGUCCCGCCAUAGCUGGCAAGGUUUUUCGAACAAGAGCAACUCGGGGGCGCGCACGCACUCUUGAGAAGGUUGAAAUCCCAUUCCUGACUCGUGCAUGAUCAAUCGAUCGAUCGCUUGAAUUGCUCCGAACAGGUUGAGAUUCCAUGGAGGAUCGGGGCUUGGAGGAGGUGGAGAAAGCUCGGUUGCUGUGCUUGGCUCUCGAGUUUGGCUUCGACGAGCAGUCCGCCAGCUAGUGCUUGGACCGUCUCGUUUCCCUCUGCGGUACCUCGAAUCGUCAUUACCUCGUCGCCCAUUUUUUAUGCUGAUUAGCGUUUGCAGAGGUUGUGUUGGUCCUUCUCGUAGUCUGCUUUUGGUUUGAAUAGAUCGGAGUUGGUUCAGCGAAGUAGUCUUGCUGACGAGCGAAAUGUCCGGUGCUAUUCCAGUUUGAUGUGUUUAGGUUGCUUUGGAUGGUGGCUUUUCUUGGCUAUUCGCCGAAUUGCGUGGUAUCUGGUGAUUAGGGAAUGACGUAAUUGAUUGUGUUGCGGGGAUGAUUUGUGAAUUGAUCAAUUGUGCAUUCCUUAAUAAGGAAAUUUAUUGCGGUUAGGUUGUCAUUUUGACGAUGGCCAUGGAAUAGUCUACCUUUUGGAUUUGAAUGGACUCAAGGAGAUGGUUAAUCCUGUCCCUAGUUCUCUGCGGGUUUUGCGGAGUAGCCUUCUUGACUAGCGAAAUGUCUAAUUUGUUUCUGAACUAACCACAAAUUACAUAUUGUGUAGAUUGUAUUUAUUUGAUCACUUUUUUUUUGUCAUGGAACUUGCAAAAUCAUUUCUCUUUUUUUUGGUUUUCUUAGGGCGACGAAGGUCAAGAGUUUAUCACUGUGGACCACUGUGGUGAUGAUUUUCUAGCAGAACUUGCUGAAACUAUGCAAGACAUUGAGGAUUGGGAUGAUUUGCAAGCUGCAGAAUCAGAAGCUUGUGGAGUUUUGACUGAUAUGUUUGGCCAAGAUACCACUAAUGACGGCGAGUGCAAUGUUGUGCACAAUGUUAACAUUAUAGAGGAUUCUCCACAACUUGAGAAAAAUCAAACAUUUCUUGAGGUGGAUUCCUCUACUGAAAGUGAAGACGAAGAUGAUAUAUUUGGUAGUACUCCGAGCAAUUCGUCCGCUCAACUUCUGACCAGACGAGCUUUAGAAUCCAUGGUUUGCUUCUGAAAACUGUGAAGUUGUCUCACUCCUUUCUGCCCUAACCAGUUUGAAGGGAUUAAGAAAAAAAGAAAAGAAAAGCAUGGUGGCUUGGAUGUUUUUUCCCAUGCCCAAAACUUAUUUGGUUGAUAGUUGUUAAGUCCGUGGCUUAAGUUUUUUAUUCAUGGACCUAGAUUUGUCUUGGGAUUAGCCUGUGUAAUUGCUUGGACCAAAUGCGUGGCUUGAAGAAUGUCUCAGUAUUUUACAGGGUUGCCCGUUCAGUGAAGAAACUAUGGGCACCUGAAGAAGACACAAUAGUUACCGGGCAAAUCCCAUGAGUCUGGUCACAAUGGUCCAGUUGUUUAGGAGGUUUACAAAAAGUUGGCAGAUCUCUGCCUGACCUUUCAUUGUUUUGACAAUAAUUUUGCACCUGUACUUUUAUAUAUUUUUGUUGCUGAGGUAUAUCAGGGUCAACAAGGAAAAUGAGAAGAAUCGAGAACAGAUUGUCUUGGUUUUUGAUCAGGAGAUUAGAGUGUCCCCAGAAAACUCUUGGGAAACACUUUCCACUUGUCUCAUUUGUUUUUGACUGACUAUUGCAAUUGGGGUUUUGGUUAGUGAGAAAUUGAUUUAUUUCUUAUUGUAAUUCUCUCCUAAUCACUGUUAAAAAAACUCAUCCCCUUAAAUUAGUGUGUCACCGUGUAUUCCUCUUCAACUUAUGUCUUUCCUUGAUCAUUUCCAGUUUGCUUGCAAUUCUGCUCAGCAACAAACCUUACGCAGUGUAACUGUACAAAAGCAUUUAGUAAAUUGCUCAUGAGGGCUCUCAUCUGAUCAAACGUAUAAUAGACACUCCUAACUUGCCAGUUACUACCACAGUCUGUAAGAUCUAAAAUGACUUAUAUGAGAACUGUUUGGUCAAUAAAAACAGUUCAUUCUUGUUUUGGAUAUGUAAUAAUACCUAUAUUUCUCAUGUACUUUGAGAGUAUGGUACAUCAUCCGAGCAUUGAACUUAGCAUCCAGCGUCUUUGAUAGGUGUGUUUUGCAAAAUGAAGGCUUGGGAUCUCUUUGUGCAUGAUUUUCAUUUUCCGUCACCACAUGUCAGAAACUAUUUAUGGUGCUGGAGAGGCUUAUUUGUGUUGAAGGACUGUAAGAGCACUGUUACUCAUGGUUCGAUAUCAUCAGUUUCAAGUAAAAGACAUCACUCUCAGAUUUCGACAUGCAAACAUGGAACUCUGAGUGAUGAGGAUUUGCAAGCCUUGGAUGACAUAGAAUUGGCAAACGUUGUAAUAUUCGGAAACAAGGCAUUUUGACCAAUGCAGUAUCAGGCUUGUAAAGCUUCUGUAGCCAAGCAAGAUUGCUUCAUUCUCACGCCCACUGGAGGUGGUAAAGGUUUACGGUAUUAGGUUAGUGAACGUUAACAUUAUUUCAUUUGUGUAACAAUAAAAUGUAGAAGUAUGUGUGGAGGCAGUGUUUAGAGCACAAGCCGUGUGCACUUUGCUGAAUGGUUCCACCAAUUAUAUACUAUACGAGUAGACCUGUAUAUCGAAAUUUAAGUUAUAAAAUGAUCUUGCAAUCUGCUUUGUUAGCACUGUUGAGAAGUUUGUGCUGAAAUACAGGACAUUCUCGUUCUGCCUUCACCCAUCUCUGUCCAUUCUGUAAUUUCUAGAAUUUGAGGUUUGUGCUCUGCUUCUAGGAACUUCUAAUUACUUGCUGGAAACUUUAUCUUGUUUUGGCAUGUAAGUUUUGUUGUCAGUCAUGUUUCAGGUCCAAUUCAAUAGGGUUAUUAAGUCAAAGAGGAAUAAGUUUUCAAAUUACUUGCAUCAAAUACAGAUUGUACAUGUCUAUAUUUCCUAUGUACAUAUGUGCUAUGUCAUCAUCUCAACGAGGGGUGAUCAUUUCCAUAAUUGGUUUGAAAUGGAUAUCCUUUCAUAUAAGAUGGAUCUUGGGAGUAUGCAAAAUAUUGGAUCCACAUAAUCACGAAGGAAGAUAUUAAUCUGAAUUUAUUAAGUUGAAUUAUCCUGAAUUGUUUUCUGUUCAGUCUUGAAGUAGUUCAUAUAUGUUUCUAGCUGAAGUAAUUAUAAGACAAAUGGUGACAACUGGUGCUUUCUGAUCAGCUGAAGGUGAAUAAAAGAGUUAUUCCUCAUCCCUUCAUUUGCUCUUCUGAUGUUUUUACCCUUCAUUUCAGCUGCCAGAAACUCUUAAACCAGGUGUCACAGUUGUUAUAUCUCUCCUACUAUCUCUCAUCCAGGAUCAAAUAAUUACUCUAACCCUCAAGUACGGAAUACCAUCAACUUUCUUGAGCUCUCAGCAAACCGCUGCCCAGACAGCAGCUGUCCUUCAAGAACUAAGGGAAGGUUUAGCUCUCUUCCUACCGAAGCAUAUCCCACUCUAUAACCUUUAUCCCGCCAUAAAAUGGUUUGCUCCAUAUGUUGCAAAGGAUGUACAUUUUCUAUGUAGUUAAUGAAAAGACGCAUGCCUAAGAUGUUUCUCUUAAAAAUAAACUUUAGCAUCUUAGCCUUCCAAGAGAAGUAUAUCAUACCAUACAAUCAUUGUCCCGCCAUAAAAUGUUGGCCUAUGCUCCAUAUGUUGCAAUGGGAUUUCUAUUGGACUUCUAAAACUUUUUUUUUUUUUUUUGGCUUAGUGUUGGGAUUGUCAAGUCAUUAAUCUUCACUGCUUUACCNNNNNNNNNNNNNNNNNNNNNNNNNNNNNNNNNNNNNNNNNNNNNNNNNNNNNNNNNNNNNNNNNNNNNNNNNNNNNNNNNNNNNNNNNNNNNNNNNNNNNNNNNNNNNNNNNNNNNNNNNNNNNNNNNNNNNNNNNNNNNNNNNNNNNNNNNNNNNNNNNNNNNNNNNNNNNNNNNNNNNNNNNNNNNNNNNNNNNNNNNNNNNNNNNNNNNNNNNNNNNNNNNNNNNNNNNNNNNNNNNNNNNNNNNNNNNNNNNNNNNNNNNNNNNNNNNNNNNNNNNNNNNNNNNNNNNNNNNNNNNNNNNNNNNNNNNNNNNNNNNNNNNNNNNNNNNNNNNNNNNNNNNNNNNNNNNNNNNNNNNNNNNNNNNNNNNNNNNNNNNNNNNNNNNNNNNNNNNNNNNNNNNNNNNNNNNNNNNNNNNNNNNNNNNNNNNNNNNNNNNNNNNNNNNNNNNNNNNNNNNNNNNNNNNNNNNNNNNNNNNNNNNNNNNNNNNNNNNNNNNNNNNNNNNNNNNNNNNNNNNNNNNNNNNNNNNNNNNNNNNNNNNNNNNNNNNNNNNNNNNNNNNNNNNNNNNNNNNNNNNNNNNNNNNNNNNNNNNNNNNNNNNNNNNNNNNNNNNNNNNNNNNNNNNNNNNNNNNNNNNNNNNNNNNNNNNNNNNNNNNNNNNNNNNNNNNNNNNNNNNNNNNNNNNNNNNNNNNNNNNNNNNNNNNNNNNNNNNNNNNNNNNNNNNNNNNNNNNNNNNNNNNNNNNNNNNNNNNNNNNNNNNNNNNNNNNNNNNNNNNNNNNNNNNNNNNNNNNNNNNNNNNNNNNNNNNNNNNNNNNNNNNNNNNNNNNNNNNNNNNNNNNNNNNNNNNNNNNNNNNNNNNNNNNNNNNNNNNNNNNNNNNNNNNNNNNNNNNNNNNNNNNNNNNNNNNNNNNNNNNNNNNNNNNNNNNNNNNNNNNNNNNNNNNNNNNNNNNNNNNNNNNNNNNNNNNNNNNNNNNNNNNNNNNNNNNNNNNNNNNNNNNNNNNNNNNNNNNNNNNNNNNNNNNNNNNNNNNNNNNNNNNNNNNNNNNNNNNNNNNNNNNNNNNNNNNNNNNNNNNNNNNNNNNNNNNNNNNNNNNNNNNNNNNNNNNNNNNNNNNNNNNNNNNNNNNNNNNNNNNNNNNNNNNNNNNNNNNNNNNNNNNNNNNNNNNNNNNNNNNNNNNNNNNNNNNNNNNNNNNNNNNNNNNNNNNNNNNNNNNNNNNNNNNNNNNNNNNNNNNNNNNNNNNNNNNNNNNNNNNNNNNNNNNNNNNNNNNNNNNNNNNNNNNNNNNNNNNNNNNNNNNNNNNNNNNNNNNNNNNNNNNNNNNNNNNNNNNNNNNNNNNNNNNNNNNNNNNNNNNNNNNNNNNNNNNNNNNNNNNNNNNNNNNNNNNNNNNNNNNNNNNNNNNNNNNNNNNNNNNNNNNNNNNNNNNNNNNNNNNNNNNNNNNNNNNNNNNNNNNNNNNNNNNNNNNNNNNNNNNNNNNNNNNNNNNNNNNNNNNNNNNNNNNNNNNNNNNNNNNNNNNNNNNNNNNNNNNNNNNNNNNNNNNNNNNNNNNNNNNNNNNNNNNNNNNNNNNNNNNNNNNNNNNNNNNNNNNNNNNNNNNNNNNNNNNNNNNNNNNNNNNNNNNNNNNNNNNNNNNNNNNNNNNNNNNNNNNNNNNNNNNNNNNNNNNNNNNNNNNNNNNNNNNNNNNNNNNNNNNNNNNNNNNNNNNNNNNNNNNNNNNNNNNNNNNNNNNNNNNNNNNNNNNNNNNNNNNNNNNNNNNNNNNNNNNNNNNNNNNNNNNNNNNNNNNNNNNNNNNNNNNNNNNNNNNNNNNNNNNNNNNNNNNNNNNNNNNNNNNNNNNNNNNNNNNNNNNNNNNNNNNNNNNNNNNNNNNNNNNNNNNNNNNNNNNNNNNNNNNNNNNNNNNNNNNNNNNNNNNNNNNNNNNNNNNNNNNNNNNNNNNNNNNNNNNNNNNNNNNNNNNNNNNNNNNNNNNNNNNNNNNNNNNNNNNNNNNNNNNNNNNNNNNNNNNNNNNNNNNNNNNNNNNNNNNNNNNNNNNNNNNNNNNNNNNNNNNNNNNNNNNNNNNNNNNNNNNNNNNNNNNNNNNNNNNNNNNNNNNNNNNNNNNNNNNNNNNNNNNNNNNNNNNNNNNNNNNNNNNNNNNNNNNNNNNNNNNNNNNNNNNNNNNNNNNNNNNNNNNNNNNNNNNNNNNNNNNNNNNNNNNNNNNNNNNNNNNNNNNNNNNNNNNNNNNNNNNNNNNNNNNNNNNNNNNNNNNNCCCAGACCUUCUGUGGAGUUCUAGUAUAACAGAAUGCAAUGUUGAAAUAACUAAUUCUGGAAAUGAUCUAGUUCCUUCUUUUGCGAAAAGUCAGUGGCACAUCAUUAAUCAUAAUAAGCACAAUGCACACAACUAAAUUUAGCUCCACGGAAAUUACUUUCGGAAGCAAUUGAAAGUGUCCAUGUUUGGCACAAUAGUCAGGUCUUUUAAGCUGGUUCUCGUGUCCCUACUUAUUCUUUUAACUUGUAUACCAUGUAUUAACAACUUGAGAUAUAAGGCAAAAGUUCAUGCAUGUGAUCAUUGAUUGUGUUUCUUAUAAGGUCUUUAUUGGACUUGCUCUGCCAGUGCAAUUUCAUGAAAGGAAUGUAUCGCUGUUUUGAGCUUUUCUCCUAUAUUUAAAUGAUUGUAAACGAGUAAAGUUUAUUGAUCAUUACUUUCUCGGUCGUCAUUAUUGCAGUCAAUGGGGACAUGAUUUUCCGUCCAUAUUAUAGGAGACUAGGAUGUCUCAAGCAAAACUUUCCAUACAUCCCGGUGAUGGCCUUAACUGCAACUGUCACUCAGCCAGUUCGUGAGGUAUGAAACUUGCACAUUAUCCUCCAGAUUAUGUUGAAAAAAUCAUUUGGAUCUGAUUGAAAUGUACAUUUAUUGCAGGAUAUCCUAAAAGCUCUCAGGAUCCCCCAUGCUCUUGUUCUCAAGACUUUGACAGACCAAACCUAAAAUAUGAGGUCAUAUCUAAGACCAAGGAACCACUGAAGCAGCUUGGAGAACUGCUAAAGAAUCGUUUUGCUAAUUUGUGUGGCAUAGUGUAUUGCCUCUCAAAGAGUGAAUGCGUUGAUGUUGCAAAUUACUUGAAUGAUAAGUGCGGUAUAAAGACGGUGUACUAUCAUGCUGGAUUAGCAGCCCGUUAAAGAGUAGCUGUCCAAAAGAAAUGGCAUGCUGGAGAGGUCCAAGUUGUAUGUGCAAUCAUUGCUUUUGGAAUGGGAAUAGACAAACCUGAUGUUGUAAGUUGAAAUGGACUCUAAGCCUUUGCCUAUUUUUAGUUGUCAAGCUGACAUGUCGGCAAAUACUCAACUAAUUUACCUUUUUUCUAAUGUUUUAGUUUCGCUGAUCGGUUUAUUAGUGUGCUUGGAAGUAAACUUUGCUGGUUCCAUGGUCCAGUGGCCUGUUAAAUUGUCAUCCUUGGCUAUUGAUUGCAACUGGUGAAUUAUGUGUUUUUUUCAUGUCAAAUUCUUUCUUCCAUGCAUGGCAUUUGUUGUGCUAAAAUCAAGUUAAACUAGGAUAAAGUUCUUUUCUUUACUGUAAAAGUGGCAAAUGAAUCUGAUCUAAUUUGUCCUCCUGUUAUGAUUUUUUUUAUCAUAUUUCGACUUUGAUGGUUCAGUAAAUAUUUUUUAUGGCAUGUGGUCAGCGUUUUGUCAUCCACAACACAAUGUCCCAGUCAAUCGAAAGCUAUUGCCAAGAAUGAGGGAGGGCAGGAAGAGAUAAUCUACCAGCAGUGCGCAUUGCUCUAUAUGCAAAAAAGGACUUCAGCCGGGUUGCGUGCAUGUUAAGGAGUGGUCAAGGAUGUAAAACUAAAAUCUUUAGAAGUGCACUGGCUCAAGCUAGGAAAAUCAGCGAUAUUGGGAACUCAAGGUAAUCCAAUUUGUGUUCUCAACUUCUCUCUGAUGAUCUCAACUAAGGGAUGCUUCUAUUUUGUGUUUACACUUUCCACUUUGUUCUAUUGAUUGUUCUUAGUGUUAGUCUGGCAUUACCCCGUCUGGAUGCUGGAUCAUUAGAUGGGUCUGUUGGCAACAUAUUCACAAAGUAAUGGACCCUUUGGGCCAAAAUCAUAUUCCGCUCACCUAAAUGGAGCAAAGUCUAUUGAUAAACGGGUGUUUCCUCUCCAAUUUGUGAAUUUUCAGGAUAAGUGUCGGUGGCAAACCUUACUUGUGCACUUUGGCGUGUUUGUGAAUCAGAAAGACUGUAAAUAUGGUUCUAAUCCUUGCGACAAUUGUCUCAAGGCCUCUUCAUAAAGGUAAACCUUUCAGGUGUCAACUCUCUUGAUGGACGACACAUACCGACUUACGCAUGAUCUUGAGCCGCACAGUUCUUCUGGUUCCAUCAUCCGCAAUUAUUGGAAGACCACAUGGUAAGGGAGGGGCAAAGGUCCUUAACUAUGGACACGGAAUUCUUCAGUUGUGAUGGUCUUGUCAUCUCGUGUUUGUCUUUUCCUUUCAUCCGUGACAUGUUCCUUGUCUGGAACUAAUUAUUUUCGUAUGGGGAAACAAAAUGUGGGUCGACAUAUAAACCAGAGAGGCAUAUGGGAACACACCCUCCGGUCUUGACUGCAGAAGAAAAAGUUUCUUGUUUUAGUUCAGCAAUGAAUAACAAUGAAAUCCAAUUAUACGAAAGGCAUGUUGCAAUUCUUCUUUCCCGUUUUGAAUUAGUGAUGAAUGCAUAUCAUGACUGCAUCUAAGUUAGUUUACUUGCANNNNNNNNNNNNNNNNNNNNNNNNNNNNNNNNNNNNNNNNNNNNNNNNNNNNNNNNNNNNNNNNNNNNNNNNNNNNNNNNNNNNNNNNNNNNNNNNNNNNUAGUCAUAUUGUAGACUAUAUAUUGUCAUUGCAUGUAUGGAAAUUUCCAAGAACCUUCAAAAUUGGAACCUCUAAAAGGUUGGAUUAUUGACUGUCGAGAAAGGUUCGUACGGUGACUCCAUUUCAAAAGUGGGACCACAACGAAGUCAUUUGGAAUGUGCAUGCAACAUUCAAAAAAAAGGAACAUGGUCUUAGCAGAUAAGCUACCUAACAUGGUCUUAGCAAAGAAGCUACCUAACGAUCCUACGUCAAUUUCGAUUAAAUGUUGAGUAUCACAUUGUCUUGUUCUACCAAGACCGAAAUUGGCUUUGUUUUUGGUCAAUGGAGGGGGUCUACGUUUCAUGCAUGUCAAGUGGCAGUGUUUGUAUGACCAAAAAAAAAGUGGCAGUAUUUGACCCCCAACCCAAGACUAUUAUGUAACAUCGUGUAAGAGGUAAAAUAGGUAAAGAAAAUGAAAAAAAGGAAACACGUGAAUUAUGCUUGAUGUCUUUGAGUACUGUUGUAAUUCAUUUUUUUGGAGACGCGCACUAAAGCCAAACGAUUUGUCUUUUUUGUCUUUUCCCUUUCUUUCCCAGCAAGAGAAAAGAUCGUUUAAGAGAAUUGACGUUAAUAAUCAAUAAACUUUGAUUCAACAUGCGAUAAUAAUUUAUUCAAUGUGAUCUUUAAAUUAUUCUUUAGACUUGUCAAAAGAAUCAUAGACUUAUUUCUUAAUCCAUAUUUGAUGUGAUGAGCUAUUAUAUAAAUUGGCUAUAUUCCAAAAAAUUGGUCAUAAAUGGUUUUAGGGUGGUAAAAACUAAAAUAAUAUGCAUAAAUAGAUUCAUGCUUACUUGAAUUCAUUUCACCUCUAUGACUCUCUUUUUUCUCUCUCGCUCUCAUUAAAUCUCAUGCUCACUUUAUGCUCUCAUCUCAGUUUAAGCAUGAAUUUUCUUAAAUUAGGUUAAAUAUGAAAGUGUUCUAGUCAUAUGGUUAGAUUUGGUAUUAAUUGGUUUAAUUACGAAUCACUAAAUUUGUAUUGCGUUGACAUGUCAAAAUGAGUUAAAUUGAUCAAUUUGAGUCGAACUAUUUUUGACUUAAUCCACCCAUUUGAUGAGUUUACUUUCCUAAGGAAGAAAGUCAUCACAUUUCCCUAAUUUAUUGAUAGUUGGCCUUUACUAUCUUAUCGCCAAGGGAACAGGGUUGAAUCUCCGAAUACUCACGACUUGAGUGGAGGUCCCAAGGGUGGUUUAUUGGGCCAGCCCCCCAAGGGUUUACGUCUAAAUAGAGGCUUGCAGCGAGACCCCACCGAUGUUAUCGAGUAUCAAAGGGUCAUGUGAUCCCCGAAGAGUGAUCUCCGGCGGUCUCUUGGUCAUCAAAAGAAAAUAGCCAUCACAUUUCCCUAAUUUAUUGCCAAAUGUGCAAUCUAGUCACUUAAUUUGUUUUUGUUAUUCUAUCGAAUUGAAAUGUAUCUUCUAGAAAAAAAAUUCACGACAAGGUGAGUAAGUUAUAAGACUCAAUUUUUUUUGUUUAAGUUGGAAUACCAUUUUGUGUAACUCGUUCUAUAAAACAUUAUUAGUUACAAAAUGAUAUGCCAACAAAUUUUUUAGCCCAAAAGAACAUACUCUCUCCUAAAUUGCAACCUACCGAGUAUGCAAAGUAAAAAUAGUAACCGAAAAAUUAAUCCCAUUAGAUUUGGGAAGCAGGAACCUUUCCCCCUGACCCUUUCUGACAGGACAACAAAAAGACACCAACCAGCAAAAAGGAAAUAGCAACUUUUUCUCCAAUUUAAACUGGCUUAAGUCACAAGACUGACACGUGGCGGUCGGACACGGCACCCUGACUCUCUGAAAAAAACAAAUGGAGAAAAUAAAAAAAUAAAAAUAAAAAUCCUUUUUUAAUAGCAAGAUCGCUGUCUCUUCCUCCUCAGAUUUUAAUGCUCAAAAACCAGUCACUCUCUCUCUCUCUCUCUCUUCUUCCUCUUCCUNNNNNNNNNNNNNNNNNNNNNNNNNNNNNNNNNNNNNNNNNNNNNNNNNNNNNNNNNNNNNNNNNNNNNNNNNNNNNNNNNNNNNNNNNNNNNNNNNNNNNNNNNNNNNNNNNNNNNNNNNNNNNNNNNNNNNNNNNNNNNNNNNNNNNNNNNNNNNNNNNNNNNNNNNNNNNNNNNNNNNNNNNNNNNNNNNNNNNNNNNNNNNNNNNNNNNNNNNNNNNNNNNNNNNNNNNNNNNNNNNNNNNNNNNNNNNNNNNNNNNNNNNNNNNNNNNNNNNNNNNNNNNNNNNNNNNNNNNNNNNNNNNNNNNNNNNNNNNNNNNNNNNNNNNNNNNNNNNNNNNNNNNNNNNNNNNNNNNNNNNNNNNNNNNNNNNNNNNNNNNNNNNNNNNNNNNNNNNNNNNNNNNNNNNNNNNNNNNNNNNNNNNNNNNNNNNNNNNNNNNNNNNNNNNNNNNNNNNNNNNNNNNNNNNNNNNNNNNNNNNNNNNNNNNNNNNNNNNNNNNNNNNNNNNNNNNNNNNNNNNNNNNNNNNNNNNNNNNNNNNNNNNNNNNNNNNNNNNNNNNNNNNNNNNNNNNNNNNNNNNNNNNNNNNNNNNNNNNNNNNNNNNNNNNNNNNNNNNNNNNNNNNNNNNNNNNNNNNNNNNNNNNNNNNNNNNNNNNNNNNNNNNNNNNNNNNNNNNNNNNNNNNNNNNNNNNNNNNNNNNNNNNNNNNNNNNNNNNNNNNNNNNNNNNNNNNNNNNNNNNNNNNNNNNNNNNNNNNNNNNNNNNNNNNNNNNNNNNNNNNNNNNNNNNNNNNNNNNNNNNNNNNNNNNNNNNNNNNNNNNNNNNNNNNNNNNNNNNNNNNNNNNNNNNNNNNNNNNNNNNNNNNNNNNNNNNNNNNNNNNNNNAGUCCUGAUAUACCUGGUGCUGGUACGGCCCACAUUAUCUUUUUAUCAAUUUUGUCAGUCACGGCCGCGCAUUGCUAGCAUAUGAAAGUUUUCUGGUGGAGAUGGCUCAUAUAAUGCUAUUAGCAUGCUUUGUUUCUUAUUAUAGAUGGAGUUAAGCAAGGAACAGAUGAUGCAGAGAUUUUGGCGAAGUCAAGGUUUCAGAUGGUGGGAGUUUUUCUGAUACUACUGUUGUCAAAAUAUUUUUUAGUCGUGUAUGAGUUCCAUCUAUUUGACUUGCAUAAUUUAUUGCCUUGUUGUAGAAUGUUAUUGAUGAUUAGCAUUUGCAGAGGUUAUGUCGGUAUUUCUUGUCCACCCCACCACGACGAUGAUGGCCUUGGAAUAGUGUGCACUGGGUUUGAAUAGAUUGGAGUGGAUUUAGUGAAGUAGUAGCCCUACUGACGAGCAAAAUGUCCGCCACCGGUCCAGCUUGAUGUUCUUAGGUUACUUUGGAUGGUGGUUUCUCUUGAUUAUUGGCCCAAUUUGUGUGAUAUCUGGUCACCAGGGAAUGACAUAAUUUCUUGUGCGCGCGAAUAAUAUGUGAAAUUGAUUGAUUGUGCAUUUUUCUAAUUGAGGAGAUUCAUUGCGUUUAGUCUCCAUCCUAAUGAUGGCUGUGGAUUUUACAAACCCAAAUCGCAAUUUUGAUUCCAUUGCCCGUAAUGCUUAACCAGAAACAGAAUUAAUUAAGAAUUAGAUAAGAUUCCAUUUUCGUGUCAUCAUAGAUUUUCAACUCCCAUUUUCAUUCAAUUUAGAUCACCAUGCUUCUAAAUAGGCAUCUAAUUUUCAAAGAAAUUUCAAGGGUGCUCUUAGAUGGUCUGCAUUGAUUAAACUAACUUAGACUUAAUCGAUCGAACAUCACGUUAUUUUCAGGCGAUCUCCUUUACAUUGCUAGGCCUCGUUGACGUCUUAUUCUCAUGGCCAUCGUGUUAGGACGGUAACCUUCUGUUGGCUUAUGGAGUCUUGAUUUAUUCUUCCAGAUAUAAGAGCUUUCAUUUCGUUACCUGCGUGGCUACCUCAGCGAUAUACUCUUCUAGCAAGAUGAAAUUGACAUUUAACUUAUUGUGUUCGGGUAACGUUGACCAUUACAUUGGCGAUUUGGGCAAGUCGAGGUCAACACACGUAGAGUCACAUUGACCAAAUUGGUUGGAUAGUAAGCUCAGAAAUUGCAGGUCGGGAUCUUUUGGACUCGUGGCCUGGCUUCGUGACCGUGCGUGGCUACUUCUGCAGCCACGACGUUUGCAUUUUCAACUUGCAGGAAAAAGGCAUGACGGAAACUUGGCCUUCAAAGUACAGCUCGAGGAAUCACUCUACCUCGCAUUCAUCAAAUUUCAAUCACGCACCGUACCCUCGUGUGCUCAGCGGCAGCCUCAACACGGACUCCACAGGCAAGAUGCUCUCGCUGAGGUCCUGCACAAAGUUUGCUCUCCGCACAAGUCACAAAUGACAUAACCUGCAAUAUUAUAAAACAAAAUUUUCGCUGAUGCUCCGCCCGUGUGUAUUAACCUGAAAACAUGCGCACCGGAUGCAAAUUGUUCUGAUGAUUGAAUUUAGUUCAUGGAGCUGAUUAAAGUUGUUUGAUCCGGUCAUCUCUGCUCUUUUCAGUAAGCUCUUUUCCUAGUAAAUUGAUGCUAAUUGCAAAAUGAGAUGAAUACUUAGUAUUUGGUAGGAUUGACGUUUGGAUCCAUUUCGGGGUUGAUUAUGUUGGUAACAACUUUGUUUUGGCCAAAUGUUGUUUACACCUUAUUUCUGGGGUUCUUAACCUCCCCUAGCUUCUUCAAUUCAUCUAUUCCGAUUCCUCUUCGUUGUACGAUUCAUCAUAUGGCAAAGUGUACUUCCAAAGCUAGAUAAUCCAAAAACACCUUGUGCCGGUGUUAAACAAUCUGAAAGGCUUUCCAUAGUUACAGUUUGAUUUUAGGACAGUUUUCACAUCUCUAGUAUCGUCCCGUCAAGCUUGGAUCUACAAAAAUGCGGAAAACUGAGAAGCCUAAAACGAAUCCUCUUUAAUCCUAUCAAAAUUUUUUUGACACAACGUAAUUUCCUUUUUGUCAUCGUAAUUUCUGUAAGUCCUAUAAUUUGUAAUAUUCUAUUAAAAAUAGCAAUCUGCCUAAGUUUAUAGUAAUUUUUUCCUAAUGGAUCUUAACUUUCCUUUCGGCAUAUGUAAUCAUCGUUACUAAUAGUAUUUAUCCGUAAAAUAUCCUUUAGUAAUUUUUCGUAGGAGGAUGUAAUUUUUGUUUGGAGGGCGUAGAUUCUCUGAAACCUAUGAUUCUUCAUAUUCCUUAAAAACAGUACUUUAUUCACUUAAUGGUAAAUUUCUUUUUUUUUUUUUUUUGUUUAACUUUAGUGAAAUAUUCAAUUUGAUAGUAACUUCCUUUUCACUUCGUAAGUUUUGAGACCUAUAUGUUGAUAAACUUCCAUACUCAUCAUAACUUUUUUUAAUGGAAUAUAAAUUUGAUUAUUUUGCGUCACUUUCAUUUAACGCCUGCAAAGUUAUGACUUUAAUAGAUUUGAUGGACCAAUUUCCCCCCCUUCUUAUCCAGUGGUCCACAUUGAAUGCGGGACCGAUCUUGUAAAAGAGAGUUUUGAUUUGUGGAAUUUUCGUCACAAUGAAGAAGUUCAAUCACGACGAAGUAGUAUUUUUUUCUUUUGCCGAACAGUACAGUAGUGUUGAAACCCUAUUUUUACCAAAUUAUUGGAAGUUUGUUCUACUAAAAUACUUGUCAUAAAUCUAUAAAUUAAGUACGAUACCGCAAGUCCUUGUGCAUGCAAAGAAGCCUUUCCCUAUAUUCAUAUCUAACAAGUUCAAGAAUGAUUCAAACCCAAGAAAAGAAUAAAGUGAAAAGAGGAAGGGCCCCCCACCAAACAGACCCAACUUCCAAGGGCGUCGAAUGAAGCCAGAAAAACUUAUGAGGGGGGCAAAAAUAGAAACUUCGACAAACUUCAGGCCGCGAAAACGGAAUUGUGCAUCAUCGAUCGCGCGAAUCGACCCAAGCAGGUUGAGAUUCCAUGGAGGUAUCGGGGCUUGGAGGAGGUGGAGAAAGCUCGGUUUGCUGAGCUUGGCUCUCGAGUUCGGCUUCAACGAGCAGUCCACCAGCGAGUGCUUGGACCGUCUCGUCUCCCUCUACGGUAACUCCAAUCGUUACUUUGUUGCCCAUCUUUAUUUAUGCUGAUCAGCGUUUGCAGAGAUUGUGUGGGUAUUUCUCGUCCACCACGAUGAUGAUGGCUGUGGAAUAAUCUGCUCUAGGUCUGGAUAGAUCGGAGCAAGUUCAGUGAACUGGUCUUACUGACGGGCAAAAUGUCCGGCACUAUUCCAGUUUGAUGUGUUUAGUUGCUUUGGGCAGUGGUUUUUCUUGCUUAUUGGCCAAAUUGUGCGAUAUCUGGUCAUUAGGGAAUGACAUGGUUGCUCGUGUUGCAUGGAUAGUUUUGCAAAUUGAUUGAUUUCGUGCGUUGCUAAGAAGGAGAUUCAUUGCAGUUAAUCGCUAUUCUGAUGAUGGCCAUAGAAUAGUCUACUUUGGAUUGGAAUGGACCGAAGCUGGUUAAAUUUAGUUCAAUUGAGUGUUAAUCUCAUCCCUGUUUAUUUGUGGGUCUGGUAGAGUGGUCCUAUUGACUGGUGAACUCAAUUCAGAUUACUUAUGGUGUCUUGCAUUAAUAUUAAUUUCAUGUCUUACUGAACUUAGUGCAAAUUAUAUAUUGUAGAUUGUAUUUAUUUGAUCUAUUUUUUUUUUCCAUGGAACUUGCAAUAUCAUCUCUUUCUCCUUUUGGUUUUCUUAAGGGAACAAAGGUCGAGAGUUUAUCACUGUGCAGCAUUGCGGCGUUGACUUCCUAGCGGAACUUGCUGAAACCAUGCAAGAAUCUGAGGAUUGGGAUGAUUUGCAAGCCGCAGAAUCAGAAGCUCAUAGAGUUUUGAAUGAUAUGUUUGGCCAAGUUUAUGGAGUUUCAACGGUGAAUGCAGUGUUAUACAUGAUGUCAAUGUUAUAGAAGAUUCUCCACAACCUGGGAAAGGCCGAACUUUUCUUGAGGUGGAUUCCUUUACUGAUCUUGAAGACCAAGACAAUAUAUUUGGCAGUAAAAUGGGUAGGAAGUCCACAUGCUGUAUUCCUAACCAAAGCAGUGCCCCGAACAAUACAUGCACUCAACUCUAGGCCAAACGAUCUUCAGAAUCCAUGGAAUGCUUCUCCCAUGGACGUAGACUUUACUGCCAAACCACUUAAGUUCAGUGUGUCACUGUUCUUUUCUCUUAUAAUUUAUUCUCUCCUUGAUCAUUUCCAAUUUUUUGUGAUUCUACACAUUAGGGGUGAGCAUGGUCCGGGUUGGUCCGGGUCACCCCCUAACCCUAGGACCAACCCGUACAAUGUCGGUCCUCAAUUUUUAGGACCGAGGACCGACCCUACUGAGCCUGGGACCAAGGACUGGACCGACCCAAUGGGUUCGGUCCGGUUCCAGGGUUAACUCGGGACCGAUUGAUAAUUUAUUUCGUCUUGUUUUUUAUACUCCCUAAAAAAGUAAACCUACAAAUUCAAAUUAUACAUCCAUCGACAAUGCGGCAUUGUACAACUAAACUAUAAAUACCAAUACAAGAUCUCAAAUGAAGCACAAAGUAGAUAUCACUAGUCAAGUUGUGUUUGGAAAGCAAGGGCAAGCUGAGCAUUAGGGUUUCUAAUUAGGGCUUCUUCUUUUUUCCUUUUGAUUUACUCGGCAAUAAGUGAGGCGACCGGCGCGAGUGGCAAGCGCAAGCGUCAAGUGUUGAGUGGGGUGAGCGUCAAUUGGCAAGCGGCAAGCGUUUAGUGAGGCCAGCGGCAAGCGGCGAGCGUUGAGCGAGACUAGCGGCGAGUGGUGAGUGGCGAGCGUUUAGCGAGGCCAGCGACGAUAGCAAAGGGCGAGUGGUGAGUGGCGAGCGGCACGAGCAGCGCGCACAAUCAAAGGUGAGCGGCACGGGCAACCAGAGGCGAGUGGGAUGUUGCUACUUUUGAUUUUGGCAAAUUGAAGAACAAAGAAGACAAAAUGGAAGAGGACGUACUUUAGGGAAGAAAGCCGUGAGGAGAUUUAUGGCAUAAACUUCGCACCAUUUUGGACGUCGCGAGUCCAUGACUAUGAGGAGUCCUUGGUCUUCACGGUGAAGAAUGUACUCUGGAGUCUAGACUAUGGAGGAGGAGGCCGUGAAGACCUUUAUGGCGUAAACUUCACGCCUUUUGGAAUUGGAUGCCGUCUGUCCAUGACUAUGAGCAUGAGGAGUCAACAACUUUAACAUCAUUUUACUUAGGUUUGAAUAUAUAAAAGAAUUAUUUAUAAUAUAAUAUAACAUAAAUUUUACUUAUGUUUGAAUAUAUAAAAGAAUUAUAAAUAAUAUAAUAUAAUAUAAUAUAAUAUAAUAUAAUAUAAUAUAAUAUAAUAUAAUAUACAAGGUUGGUCCAGGGUUGGACCGACCCAAAACUCUUAGGACCGAGGACCAACCCGCACAGUGUUGGUCUUGGAAUUUCAGGACCAAGGACCGACCCAGUCCCCUUGGGAACCGGACCAGGACCGGCAGGGUUGGGCCGGUCCAGGGUCAGUCCAGGGCCGACCCUAAACCGCUCUACACAUAGCAAAGGACCUACACAAUAUACAUGUAUAAAAGCAUUUAGUAAAUUGCUUAUGGGGCAUCUCAUCCAAUCAAAUGUCCAAUAGACACUACUAACUUUUGUCAAUUACUUCCACAAUCUUCAAGAUCCAAAAUGACAUAUUGGAACUCUUUGGUCGAUGAAGAAGUUGAUUUCUGUUUUGGAUGAUGUACAAAAUACAUAUAUUUCUCAAAUACUUGGAGAGUAUAGCAGAUCAUCGAAGUGUGGAACUUAGCAAUCCAGCAUCAUUGAAAGGAAUGUUUUGUGUAAAUGAAUUCUUUGUGUUUAUUUUUCAUUUUCCAUGACAAUCCAUGUUAGAAACUAUUAUGGUGCUGAAGAGGCUUAUUUCUGUUGAAGGAUUGUAAAUAGCAAUGUCACUCAAGGUUCAAUAUCGUCAGUUUCAAAUAAAAGACAUUGCUCUUGGAUUUCAACUUCCAAACAAGGGACUCUGAGUUAUGGGGAAAUACAGGCCUUGGAUGACAUAGAAUUGGCAAAUGUUAUCAUAUUUGGAAACAAGGAUUUUCGACCACUGCAGCAUCAGCCUUGUAAAGCUUCCGUGGCUAGUAAGAUUGCUCUAUUCUCAUGCCUGCUGGAGGUGGCAAAAGUCUAUGUGACAAGGUUAGUGAAUGUUAACAUUGUCUCAGCUAUGUAAGGAUUGUAUAUAGAAGAAAGUGGAGACAGUGUUUAAAGCACAAGCCUUGUGCACUUUGCUCAAUGGUUUCACCAACUAAAUGUAAAAGGGUAACAUGAUCUUCUAAUCUGCUUUGUUUAGCACUGUUGAGACGGUUGUGAACUUAAGUAAGAAAGUUUUUUUUAAAAUGAAAAUCAAGCGAUAGGAAGUGAUUCAGGUACACAACCACAGGUUCCAAUGUAUGGCAUCAGACAAAAUUAGAAAAGAAGGAAAUACAAUACAUUCUCGUUCUGCCUUCGCACAUCUCUAUCUGAUCUACAAUUUCUAGAAUUUAAAGUUUGUACUAUGCUUAUAGGACCUUCUAAUCACUUACUGGAAAAUUCAUCUUGUUUAUGCAUGUAAGUGUUGUUGUCAUUCAUAAUUUUGGUCCUAUUCAAAUGGGUUACUAAGUCAAAAGGGAAUAAGUUUUCGAAGUACUUCCACCAAAUAUGGUUCUAGAUUUCUAUAUUUCCUCGCAAUUAUUGGCUAUGCCAUUAUUUCACAAGGGGUAAUGAUCUAUGACUUCUUUUCCCACAAUUGUUUUGAAAGGGUAUGUAUUUUAAUAUACAAUGGACCUUGGUAGCAUGCAAAAUAUUUGAUUUACUGAAUUAAGGACGAAGAUAUUAUUAUGGAUUUAUUAAGUUGAAUUUUUUAGAAGUAUUUUCUGUUCAGUCUUGAAGAAGUUGAUAUAUAUUUCUAGCUGAAAGUUAUUAUAAGACAAGUAGUGACUACUGGUCCUUCUUGAUCAGUUGAUGGUGAAAGAAAUAAUAAUUCCCUUCUCCCUUCUUUACUUCAUGUGCUCUUCUGAUGUCUGUACCCUUCGUUUCGGCUGCCAGCGACUCAUAAACCAGGCAUCAUAGUCGUUAUAUCUCCCUUGCUAUCUCUCAUCCAAGAUCAUAUAAUUACUCUAACCCUCAAGUACAGAAUACCAUCUACUUUCAAUUAACUGCUGCCUAAGCGGCAGCUAUCCUCCAAGAUCUAAGGCAAGGUUUAAUCUCCACUUCUACUUUGCCUGCCUUUUCAGAAAAGACAAACCAUCAUGCACGCUAUUGUAUGUAACUCCUGAAAGGAUUGUGGGAAACCCAUCAUUUCUCGAAAUAUUGAAAGGUAUUGCUUUUGAUGCACCGUGACUUUCUCGAAAAGUCUCCUUAUAAUUUUUUUUAUAUUCGACCAUCAUGCAUUGUAGGCACAACUAGCCGGUUUUGUUGUUGAUGAGGCACAUUGCGUGAGGUAUGCGUAAUCUUUGGCAUGCCUCCUAAAUGAAGAAAGGUCAUGCUAGAGUUACUUCAAAAGGAAUAAUUAUUUUUUAUGUUGCUACUGCAAAACUAUUGUCCUUGUUCCUGAUAAAUAUAAGCAAGUUAACUUUUAUAUAUGCUAGCUUAAACCCUUUUUCGAAACUUUUUUGCAUUUUCAGUGUUUCUAGCCUAAUUAAAUUGUCAGUGUUACAUCAGACCUUUUGAAGCCCAGACCCCUCUGAAGUUCUAAUAUAACAGAAUGCAGUGUUCCUUGUUUGACUUUGGAAAGAUCUAGGUUCGUCAUUUGGAACAUUUAGUGCACAUCAUCAUCAUAUGAGUAAGAGCAUGCAANNNNNNNNNNNNNNNNNNNNNNNNNNNNNNNNNNNNNNNNNNNNNNNNNNNNNNNNNNNNNNNNNNNNNNNNNNNNNNNNNNNNNNNNNNNNNNNNNNNNNNNNNNNNNNNNNNNNNNNNNNNNNNNNNNNNNNNNNNNNNNNNNNNNNNNNNNNNNNNNNNNNNNNNNNNNNNNNNNNNNNNNNNNNNNNNNNNNNNNNNNNNNNNNNNNNNNNNNNNNNNNNNNNNNNNNNNNNNNNNNNNNNNNNNNNNNNNNNNNNNNNNNNNNNNNNNNNNNNNNNNNNNNNNNUGACUGAUUAAUGAGUAAGGCUCAUUGAUUGUCACGCUCGUGGUUGUCAUUGUUGUAGUCAAUGGGGACAUGAUUUUCAUCCAGAUUAUAGGGAACUGGGAUGUCUCGAGCAAAACUUUUCGUAUGUGCUAGUGAUGGCCUUAACUGCAACUGCCACUCAGCCAGUUCAUGAGGUAUGAAGUUGCCCAUUAACCUUCAGAUUAUGUUGAAAUGAUCAUUUGGGACUAAUUGAAAUGUGCAUCCAUUGCAGAAUAUCCUCAAAGCUCUCAGGAUCCCCCAUGCUCUUCUUCUUGAGACAAGCUUUUGCAGACCAAAUCUAAAAUAUGAGGUCAUAGCUAUGGGGCCUCUCAUCCAAUCAAAUGUCCAAUGGACACUCAUAACUUUUACCAAUUUCUUCCACAAUCUUCAAGACCCAAAAUGAGAUAUUAGAACUCUUUAGUCAAUAAAGAUGUUGAUUUCAGUUUUUGAUGAUGUACAAAUACCUAUUUUCUCAAAUACUUUGAGAGUAUUGGAAAUCAUUAAAGUGUUGAACUUAGCAAUCUAGUGUCAUUGAUGGGAAUGUUUUGAGUAAAUGAAGGCUUGUAAUUUUUUUGUGCACAAUUUUCAUUUUCCACGACAAUUCAGGUCAGAAGCUAUUAUGGUGCUGAAGGGGCUUAUUCCUGUUGAAGGACUGUAGGAGCACUAUCACUUAAGGUUCAAUAUGGUCAGUUUUGUCAGUUUCAAAUAAAAGACAUUGCUCUUGGAUUUCGACUUCCAACCACAGGACUCUUAAGUUAUGAGGAAUUGCAAGCCUUGGAUGACAUAGAAUUGACAAAUGUUGUCAUAUUUGGAAAUAAGGCAUUUCGACCAAUGCAGCAUCAGGCUUGUAACGCUUCUGUAGCCAAGUUAGAUUACUUUAUUCUUAUGCCCAUCGGAGGUGGUAAACGUUUACAUUACUAGGUUAGUGCAUGUUAACAUUGUCUCGGCUGUAUAAUAAUUGUAUGUAGAAGAAAGUGGAGACAAUGUUUAGAGCACAACGGCCGUGCGCUUUGCUCAAUGGUUCCACCGACUAAAUGUAAAAGGGUGGACCUACAUGUCAAAAUUUAAGCUUUAACAUGAUCUUCUAAUCUGCUUUGUAUAGCACUAUUAAGAAGGUUGUGAACUUGAGGAAGAAAAUGUUUUUCAAAUGAAUAUUAACCGAUAGGAAGUGAUUUUGGUACAUAACCAUCAGUUCCAAUGUAUGGCAUUGGAGAAAAUUUGAAAAGAAGAAAAUAUAGGACGUUCUCGUUUUGCCAACACAAAUCUCUAUCUAUUUUGUAAUUUCUAGAAUUUAAAAAUUGUGCUAUGCUUCUAGGAUUUUCUAAUCACUUAUUGGAAAAUUGAUCUUGUUUAUGCAUAUAAUUGUCAUGCUUAGCUCAAUCUCACGCUCUGACUUGGAUUUUGAGCAUGAGUUUUCUUAGAUUAGGUUAAAAUAAAAGUAUUGUAGUAAUAUGAGUCAAAUCAGAUAUGAGUUGGGUAGUGGUUGUAUUGGGGAUGGAUCAUUAGAUAUAUAUUGUAUGGGAAUGGGUUGAAACAGGAUCUAUUUGAGUUAGACUAUUUUCGAUUCAAUUCGAUCCAACGUAAGAGUUAGCAAAUUUGGGAGUAAAUUCACAUUAGCAGAUCAUCAAGCUAUUAUUUCAUGCAAGCUGUUAUUUCAUGCGAAGAAUCACAAACGCUUUCUAAGCAUAUACCACCACUAUAUAUAGAGAAAAAGGCAAAAGGAAGAAAGAAAGCUAUGGCAUGCCAUUUUAAUUAGAACAACCUUACUCUUUGCAACCCAAGGCCACCUAAAGAUUGGCGGAAUCAUUUGAACAGUCAACGACGAUCACAUGAGAGGUAAACGGACNNNNNNNNNNNNNNNNNNNNNNNNNNNNNNNNNNNNNNNNNNNNNNNNNNNNNNNNNNNNNNNNNNNNNNNNNNNNNNNNNNNNNNNNNNNNNNNNNNNNGUUUGCAAGGUAGCCUUCACACCAAACGAACCCAAGGGCGUGUCAAAUGAAACCAGAAAAAAACUUAGAAGAUAGGGCAAAAAUAGAACUUAAACAAACUUCAGGGGCGAAAACGGAAUUGUCAAAGAUAGAACUGAAAAAUACGGCUCCAGCCUCUGCCAUUCUCCGGCGUAUAAAAAUGGAAAACGAAAAACAUCAAUCCCGCCAUCGCUGACAAGGUUCUCGAACGAGAGCACAUCGAGUACGCUCGAAUUCGAUUCGAGAAUACGGAUCGAUUCGAUUCUGACUCGGGCAUCAUCGAUCGUGCGAAUCGCUUCGAACGGGUUGAGAUUCCAUGGGAGGAGCGGGCCUCGGAGGAGGAGAAAGCUUGGGUUGCUAAGCUGGGCUCUCGAGUUCGGCUUCGACGAGCAGUCCACCAACAGGUGCUCGGACCGUCUCGUUUUCCUCUACGGUAACUCGAAUCGUUAUCUCGUAGCGCGUUUUUAUGUUAAUUAGCGUUUGCGGAGAUGAUGGAGGUAGCUCUCGUCCACACGAUGAUGAUGGCGGUAGAAUAGUCUUGCUCUAAUUGCUCGUGUUGCGCGGAUAAUUUGUGCAUUUGAUCGAACGUGCGUAUUCCUAAUUAAGGAGAUUCAUUGCGGUUAGUCUAUGUUGUGAUGAUGGCUAUGGAAUAGUAAGUCUACUUUGGAUUUGAAUGGGACCGGAGUUUAGUUCAUUGAGCGUUAAUCUCAUCCCCUGUUUCUUUGUGGGUUUGGCGGAGUAGUCCUAUUGACAAGUGGACUGUCUGACUUAUUUCUGAACUCACUGCAAAUUGCUUAUGGGUUUCUUGCAAUAAUACUAAUAUCGUGUCUCACUAAACUAAAUGCAGAUGGGUCUUGCAAAAUUAUCUCUUUCUACUUUUGGUUCUCUUAAGGUGACGAAGGUCAAGAGUUUAUCACUGUGGCAAUGUCUCCCUAGCAUAACUUGUUGGAACCAUGCAAGACUCUGAGGAUUGGGAUGAUUUGCAAGCUGUGGAAUCAGAAAGCUUGUGGAGUUUUGACUGAGAUGUUUGGCCAAUAUUCCGUAAUGAUGGUGAAUGCAAUGUUAAACAAGAUGUCGAUAUUAUAGAAGAUUCUCCACAACCUGUGAAAAAUCAAACUUUCCUUGAGGUGGAUUCCUCUACUGACAGUGAAGACAAAGAUGAUGUUUUGGGCAGUAAAACGGGUAAGAAAUCCGCAUGCUAUGUUCCUGACCAAAGCAGAACUCUCAAAUUCUGGCCAGAUGAUCUUUAGAAUCCAUGGUAUGCUUCUUCCAUGGACAUAGACAAUACAGCCAAACCACUUAAAUCAGUGUUUCACCGUUCUUUUCUCUUAUAAUUUUUUUCUUUGCUUGAUUGUUUCCAAUUUUCUUGUGAUUCUGCAUGCAGCACAGGACCUACACAAUGUACAUGGCCGAAAGCAUUUAGUAAAUUGCUUAUGGGGCCUCUCAUCCAAUGAAAUGUCCAAUAGACAGUCAUAACUUUUGCCAAUUGCUUCCACACUCUUCAAGAUCCCAAAUGACAUUAGAAUGCUUUGGUCAAUAAAGAAGUUGAUUUCACUUUUGGAUGAUGUACAAAUACCUAUAUUUCUCAAAUACAUUGAGAGUAUAGCAGAUCAUCAAAGUGUGGAUUAGCAAUCCAGCAUCAUUGAAAGGAAUGUUUUGCGUAAACGAAAGCUUGUGAUUUAUGCUGAGUGUUGUGACUGUCAAAUUAUUAAUCUCCACUUCUGCCUCGCCUGCCUUUUCAGAAAACAUAAACCAUCAUGCAAGCUAUUGUGUGUAACUCCUGAAAGGAUUGUGGGAAAUCCAUCAUUUCUUGAGAUAUUGACAUAGAAAGGCAUUGUUUCUGAUAAGCUACUGCUGCAAGCACCGGUCAUUAGAAGGCAUCAUAACUUCUAAAAGGUUCUUUGUAAAUAUUUUAUAUUUGACCAUCAUGCAUUGCAGGCACUACUAGAUGAGGCGCAUUGCGUGAGGUAUGUGUAAUCUUUGGCAUACCAUGGGACAUGAAGAAAGAUCAUGGUAGAAUCACUUCAGAAGGAAUAAUUAUUUGUGAUGUCACUGCAAAACUGUUGUCCUUGUUCCGGAUAAAUAUAAGCAAGUUAACUUUUAUAUAUGCCAACUUAAACUCUUUUUCCAAACUCUUCUGCAUUUUUCUGUGUUUCUCAGUGUUACACUAGACCUCCUGAUGCCCAGAACCCUGUGAAGUUCUAGUAUAACAGAAUUCAGUGUUCCAUGAUAUAUGAAAAGAUUUAGGUUCCGUCGUUUGGGAACACUUAGCAGCAGAUCGUUCAUUAUAUUGAGUAAAGAGGACACAACUUAAAUAAGCUCCAAUGAAAAUUACUUCCUAGACUAAUUGGAACCGGCAUAAGCUUGGAUAAGGAACCAAUCUCCUCUCUAUGUUUGGCAUGAUACUCAGUCUCUUAGGUGGUUCUUGUGUUUCCAUUUAUUCUAUUAAUGCUUAUACUUAAUGUUAACAACUUGAGAAAGGCCAAGGUUCAACCAUGUGAUCAUUGAUUGUGUUUCAUACAAGGUCUUAAAUGGAUUUGCUCUGCCAGUUUGAUCUCACGAAAGGAACGUACUGCUGGUUUGAGCUUUUCUUGUACAUUUGACUGGUUAACGUUGAAAGCUCAUUGGUUGUCACUUUCGUGGUUGUCAUUAUUGUAGUCUAUGGGGACAUUUCGUUCAGAUUAUAAGGGACCGGCAUGUCUCAAGCAGAACUUUCCGUAUGUCCCAGUGAUGGCUUUAACUGCAACUACCACUCAGUCAGCUCGUUAGGUACUAGAAUUACAUAAUCGCCUAAUUAUGUUGAAAUAAUCUGUCUAUUCUGAUUAAAUUAUACAUCCAUUACAGGAUAUCCUAAAAGCUGUUGGGGUUCCCCACGCUCUUGUUCUUGAGACAAGCUUUGACAGACUAAAUCUAAAAUAUGAGGUCAUAGCUAAGACCAAGGAACCACUGAAGCGGCAUGGAGAGCUGCUAAAGAAUCGUUUUGCUAAUUUUUGUGGCAUGGUGUAUGGCCUUUUGAGGAGUGAAUGUGUUGAUGUUAUAAAAUACUUGAAUGAGAAGUGCCAUAUAAAGACGGUGUACAAUCAUGUUGGAUUAGUAGCCCGUAAAAGAGUAGCUAUUAUAAAAAAAUUGGUAUACUGGAGUGGUCCAAAUUGUAUGUGCUACCAUUGCCUUUGAGAUGGGAAUAGAUAAACCUGAUGCUGGAAGUUGAAAUGGACUUUGGCUUUCCUUAAAUCUUACAUUUUAGGAGUGGAUAAAACUUGCGUGGUGGAAUGGCCCAGAGAAGCAGAGGAAGAGGAGGCUUGCCAUAUACAAAGCUUUAUUUGGUCGAGGGCAAGUUCAAGGUUUGUAUCAAACGAGGGUUCCGAUGGUUGAAGCGCACAUGCUUGAACAUCGUGCGUCAAUUUUAAUAUGUAGAAAUUACAGAAUAUCAUGCUCAUCGUCAUCAGGAGAGAAAAGGGUGGGAUCAGUCAAGAGGAAACAGAGAGAUUUCUUUGUUUAUUGGGUUUUCAUCUUUAUAUGCAUCUAAUGGUAAUUAAGUAUUCAGAAGAGUGCCACAAUGUUUAAUCUUUCCGAUAUUACAUUUGUUUGAAUCAUUGUUUCAUUCAUUGAUCUCCAGCAUUCAAAACAUAGGAAAAUGAGACGACUCAUAUUUGAUAUUCAUAUAUAUUUAUAUUUGCCGAAAGUUUUUUCUUUUCUCUGAAUUUCCUUACUUUUGAUUUAUCUGCAACAUGAUUAUGCAUUCGUUGCAUUCCCAUGCAAAGUAAAAAUUGUCUAACCUACUAAUUUAUUCUCUUUUCAGUAAGCUAUUUACUCAAAAAACAUGAUGCUGAUUGCAUAUAGAGAGAUGCUUUCAUUGUAGAGUUGACGUUUAGAACUUUUUUUUAGGCUAAUGCUGCUUAAGCCUNNNNNNNNNNNNNNNNNNNNNNNNNNNNNNNNNNNNNNNNNNNNNNNNNNNNNNNNNNNNNNNNNNNNNNNNNNNNNNNNNNNNNNNNNNNNNNNNNNNNNNNNNNNNNNNNNNNNNNNNNNNNNNNNNNNNNNNNNNNNNNNNNNNNNNNNNNNNNNNNNNNNNNNNNNNNNNNNNNNNNNNNNNNNNNNNNNNNNNNNNNNNNNNNNNNNNNNNNNNNNNNNNNNNNNNNNNNNNNNNNNNNNNNNNNNNNNNNNNNNNNNNNNNNNNNNNNUAAUAAGACGUCAAUGUUAAUAUGGGAUGGAACUAUCAUAAACAAGCUCAUACCAAAUUGUUAGCAUGUAACCAAAGUAGAAGAGAAAAAGGGGAAAGACCCGUGAACAGCACCAAAUGGUUCAAUCAGUUUAACACAUUCAUCUAAUCAUUUGGUCGACUCAUGUUCCAACUUCAAAUCAAUUUGAUCGAUAAGGUCGUGACUAAUGUUGUAUAAGUAGUCAAACACAAAGCCAUUACCCUUUGAAUUAAAUGCCUAGGCACUCUGGUUGAGCAAUUAAAUAAUAAAUUAUAUAGUCAAUAAUUUACUUUAUUUGUGAAUCUUCUUGUGUUAUUUUUAAUUAAUAUUCUGAAAAUUAGAUUAUUUCAUGUCUGGUAUGUUUAACUAGUGUUUUGACUCUUGAACAUGACCUGCAUUUUAUAUGUGUUAGUACUUAAAGAUUCAAACUUAGCUUAACAAGUUACUCGGCCUUGUCUUCAGCUCCGGAAAGUAUUGACUCAAAGUUCAGCGGAAAAUGAGCGAAUCAGACUCUAUGAUGUGAGUAGCUUUUAACUACUAAAGUUCCACCAUUGUAAAGUAGUACAAUAAAGAGGAACAUCUAAGAGUGGCUCCAAAGAAAUUGCUUCGAUUGAAACUUGAAUGCAUAACCUAUGACCACAAUUUGGUGUAGUAUAGUCCGAGUACUAAGCAAUUAGAUGACCCCUUUAGUGUUUCUGUCCAAACCAAAUGAGUAUAAAUAUUGGGAGGGGCCACUUUCACCCUUCCAGAGAUUAUUCUUGACAUUUUUAUCCAUCUUCAACUGUAGCCAACACCAAAGAAAAUUUGAUUCCAGGUAUGGAAAUUGUACGGCUGUGUAUACUCUGCUUUAUAGAUUCAUGCUUAAAGGAAUCAAGUUUGAGAUUAUACACUUACAAGUGAUUGCAAAAUGCCAAUACAUGAACUUCCCAAGUCCGAGAGAUGAUUGUACAUUGACAAACACUUUUAUUUUGUGCUCAAAAUUCUUCCAAAUGAGAAAUUACUGUCUUUUGAGAAUUUUUCCGCUGAAAAUCUUGCCUGCAAUUGAUAGAUUAUUUGCUGAUUCCAUGACAUUUGCUUUUUCCAUGAAGAAGUCUCUCACAUUGACAAAAUCGUAGCUUGAAGUGGAUAUCUAAAUAGUAAUCUUUUUGAUAAACCUCCCUUCAUGCUUAACUUCACGUACAGAACCACCUGCACAUAUGCGGUUUUCUUGCAAGCAUUUUGAAAUUCGGUGUUUGCUAAAUAAUAGCAUGAUUUCAAAGCUUGCAAAGGACAACUACACAUUAUAAGAGGUCCCUUUAUAUUAUGAAUCAUAAGAAAAAUAUGAACAACAUGGAGCACAUUAUAAGCACCAACGGCGAAGAACUUUGGAACGCCUUUCCAUAACGUCUCAUGACAUAUCUCAUUCCUGCCCACAUCUCCUUCCUGUGAUGUUUGCGGAUGCUAUCUGAAUUUUAUGAAAUAAGAGUUGAAUCUACACAAGAAGGAUAGGAUUUACUAAUUAUCAAUGAAUGAAGAUAACUAAGAUCGGAGCAUCACAAUAUACACCAUGAAAGAUAAGGUGCAAAUGCACAAAGCAUCAUUUGCCCCAAUUGCAGUUGGACAGCAAUGAACAAAAACCUCAUCAGCUGGCCAAUGAAAAAGAAAACAACAGGCUUUGGAGACGAAAGCAACUAGCAACACUUUCCUUGUUAGUAAAAUUAUGCUGAGAAGAUGAGGUGCUCAGACUGCAGAACAGAAAGAUGAAUUUGUUACAUGGUUAUUUCGCAAUAUCUCAUUAACAAAAUCAGCGGUGUAAUAAAAUUUGCUAGGAGGUGAAUUUCAACUUUACAAAGUCGACAUUGCAUGAGAACUGAGCUUAUCAAAUUGAAAAAAAAAAAAUCAGAAUCCUAUAUGACAACAUUCAAUGGAUAGUAUCGCAUUGAUAAACUGAUAGAAAUGGAGGAGAUUUUCCUCAUGCAUACUUGAUUUUCAGGUGAAAUUCCAUAGCUCAUAUAGUAUAAGCACACAGGUUAUUUUUUCAUUGUUAUGGUAUGACUAGUAGUGCAUACCUCCCUCUGCAGAGCCUCACUAAGUUCAGGUGUGAUUACAUUAGAAUGCAAUGGCAUCAAACACCUCUGCAUCAGGAUGACAUACAAAAGAAUCAGCCAGCUACGCAUUUGAUUGACAGAGAGGUUGAACCUCGAGUGCAUACAAAAAGCAGACUCAACUGGAAAUACAACAUUUAAAUCAUUCAAGCAUGUGCUGUUGAGAUCAGAUGAAGUGUGUUGGAUCCUCACAAGCAUCAAAACUUCCUAAACACACUCCAGUUGGUCCAUGAGCCUCUUCAAUGUUGGCACAAAAGAUGGUCCUCAGCUGUUGCUGGUGCUUCCUUUGCAAAAUAUAUCUUCUUCAUUUUGAUCAGUCUUUGGCAUGGAAUUUGAAGUUCCUCAGCCAAGUUAGCCAAACUCAGAUUAAUCAUGUGAUAAAACGAUUCCAUGACAACAAUAGGAUCAGAUGGGAUGCAGACUCAUUAGCAAGUUCUUGAGCUCCUUGCCCCCGCUUGUUUCACAGAAAGGGCAAAAAAUUUGUCCCGAUUAUGCAAAAGAUCAUCGAUAAAGCUCAUCAAAUUGAAGUCACAAAGUAAGCCUUGAUCAUCCUAUAGACCAACCAGACCUGUCGUAGAAGCAGUACCAAUUUACCUUGCUUGAUAAUCUUUCAAAAUAAUAAUUUGAUUGCAGGUUAAGAAUAGGCAGUCUAGAAUCAUACAUGAAAGACUAGCCAAAAAUACUCUUCAUUUUAUUUAUUUAUUUAUUUAUUUAUUUAUCACCAACCAGAAAUACUUGAACUUUGAUUUUUAUUUUAGCUCAGUUCUUUAUACUUACUGAAAUUGAUACUUAUCUAGAAGGUUCAAGAGGAAAAUCAAGGGAACAAUAAGAAACCCGACAGGGUUCAUUACAGAAAAUCGAAAUGUGUUUAUCCCCAAUGGGGUAUCUGUCAUUAGUCAAAUUUGACACAUAGAAGAACUCAUAAAGGAACUCUAAAUGGCCAAGGAUUUUUUCAAAGAAAAUAUGAAUUUUGAACAUAGGGAAAAUGGAUACUUGACAUAGUUUACAAUAUUGAGAACCAGAAGAUCAUCGGCCUCUAGAUGAAAAAUUCAAAUCCCAAGUUUACAGAGAGGGAAACUGUUAAUCACUAGGUGAUUCUUGUCUAACUAUGUUGAUAUUCAUUCUUGCCUCACAAAUCACUAAUCUGUUUGCAGUCUACAAAAGCUGCCAAUGGAAGGAUAAAUGAAAAACAUUGCUAUAACCUAUUCAACAGCAAGUAUAUGUUGGCAAAUCCAAAGUCUCCAAAAUCAAUCAAAUAGAUACUCGGUGCGGAGCAAAUCAUUCUUAAAAAAUAUAGCUUCAAGAAAAGUGUUACUCCAUUCUCUCACGCUGGCCAUUCAAGGAUGGAGAAUCUUACUAGAUAACCAGUGCCUUCUAUUGACAUUAGGGUCUAUAUUAUGAUCUUGGCCAAAGCAUCAUGUCAGCUUCUAUGACCAACUACCCUUGCUCCUUCAAUUAUGUAAUACUGGCAAUUUAGGGAAGUCAGAACCCUGUGAUGGAAAACCUUCUUGUCAAAAGAAGAUAGUGAUGAAAAGUAGGUCAGAAUAUUAGAAGAAAAAUGAUAGCUUACUGCUUAUUUACCUCUGCUAAGGAAACAUGACUUGUCUCACUGUUGUAAUACAGGUAUAAGAUUCAUCACAUCAUUAUCACUGUAGUAUAAUAUUUCAACAGAGAGAUCGAAAUAGAUCUCUUCAUAAUUUCCAGUGACGCAUGUUCUAGAUAAUUUCAGUAGCAUUUCCAAUGAGUUGCAACCCUGAACAUCCAAAAGAUCUAAAUCCAUCUUUUCAAGUCCCUGAAGCUAAGUAAGUUUCUCUCAGUCUUUAAUUACUAGAGAUUGUAAUUUCUCACAUCCCGUCAAACUUGGCAAAGUCUCCAUUGUCAUGCAUCUUGUAAUAUCCAAUUUUUCUAAGAACUACACACCGUCAAAACCUCAAUUUUCGACUAGAUUGUUGCACCUGAUGGCCUAAAAUUACUCCAAACACCAUGAUUUUGGACAGAGAAGCCUUUUAAUGGAAUUGCAGUCAUGUAUAAAUAUGCCCUCCAAGAACUCCAAAUCAUCAUGGGUCUGAAUUUCAACUAGGUUAUCGCAAUGCUUGGUGCAUAAUCAUUUUAGAUGGAUUAAUUGUGAAAGGGCCAAUCUUUCAAUCAAACUGCACUUUUAUUUAUUUAUUUAUUUAUCAAAACUCUUCCAAGUAAUUGAAUUUGUCAAGCUUAACCAAUAUCAGCUUAUCACACUCCUCAAUACAAAAUUUCAAGGGUCUUGAGGAAAUCUCAUGGAUGUCUUCAGCUAGAUGGCAUGCCUUAAAAUGGAGUUUUUCUAGGUGAAUUAGGCUAGAAAGCUGUGGCAACCUGGGACUCUGACAAGAGAUCAAUAGAUAUGUCAAGCUUGAAGGAAGCUCUGGCAGCAACCAGAGCUUGUCAUAGCCCAUUAGGCUAAGGCAUUGGAGAGAAGAAACAUUCCGAAUGCUUUCUAGCAGGGUAGAUAUUGGCGCACAAGUGAUAUAGAGAAUCUUGAGUGAAGACAAGUCACCGAUUUCACUUGGAAUUGCUUUUUCAGACAAGGCACGAUAGGAGACUUAUAGUGUGCGGAUUUUUCAACGUUCCAAUAGCACUAGGAAGCUUUUCAAUCCCAGGAUCACUAAUGUCCAAAUGUUGCAUAUUCAGCAAAUCUCAAAUUAAGCUAGGGAUUUCUUUGAGUGACUCACAACAGCAGGAGCUCAAUUUCUCCAGCUUCAUCAGAGAACUGAUAGACAUAGGAAUCUCAGUAAUAUCAGCAAAAUCUAACAUAAGUUCUUCUAACUUGACAGAUUCACCUCUUUUCAGUUCUAACUCAUGUAACAAGCUGCUCUUGGUCCAGUCCGUUGCCACAUUCUUCAUCCAAUUUCAACUUGGUGAACCAACCAAACACUGAGACACACGUUCUCCCAUCCCGUUUUGAUCUUAUCUUCUUUGCUUUCCCCUCCUCCUCUGCAAUAAACACACUAAGUUAUAGCUACUACCAAUAGCUUCCUUCCUUUCCAAACAACUCAAAUAGCCAUUUUCACGUGAACCACCGAUUCUUUCUUUGUCAUUUAACACCACAUUCAAAGAGAAACCUCAAAUCAAGACGGUGUCAAAUAAUCAAUGCCACUAGCUUUUAUUGCAGGAAGAACUCAAAAGAAUAAUAGAAAAAAAUCUUUUUUCUACAUCAAUUCUCAUUCAAGAAAUAGAGCCCACAUAAACUCCAUCCACACUAGAGACUCAAACAAACUUUUGAUAGAGAAUUGCAUAAAACAACUCUAUACUUCACUUCAGAACCCAAUGCUUGAUCAGACUGCAGACUGACAUAAGUGUACAGAACAAAUCCAUAGAGAGAGAGAGAGAGAGAGAGAGAGGGAGACCNNNNNNNNNNNNNNNNNNNNNNNNNNNNNNNNNNNNNNNNNNNNNNNNNNNNNNNNNNNNNNNNNNNNNNNNNNNNNNNNNNNNNNNNNNNNNNNNNNNNNNNNNNNNNNNNNNNNNNNAACUAGUCUCUCUACUUGAUUUUAGGUAUGAAAAUGUACAUGGCUGUGUCUCUUUUGCUUUUAGAUUCAUGCUUAAACAAAUCAAGUUUGAGAUUAUACUGCCAAAGUGAUUGCAAAAUGCCUACAUAUGAAUAUUCCGACAUAACCAGACCAGAGAGAUGAUUUUACACUAAUGAAUGCCAUUCUUUUGUGUUCAAAAUUCUUCCCAAUGGGAAACUCCUGUCUUCUUGGAAAGCUGUUCAUUGAAACUCUUGACUGCAAUUGACAGAUUAUUUGCCGAUUCCUCGGCAUUUGCUUUUUCCACGAAAGAAGUCCCUCCCAGUCACAAAACUGUAGCUUAAAGUGGACAUCUAAAUGGUAAUCUUGUCAGCAACUCUCAUUUUAAGCUUGACUCCACAUAUAGAACCAUCUACACAUGCGGUCUUCCUCCAAGUGAUUUAUGAUGCAGCCGUUGCUACCUCCAAGCGAUUUGUGAUGCAGCCUUUGCUAAAGAGUAGCACAAUUUCAAAGCUUGCGAAGGACUAAUACACCACAUGAGAAGAGGUCGCCUUAUAUCAAGAAUCCUUUGAAGAGUAAUAACAACACAGAGCCAAUGACAAACACCAAUAGCAAAAAACUCCAAAAUGCCUUUCUAUACUGACAUAGCUCAUUCUUGCCCGUAUCUCCAACCCAUGGUGUCUGGGGACUUUCUCCAAGUUUCAUCAAAUGCAGCUUUAGUGUCACGCCCCGAUCCUCAGGCACGCACACAUCCCUUACCUUGGUCGAUUUAUAGCGACGUCCCAGGAUGCAUCGCCGACCCUUUUAUAUAUUAAGCACAUGCGGAAGCAGUUAUAAAUCCCCAGACAAUAAAAUAAUGGGAUAGGAAAGUAGGCCAUAUUUUUCAUAUUGAAAUUUACAUGCCACACUUUCAUUAACAGCACAACUCAUAGUAUAUUUACAAUACUAUUUACAACAUAAAAGUCUCACACCUAUCUACACUAAGACAGGGUUCACAAAAGGGAUGUGAUCUCAAUCCAUAUCUGGGUUAUAUUCAAGAUCCCUCUCUGGAUCAUCUUCUACUUCAAAAUACUUUCUCCCCUUCAGGUUCUUCCUCCUCAGCUUUUCCUCAGGGUCCUGAAAUGGUUAUUCAAUAACCAAUGAGACCACGUCUCAGCGAGUCCUACCCCCUACGACUCGAUUAGUAAACUAAUACGCCAUACGGUUGCCUAAGCACAACACGAGUCAGAGGACUUACCUUAGCCUCAGUUCCAACCUGCAAUUCAAGGUUAAACACAGAUAUUCAAACAAUUCACGACAUACGAUCAAGCACUGGUCAAUCGACUAAGUCGAUUACAUGUCAGCCAGACCCUUUCUAGGUCAUUCCCACUCAUACCACGAAUUCCCAGUGGUGUACUCAUUCACCAAAUCACAUGUUUCUCGGGCGUCGUUUUCGCCAAUGACAUACCGAUCACCGACACCGUGCGUUCUUUAAGGCGCCGUUUUCACCAGUGAUAACCUUGAUCACCGAACCACGUGUCCUUUCAAGGGCGCCGUUUUCGCCAAGGUGACAUCGGCUAUAGACAACAUCGUGCGUUCUUUAAGGCGCCGUUUUCACCAGUGAUAUUCCCAUAACCACCGAACCACGUGUGUCUAUAAGUCAUUUACGUGCGUUCUUUAAGGCGCCGUUUUCGCCAGUGAUACUUCCCAUCACCGAACCACGUAUGUCCAAUAACAUCGUACCUGAUUGGUCUCAGCCAAUAACAUUCUCAGUUGGCUCUCACCGUUCUCCCUACUAUAUAGCCCAUCAACGUACUGGCGCUAUAUACCCAUACUUGGCCAUUACCAAUCAAAUAUUCAAUAACAAACAAUUUAGGACAAUUCCUAAAAUUCCACAAUAAAUUCAAUUCCACACAACGUAGAGCUCAAAUAAAUAAACGGUCUGCACCACGAAAAUCGGCACGAAAUUCCGGUCACCGGCCAUCCCGGUUGAAUUUCCGGAAAAAUAAUUAAUUAAAUAAAUAAAUUUCGAAAAUAAAUAAAUAAACAUUAAAAAUCCAAUUUAGGCCUAUAUUGCCUUAUUGGAGCCCGAAACGGGUCGGGAAAAAUCCCGAGAUACAUUCAAUAAAUAACCAAACAUUUCUACUUGCUAAUAGCUAGGUCUAACCACCUAACAUGCAUCCUCAAGUCACUAAUUUAAUUGUUCUAACCUAAUCUAACCACCUAAUUGCACUUAAUUAAAUCUAACCAACCUUAAGCAUAAUUAGCAAACUAAUAAAGCAUUAGUGAGUAAAACUCACUUGAUUAACGAUUUGAUCGGAUCAAAUCGACGAGCACGCGACAAGGGUCAAUCCCGACCAAAGCGGGUCCGCCAACCGAGAUCAAAUUGGGGCCGAAAUCGGUCUACAAGCUCGCUGCUCGAGCUGGGCUAAGUCCACUGAUUCGGUGGGCCUGACUUCAAUUGAUUUGCUGGAAAAAUGGCCUCAAAAACUGGGCUACAAACAGGUUAGGCUUGCUGGGCUGAUAGUGCUGAAGAUGGGUCGAGCUCCACGCGGGCUGAACUGUUGGAUUGGGCCGCUGAAAAAUCUGAGUGGGCUCGCUGUGGCUGGUCCACGAGCAAAAGAAAUGGACGCUGGCCUCACGGACUGGGCCAAAGACACGUGAGCGAAGGAAGCAGCGGCUUGCGGCGUCGAGCUGGGGAGGACCACGCGGAAACGCUGAACUGCUGCUUCGGUUGCUUCGAGCUUCACUGGCAAGGGAACUUCGUCCGAUGCUGAGUUAAUUUCGUUGCCUUCAACGCUGCUUCGGUUAACUGGGAUGUGGCAGAGACGGAGGGAGCAGCUGCUGGCCGAAGAUGGAAGACACGCGGAUUGAAGCCCGCUCGGUGGUCAACAAAACAGGAGGUCAGCAAAGUGAUGCUGGCGUAGAGAAUUUACUGGUAGAGGGGAAGCGGUGGAGGGAUUUCGGUUGGGUCUUCGAUGGAGGAACGUGGGGUAGCAAUUCGGUAGAGAGAGAUGCGAAGAAAUUGAGGGAGGCUUCGCUGGAGAACCCGCUGGUUUGACUCGGGGAAGAUGAGCUGCAGACAAGUGGUGGCUUCGGUGGGGAUGAGGCAUGCGUGAGUGCGGCCAUGGUAGAGGAGAAGAGGAAUCAUGGGGCUGCUUCUGCGGGUUUGCUUCCGUCCAAGCAAAUUAAAGAAAGCAGAAGACGUGAGGGAGAGAUAUUUGUUUCUUGGAUAAGUGCAAGCUUGGUCAAAGAUAAAAAGGUGAGGUUGAAUUUCUGCAGGGGGAAAGCUGUCGGUGGGCAGCUAAGAGAGAGAGAGAAAACUAAAAGAAGAACGUGCGGGUGGGGAAGUUCGCACGCGGAGAGAGAGGAAAAGAGAUCUGUGCGGCUGAGGGAGAAAUGGAGGCGUGCGUGUGAGGGGCGUGGGUUCAAGGAAAUAUAAGGAUAAAACAAAAUCACAAAUACAAUUCUUGAUCCAUUUCAAAACCACCGUGUCAAUUGGUCACUCUAGGAUCAAUUUCUCAGCCGACUUAAACAUUCGAAAUCCAAUUUAAGACGGUUCUUUAACCCCGCAAAUUUUCUUCAAAACCGACUUCCAUUUCAUUUUUCUCGGAAUCCGAUUUUCUGAACAAAUAAAUUCGAUUGAGGUCCAAUUUGAAAUCAGAAAAAGCCCGAACAACUUCCAUUCACCGAUUCACUUACACCAGAUGUCAAAAGUCUCUUCGAAUUGACCAAUCUGAAUUUCUGCUCGUUCUCCGAAUCGUCCGUCCCGAUUUCCCCGAAAAAUCCCGAACUCUCCAGAAUUUCCUCAAAAGGUGAGCCGACGUUCCUUGAAUGACUCAUGACACGACAGGACUUCCAAUUUCUGAAAUCGAAUUCAAAUUCGCGGUUAUUUUCAAUCAAACGUGUUUUUAGUGUGACCUUACCUACCGGGUAGCUUCUAGGACUUUUUGGCGCAAUUGACCCGUGGUCGAUUUUCUUCGAACCACAAUGAACCCAUCCGACCCAUUAGCAACUCUUGAUGAUCGUGAAAAUCUCAAGGUUUCAAACACGGGCAUAGGGUACCCAAAACGACAGAAAAUUGGUUUAGUGCCGAUCGAUGAGAAUUUUGCAAUCAGGUGGCAUCACCCACACUUGAUCACAUAUCUCAGUCAAAUCGACCUAUCUCCGAUCUCUGAUCGAUUUUGACAAUGCCGUAAUGACCCUUGCAGACUAGCACGGUCGAGUAGUCGAUUCCUGGUCGAAUUCUCAAGUCUAUUGCGUUUAAAAUCCCCGAAUGGCUUCACCGGAUAGGCCAGUUAUCUCGUGAGUGGCCAACUCAGAGAAAAACACUAUAGUCACGUUGACGAAAGGCCCAUCUUAUCCAAUCGAAAUCAGAACAUGAAAUUCAGGAUGUCACAUUUAGUCUGCACAAGGAAGAUAGCACUAACUAAUUAUCAAUAAAUCCAAGAUCGUAGCAUCAGAAUUUACCCCAUGAGAGAUAAGGUACAAAUGCGUAAAUAUCAAUACCAGAGUUGGACCACAAUGAACAGAGACUUUAUUAGAUGGCCGAUGAAAAAGAAACCAAUAGGCAUAAAAGGAGUAAGCAAUUAGCAACACUUUUCCUUUUUGUGUUUAGGAACAGAAUUGAAAUUAAUAAAAUUAUGUUGAAAGGAUUAGUGCCUAAACUACAGAACAGAAAAAUUUAUUUGCUACUGGGUUAUAUUGCAAGAUCCAAUUAGCAAUAUUAGCAAUACAGGAUUAGUUUGUGAGGAGGUUAAUUUCAACUUUACAGAUCCAAUGCUGCAUACAUGAAAACUGAUCUUAUCAAAUCAGAAACCUAUAUGACAACAUUCAAAGGAUAUCAUCACACAAAUAAACUGAUAAAAAUGGAGGAGCCUAGCAGUGCAUACCUCCCUCUACAAAGCCUUAUCAAUUCGGGAGUGAUACCAUUAGAAUGUAACCGCAUCGGACAACUCUGCAUUAGGGUAACAUACAAAAAAUCAGCAGCUUAGUAUUUGAUUAAAGGAGAGCUAGAACCUGAUGAGCAUACAAAAAGCAUAUUUAAUUGAAAAAAAAAAUACAUUUACAAUCAUUCAGGGAUGUGACGUCGAGAUCAGAUCAAGUGUUUGAAUAUUCAGAAGCAUCAAAACUUCCUUGUAACACUCCAGUCAGCCCCAGAGCAUCUUCAAGGUUGGCACGCAAGAUGGUCCUCAGUUGUCGCGGUAGCUUCCUCUGCAAAAUCCAUUUUCUUUAUUUUGAUCAGCCUUAGGUAUGGAAUUUGAAGUUCCUCAGCACAGUUAGCCAUGCCCAAAUCAGUCAUUCCCUAAAGCAAUUCCAUGACACAAUAGGAUCAAACGGGAUGCAAACUAAUUAGCAGAUUCUUGAGCUCCUCAUCCCAGCUUGUUUCACAGACGGGCAAAAAAUUGUCCAAUAAUGCAAAAGGUCAUCGAUGCAAUUAAUUGAAUUGAAGUCCCAAAGUAAGCCUAGAUCGUCGCAUAGACCAACCAAACAUGUCAUAGAAGCAACACCAGUUUACCUUGCUUGAUAAUCCUUCAAAACAACAGUUCGGCUACUAAUAAUGUUAAGGUGGUCUACAUUCAUAUAUGACAGACUAGCCAAAACUACUUCUUUUUUUUUUGUCACCAAACAGAAACACUUGGAACCUUGAAUUUUAUUUUAGCUCAGUUCAUCAUAUUUCGAGAAGUAAUGCUCUUCUUAGAAGGUUAAUGAGGGACAUCAAGGGAACAGUAAGAAACUUGACAGGGGUUUCAUGCAUUAUGGAAAAUCAAAAGGCGUUUGUCCCAAACACGAUAUCUACCAUUAGUCAAAUUUGACAUAUAAAAUAACUUAUAAAGUAACUCAAAAUGGUUUUUCAAAGAAAAUAUGAACAUUGGACAUUGGGAAAUUCUAGGCGUAGUAUACAAUAAUGAGUAGCAGAAGUUCAUCAGCGUCUAUGCCUUCUAUUGACAUUAGGGUCUGCAUUUUGAUCUUGGCUAAAGCAUCAUGUCAGCUUCUACAACCAACUGCCCCACUCCUUCAAUUAUGUAAGACUAGCAAUUUAGGAUAGUACAGAACCCUGUCAUAGAAAACCUCCUUGUCAAAAAAAGUGAUCAAAAGUAGGUCAUGAAUCUCAGACAAAAAAUGAUUGUUCACCGCUUAUUUACCUCUAUUCAGGAAACAUCACUCCAUGAAUCAAAAGACAGCUCUUGUUCAUAAUUUCUAAAGACGCGAGUUCCAAAUAAGUUCGGUGUUGCUUCCAAGGAGUCACAACCAGAAAUAUCCAAAUCAACUAAAUUCAACUUUUCAAGUCCCUGAAGCCAUGUAAGUUUCUUGCAGUCUCGAACUCUUAGAGAUCGUAACUUCACACAUCCUAUCAAAUCUGGCAAAGUCUCCAUUGAUUUGCAUCCUGUAAAAUCCAACGAGAUUCCACAUUCUCAAGACAUUGAAUUUCGACUAGAUUGUCGCACCCAACAACCACUAAUUUCUUCAAACACUUGAUUCUGGACAGAAAAGCCUUUUAAUGGAAUUGCAAUCAUAUAAAAAUAUGACCUCCAAGGACUCCAAAUUUAUAAAUCUCGAAAUUUCAAAUAGACUAUUGCAAUGCUCAAUGCGUAGUCGUCUCAGAUGAAUCAAUUGUGAAAGGGUCAACCUAUAGAUGGAACUGCACUUUUUUAUUGAAAGCUCUUCCAAGUGCAUGUGUCCAUUGAGCGAAAGUGAUGUUAGCUUAUCCCACUCCUCAAAACAGAGUUUCGAUGUUAUUGAGGAAAGGUCGCGGAUGUCUUCAAGAAAAUGGGGUACCUCAAGAUCGAGUAUUUCUAGGUGGAUGAGGCGAAGGAGCUGUGGCAGUCCAAGACUCUGACAAGUAACCAACAGACAUGUUAAGCCCGAAGGAAGCUCUGGCAGCGACCGGAGGUUGUAACAACCCCUUGUGUUAAGUUUUUGGAGAGAAGAAGGAAGCGCCGGCAGCGACCGGAGCUCCUUACAGUCACAUAGUUGAAGGCAUUGGAGAGAAGAAAGAUUCCGGACGCUUUCUGGCAGGUCAGAUAUCCUUGUCCAACGAAGAUCGAGAACCUUGAGGGAAGGCAAGUCACCGAUUUCACUGGGAAGCUUUUCGAUCUCAGUAUUAUUUAAGUCAAGGUAUUGCAAAUUCUGUAAAUCCCCAAUUGACCUGGGGAUUUCUCUCAGUGACUCACACAUGAAAGCACUCAGUAUCUUCAAUUUCCUCAAAGAACCAAUAGAUGAAGGAAUUGCUGUAAUACCAGAGUAAUCUAAAAGAAGUUCUUCUAAAUCUUUUAAUCCACCCACCUCCUCUGGUAGCUCCUUGAGAUUUGUACAAGAACACAAGUCCAAGGUAACGAGGCUUGUGAGCUCCCAAUAGAAGGGUGGAGAUCCUCCAAUCCACGACAAUUGCUCAAUAGGAGAAUUUUCAACUGCGUGAAAGCUGAGAGUUCAGGAGUACAUCUUAAAUUAGGAAAACUUCGAACACAGAGAGCUUUAAGCUGCUUUGACGCCUAAUACAAAAGGAGAAUAAUAUGUCAAAUGAGGAGUUGAUUGGCUAAACAAAAAACAAACCUCAAGAUCGCAGAGAGGAUGUAUUCUUUUCCCAAUCUUACCUUGAAUGAAUUCCAUCCUUCCCAAUUCUCUGUGAUUCCUCCCGAUAAUUCCAGCACCGAUAAUUUUGGCAAAUGAAAGCUGAUCGUCGAAAGAGACGCAUCGUUUAUAGGAACGCCCCACUCAAACCAUCUCACUUCAGAAAACUUGGAAUCUCCGCUAGAAGCUGCCCCCAAACAGUCGCGGAACCAGGGGUGUCUCUGCAAGUUUUUUCACUUUUUAGUUUUUGCUUUUUUUAUAUCCUGAAUUUGCACGAUUACCUUUUUAUCCUUCCCCUAUACAUGUAUGGAUAUGUAAACUCACAUUUAUUUAUUUCUUCUUUUUUUACGGCCUUUUGAAAGUUAAACAAAUGACGCAAAGAUAAAGAAAAAAUAAUCAUUGCUUUAAAACAACUAAGGCAAAUACACCUCAAUGUUUUAUCUCUUGCUUCUUCUUCUUUUUCAAAAUUUUGUAGCGCAUGGAUUUUCACUUUCAUUUAAGAAGAAAUACAUAAAACUAGUUUACAACGUACAAAUGUUUACUUGUAAAUUUUUAAAUGACUUAUAAUUUUUAAAAGAAUUUGUUAAAGAGUGUCGACGGGCCACCUGUAAGUAGCUAAGGAAGCACCCUAUUUUCAUUUCAUUAGUUAAAUGUAAUAAUGUGGAAGAGAAAAAAAAGGGGGGGUUUUUAAUAUAUUCAGAUAUAUAGAAAAGUUUACGUGGAGGGAAAUUAAAAGAAAUCAAAUAUGAUAUGCAUUAUAAAAAUAGAUAUAGAAAAUUAAAAGAAUCCUAAUCUCUAGAAGGUAUCUAAAUAUGUUUAAUGUCAUUAACUAUUUGCGUGAAGUGUUUACUCAUUUCUUUGACAAUCGAAACAUUUUUUUUUUCGGUAAAGUUUGUUUAAAAAGUGACGUGGCGACAUUGGUUAGUAGUUUUGACCAGGAUUGAAAAAAACAAGUCGCUUUUAGAAUAACUAGAAAAUGAACUGAUUAACUAAAAAGUGCCGUGGUAACAUUGUUUAAUCAUCAUACGUUGGUUUCCAUAAGAAUAGCAUCAUUUCUUUUUCCAUCUUAUAAAUCAAAAAACAUACUGUUUAACUUUACUGCUAAAACAGAUCAUUUAAUUAGUUGCAGACGGUGAAAGAAAUUUCCUUAUGGCUUUAUUUGACUUUUAUAAUAAUACCUAUAUUUUCCCCCAAAAGUUUAAUUGGUUAGAAAUUCACUUUUAUGGCUAGACACGUUUGUCGUUAUAUCUGCUUUAAAUAUUAACCAGUGAAAUGCAAUGGGUAUAAAUUCUCUUAAGUCUAUUUGUCUGAAAAGUAGCUAAAUUGUUGUACUCAUAUCCCACACUAUCUUUAAUAAUUUUCGCUUGUAUAUCGAUCUAUACUAUGUAUUACAUUAAAAAAAUCUACUGUAUGGAAAGGGGAUUUCAAACCUCAAACUUUCGUCAAAAGUUUCCACACAAUUGGCAUAUAUUUCUCCAAAAUUAACUAAAGAAAUAGGAUAUAACAAAAUAGGCAUAAUCAUAUUUGAAAUAGUCAAGACAAUUGGAAAUUAGUCCCACAAGUAUUUCAAUUUUCAAAGUUAAAUCAAAUUCUCUCGAAUGGUACAAUCAUUUCAUUUCUUUCGACAAUAUUUAUCAUCUUUUAGCAUUUUUGUCCAUUCAAAACAGGAUUGACUUUUCUUUUUCAUUGUUCCAAAUACCUGUAUGGUGUGCUUUUUUUGCUAAUGCUAAGAAGUUAUUGGAUCAACAAAAGAGUGUGAUAUUAAAUCAUAGGAACGAACUAUUUGAAAUUAUAUCAAGAAUAUAAGGCUGCUUUGUUUGCCCAACAUCCCUGGGUCAAUUUCUAGGGUUAAUUCCUUGCCGUUGAUCAGCCAUGAAACUGUAAAGCUUUUCAAAUGGACAAUAUAUAAUAAAAUGACAUGAACAUUGACAAUUUAAGUUAAAGAUAAAACAUAGUUGAAAAAAAUUGCUUCAUGCUGAAAAUCAUAUAUAAUGAAUACAAGGUUAUGGAUAUAAUAAUAAGCAUGACGUUUCCUCCGAUUAGUCAAGUUUUUUUUUUUUUUUUUAUCUUAAAAAUAAUCAAGUUAGUCUAGCGAAUUCUGGCACAAAAGAGGCAGUGCCCAAAAAAUAUAAAUAAUAUAAAACAACUUAUAGCAGAUAGAGAUGUUUGUUAUAAGGAAAUCCACUCUUUAUUAUACGCCUACCCUAAUCCAUGAAAUAAGCAAGGUUAAUGGGAUAAAACCCUAAAAAAUGGUAAGAUUUGCCUGUAUAUAUUUUUAAGGGAUUUUUGCUAUCUAUUAAGAGGAGAUAACAAUGAAAAGAGAUAGAUAUAAAUAACUAGUUGAGGGACCGGUAUCUUCAAAAUCAAAACAGAGAAAAAAAUAUAUGAAACAUCUGAUUUCUAAAUCACAAGAGCACCACAAUACAUUUGGCCGUACUAGAAAGCAAACGUAUGUGAUAAGUGUGAAAUUUUUUUCCAAUCUUAUUGCUUUGAAUUAUUUAUCGGUUAUUAUACUAUCUCCUUCUUUUUUCUUAACCAGGAAAUCUUCAUUUAUUUGAUCUAUGAUGUUUAUACUUCGUCUUCAUUCAUAAUUAUAGUCCUUAUGAUUAUCAAUAUUUUCAAGACAAUUGCAUGCUUUAAGUAAAUGUGAUUUAUAGUCUAAAAUUGUAUUUAAAGGAUUUUGAAUUGAUUGCCAAACAAAUUUUUACAUAUGUAAUUUACAUCGAUGAAAUUGAAUCAAUGAUAUAACUUUUUCAUCCUUGAGAUACUUAUGAUUUAUUUAGUGUCACAAUUAAUCUACGAUGUACAUAAAUGGAUGUUUAAAUAGAUUUUUUUUCCUAGAAAGUAAGAGCAUCUUUUCAUGCUCAAUGAAAUAUUAGAAUAGAUCGAAUUAAAUAUAUUAAAUAAGAGGGAGAGAAAAAGAAGAAGAAAAAGAGUGCCAUAUUUUACCCGUGGAUGUCUUACUACUCUUGGGACUCCCUCAUAGUUGUUGUCCCAUGGUCCACUACGUUUCUCAAGCGGUUGUCCUUGGCAAAAAAUGCUCCUUCCAAGAUCUCUCAGUUGAUCAUGCACCAUAAAUUUACCAUCAUCUCCAAUUUUAAUUAAGCACCUCAACUUCAACUCUUCAAUUCCUUGAUUUGGAUAAAACCCACAACCCUCCCACAUGUACAUGGAGAAUUGUGCAACUUUGCCAUCGUAAUGUAUGCCAAUAAAGAAACAAACAAUAUCGAGAAAAAUCUGCUUAUGUCCUUCUUCUAAUGCAUCAUAACUUAUUUGCAAUAUUUUUUGGACAUCUCUGUGUGGUUGAUUUUUUAAUUGCUUCCGCACAUCUUCCCAAACUCUAUUCUUUUUUUUAUACAAGUAUGAACCUACAACUUUAAGUGCCAAGGGAAGCCCACCCAUGGUAGAUAUGAUAUCACGAGAUAUACCAUCAAAGUCCUUCGGAGAAUGGUCCAUACGAAAUGCAUGUCUAUUAAACAAAAGCAAAGCAUGCACCGUAUCCAAUCCAUUCAAUUCAUACUUAUAGUCCACCUUGAAUUCAGCUUGAUCAAGAAUAGCUUCAUUUCUAGUUGAAACAAUGAUCAAACUUCCUACCAUAAACCAAUUACGUUCCUCAGCCAAUGCAUCUAGUUGAUUCUUGUCAUCUAUAUCAUCCAAAAGAAUGAGAACCUUUCUUCCUUUGAAUCUAGAUUUGAUUAUAUUAAUUCCAUCAUCAAUUCUAGACACUUUAUUUUUGCUUUGUAGUAUAUCCGAUAUUAGUUGACUUUGUAAAUACAUAAUACCGUGGCGCUUGGUAGUUUCUCGAACAUCUGGAAGGAAGCUGACAUGCACAAAUUUGUUCGAGAGUUGAUUGUGAAUGAUCUUGGCAAGAGUUGUCUUGCCUAUCCCACCCAUGCCAUAAAUUCCAAUCAUUCGAGCACUAAUAGAAGGGCUGCUGUCUAUCCAAUUCAUAAUGUUCUUUAGACAAUCAUCAAGUCCAACUAGUUGCUUAGGCACAUUUAGUAGAAAAUCUUCUUGUAACUUGCUUAGAACAGUUCCAACCACAUGUUCUAUUAGUUCUCCCUCAUGCCUGUCAAACAACGAAAACAAUGAGAGAUUAUGAACCUAGACAUAGUUUAUGUGAAGUAAUUGAUCCUUAUCAACUGCGCUAACCUUUGUUGGCUAUAGGAGGGUGAUUUUAUCUAGUGGUGAUCAAGCUUUGGAAGACUGAGCAUUGGAGUCAUUUGUAACCUAUUGUUUAGUGAUUGAUACUACUAGCUGGAGGUAUUAUCGUUUCCUUGUUUUUUGCUCUAUACCGGAGGAAAAUGUAAAAUUCUUGGGCACUAUGGGAUGCUUUGGUUUUUGUUGUUGUUGGUUUAGUUUUCAGAGACAUCUUGGUGAGUACUGGUGUUUGUUGUCCUCGACGCAUUAUGGUUGUUUAUUGGGACAUUUUGGGAAUCUUUUCUGAGUUUGCAAUGAUAGUAAUUGAUCUGCAUUUCAUUGGUUUUGCUUGAAGAAGAAAACAAACUUAUCAAAACAAGAAAAGUUCAGUGAAGUACCCGUCCUCAAAUUUAUCAGAUUCCCAUCCAUGUAAGUAACUGACUUCAUUAAGUGCUUGUUGCCAUUCCUGGAUAUCCUUCUCAUCAUAACGCUCCCGCCUCAAAUGGAAGGCAUUUCCAAAAUUUCCCUUUAGAUGCCGCACAUCCGAUGGGGCAACUUUGUAAAAUAUAGGCAACACUAUGUGUGGCGUGCUCUUCUUGCAUUCCAUGAUAUGAACGAGCUCACGGAGGCACCAUUUGCUCGAAGCAUAAUUUUCGGAGAUGACGGGGAUCGAAAUCUUAGACCGUACGANNNNNNNNNNNNNNNNNNNNNNNNNNNNNNNNNNNNNNNNNNNNNNNNNNNNNNNNNNNNNNNNNNNNNNNNNNNNNNNNNNNNNNNNNNNNNNNNNNNNNNNNNNNNNNNNNNNNNNNNNNNNNNNNNNNNNNNNNNNNNNNNNNNNNNNNNNNNNNNNNNNNNNNNNNNNNNNNNNNNNNNNNNNNNNNNNNNNNNNNNNNNNNNNNNNNNNNNNNNNNNNNNNNNNNNNNNNNNNNNNNNNNNNNNNNNNNNNNNNNNNNNNNNNNNNNNNNNNNNNNNNNNNNNNNNNNNNNNNNNNNNNNNNNNNNNNNNNNNNNNNNNNNNNNNNNNNNNNNNNNNNNNNNNNNNNNNNNNNNNNNNNNNNNNNNNNNNNNNNNNNNNNNNNNNNNNNNNNNNNNNNNNNNNNNNNNNNNNNNNNNNNNNNNNNNNNNNNNNNNNNNNNNNNNNNNNNNNNNNNNNNNNNNNNNNCAUGAUCUAUUCUCUUUUUGUGUGAAUGUUGUUUCUCUAUUCGUUUUAGGUCCGUUGCUUCGCUUCUUUUAUGUUUUGGUUCAAAUUUGAUGAUUACAUGUUUUAAAUUUCUUUAAAAUUAGCAUAUUCUUAAUGAAGUUGGAAAUGCGAGGUAGAGAUUAACAAAUUGUUUUUGUCAUUUCUCUCUUACUUAUUUCAUGCUCGCCCCACAUUCCAGUAAUUCUAUAUAAGACGAAUUUAUAAUAUGAUGUUACCGAGCUAUUCACUUCUAACUUUUAAAUUUAAAUUAUUGAUUGAUAUAUUGUCUGCAAAAUAGAGCUAUAAUUUGUUAAAUGACACCAAAUGAACAUAAUGUGUUAGUAUUAAGUUAUUAAUGAUAUAUGAAAUACUUGUACAUUGUCCUUGAGUUCUUUUCCGGGUCAUUUUUUUAUUACUAUUUUGUUGGCAUAUCAUUCAGCUCUUGAAAAGUCAGUAAAUCACUGAAAAAAUAAGUACGUGAAAUAUUCAUAAAAAUAAAGCAUGAUUUAGGAAAAAGCAUUGAAAAGAAGGGAAUGAAGUGUUUGGGCCUACUUUUAGAAGCAAACAGUGAUAUUUAGAGUUAAUGUCCAAAAGGCUUUUAAAUUAUGGAUUCAUGACACAUGGAAACCUUCACGAACAUGAAUUGAAAGUAAAAAUGGGAAUAAAAGAUGCAUGGCAAUCUGAGGGUGAAAGUUGGAAUGAAAGAUGCUUUUUUUGCAUAAAAGGAUCGAUGAACUAAUCUCUACAAACGAACAUGAAUAUGUUACCACGCAAGAAAAAAUGAACGUGAAAUCUUUAAUUAAAUGGUAAUUGAUUGACUAGGAGCAGUUGCAGCCGCUUUUAGCCCACACCUAUCUUGUUUUUGACCUCACCCUAUUCAAGUCGAACUUGUUGGCUUGAUCCCAGACGAGUAACGUGGACGUUAAUUUUUAAAUUGGGCUAUGAAGUACUAGAAUCUGCAUACAAGUAUAUUGCAUUCAAUCAAAAAUAUAAGCAUAUGUUCGGUUUUUUAUUUGGUUAUUGAAAAUCGGAAUUUAAUAAAUCAUUUAAAAGAAAAUAAUUGAGUUGAAACAGAAUUAGAAAUGUGUGAAAGAUGUCAAGAAAGGACUGAGCUAGUGAUUAGGAAUGUGAUUUUAUAUUUUAAUUUUGUUUAAAAUUGUCACAUUCUUAAUGAAGCUGGAAAUGUGAGGUAGAGAUAAAUGAAUACUCAUGGUUAUUUAUCUUUCAUCUAUUCUAUGCCAGCACCACAUGCUACAAUUCCAUGUAAAAUGAAUUUAUUUUGAAUUGGUGCGUUAUCACCAAGCCUUUCAUUUCAAAAUUUCAAAUCUAAAAAGUUGAUUGAUAUCUUCUGUAAAAUAGAGAUAUAAUUUGUUAGAUGGCACCAAACGGAGAAGCAGAUGCUCCCUCAGUGCCCUCUUUGUAUGCACUCUUUUCUUUCUCCGUGUUAGUCUGAACGAUUAGAAACUAGGUACUGAUUCAAUGGAAGAAGGAGAAGAAGAGAAGAAAGAAAGUAAAAGGAAGCUGCAGAGGAAAACCCAGAGACGACCAAGGUUUGCAACAAUGGCGUUGAGUGCUUGUCCCCAUUUAUGUUGGAGGGCGCACCUUGAGAAUAUCACCGCAAAGAUUUUUUUUAUCCAAUUAAAUGGAAAUAGAAUAGGAUCAUCGGCCAAAAUUUGUGAUAAGUCAGGUUAAAUUGAUUAAUCACAUUUUGAAGAACAAAUUAAUUGUUUGUAACAAAAAGAGGUGUAAGAAAUGAGUGAUAUAAAGCUAGGUGAAUCUCUUAAUAUGCCCGUAUGGCUCGAUUUAUCUGAUCGUUUUCGUGUGUGUCAAAAGAUCAACCAGGUUUUUUUUUUCUUACUAUUAAAAGGGAAUAUCCUUUCUACUAUUAAUGGUCCAACAAUUUGAGGAAAAUAGAAUAUCACUCAUUUGGAAUGUUCUAUAUAGGGAGGAAAAAUUGUCAAACAAAAUCUCCUUCAGACAAGACUGAUUCUUAUGACGAUUGGCUUCGGGAUGAGUAAGUUCUAAAUCAAGAAUUGGAAUAUUUUUGUAUUAAGAACCAAACUAGUUGACCCAAGAACCAGCCUACUACUAUUUUUCUGAUUUAUUUUUCUAUAAAUUGAUCUAGGACCUUCAAACACAGAAAAACCUCACAAUGCAUAAAAAAAGAAAUGGUCUAUGGGUUCAAGCGAAAUGUGGCAAUUUUGCGUGCAAUAGAGUCUAGCGUGCUUGCAAACCUACUCGUUCUAGUUCAACAAAAGAUCAAUACUGAAUUACAAUGCAACAAUCAGACAGCAAGGCUACUUAUAGGAUUAGCCAUGUCUAUAGUCGAAAACAAAGGCUUUCUUUUUUCAACGAAGUCAAAUUUGAGCUGGGUACAUACCUCGUUAACAGGUGACAACGACUCCAAAGAGAGAAUAAAAGACCCUCCCCCUCCUCUGCUAUUUAACGACCACCCCACAUCCCCAAUCGACAAAAAGGGGCCCAGAAUACACUUAGUUCAGCCGAUUAUUCCAAUAACAAAGCGACGAAUCCAUAGAAAUGACACGCUAAUAAGACAUGAAAAAGCAAUUACCUCCUACAAGCUGAGAUGCGAAGAGAGGUGCGAGGUUGGAGAGGAGAACUUCAACAAGCCCGGGUGAAAACUUUCGAGGGGGAAAAGAUCAAAGAAAGCAAGUGAGGACAAUAGUUCCGAAUUGUUCUGCAAGAGAAAGGCCGAACGUGAGAAAGCACAAUUUGGACCAGAGUACAGAAUGACCAGUUCUGUUCAUAUCUACUCAUAAACCAUAUUGUUAAACAGAUAAAUGUGGCUCCUGCUAAUAUUUCAGUAUGAUAUUAUCAAAGACGUUCUUCCCCCUGUAAAUGCUACAUUCUCCCCCAUCCUACACAUGCAUAAAUCAUAUUGUCAAAUCUAUUGUAGGUCAGUAACUUUCUACGCUAUAUCACGACUAUGAUGUAAGCAAUUAAAUCUCAUGAAAACCACACUUUAUGACAAGUUUCUCUAGUUUAACCCACAUAAUUCACAUAUUAAAUAUGUGUGAGUGCAUUGAAACCAGCAGCUUUGCUCACUUUCAAGUUUUCCAUUGUAACCAGCACCCAAAUAUAUAUAUAGUACAACUGUGUAUUUUUCAUGACUUCCAGAAAACAUUUGAAUAUUCUAUCAUUUUCCACAAAUUAUUAUUAUUGCCAAUAUAAUGGAAACGGGUUUUAUGGACAUUCAAAAAUUCUCUAGUUGAUCUGAUCUGUUCAGAUAAAUUUUUGUUUUUGACAAUUUUGAUCAGUAGGCUUUGAAAGGUUUUGUGCGUUUAUUGAAGAGAAUAGACCAGCAUGAUUGAUAUUUGAAAAUAUAUAUAUAGUUUUUAACUGUUUUCAAGAGAAAAAAAAAAGAGAAUUAUUUAUACAAAAACUGAUUAUUUUGGAUGCUUCAGGCUUUAAGUGCUUUUGGACAAAUGGGGUACAUAUAGGGCCAAUGGACCCAAAAUCGGGUCUAGAAGGGUAUUUUCAUAAUAUCAUGGAGCGGGCCUUUUGUCCCAAGCGAGUUCAGUCAACCGUUAAUGUUUUGCAAACAAUAUCUGGAUAAGGGCCAACAUGCGAUCACACCAUAUUCAACCGGUCUAAGUAUUCAUAACUGAUUAGUUCAAAUGAGAAGAUUGUAGCAAGAAAAAUUAGCAAUACAUAUGUAGUGAUGAUUUUGAAAAAGCCGAAGGAAUUUCACAUGUAAUAUUUUGUACGCCUUAAAGGAUGUCAAGCGUUAUGCAAUGGGUAAUAAUCGAAUGUAUUUUGCGCUAUCAAUUGAAAUAGACCGGAGAAUGAAGGUCGGACUUACCUCAAGGAGGAGGUAUGACGAGAUGAAAUAACGAUGAUGGGUUUCAGUGUUUUGAGAAGAAGUUGCCUCAGAAGCCGAUCAAGUUGCAUCCGAGUCCCGAAAGGCAGUGCGAUCCUGAGGAUCACCUUCACGCCUCAACCUGGACCGGCUUGGUUUGGAAAGACAUGGAGGUAAAUUUGCAGGUCAUCUCAAGUCAGAACAUCACGAGAAAGGGCGAGUAGUGGCUACGAAAUCACCAACAACAGGCGGGGAACUUACCAUCUUUCGAUAAAAUCGCAGCUUUGCUUUGGUAUAUCCGGAAAUCCCAGAAACGACCCUCGUGUCCUGACGAUUCGAGUUGAUUUUACCUGCUGAUUGGUGCCCGCCGAAGAAUCGGUCCCUCAAGAUAAAAUACCGAUGGUUCGGUCCUUUGAAGCCGGUGGUUCGGAAGGAGCGACUGUUGGUGUUCCUCGCGACGGCCUUGGCUGUACUUCUCAGAACAAAUGCGAGCGUCUGUGUGAGUUAUGGUGAUUGGCGUUUCUCCUCUUCAAGCACAAGCACUUGGGACUUUAUAUAAAGCUUUACUUCUUCUCUUGCCCCAAAGAAGACGCGCAAACUUGUGGUGGAUGACGUUUCUUAGACAAGGCAAUUGUAGUUCUUUUGAUUCUAACCUUUUUGACCAAGACCACCAAAACAAUCCCUUCCUCGAAAUUGGCAAGAUGACCCCUAUAGACUUCACUUGUUAGUUCUUUUUGUUAUUGGAUCCCGUGGCCAAGCAAAUCAUAGUGGAAAUUAACUUUUUGAAGAUGGGGACACCUUUUGCUUUAUCCUCACCUUUUGGCUACAUGCGGCCACUCAAAUUAUCGAUUGAGUUUCACCCCUAUUGCUAAUCAAUGUAGCAAUUAGAUUGUAAUUGGACCGCGUGGCCCCUCAAAUCAAAUUGAAGAUGGGUGAUACUUUUUGCUUCAUCGUCGCCCUUUGCUUUUCCCACCCCAUUAACCAAAAGAAUAGAUACUUUUAUGUUGGAGUCAAGGUGUUCACAAUGGAAAUUAGUUUUCGCACAAUGCUAUUUCAAAAGAGUCCCUCAAUCAUGUCCUUUUUUUUUCCUCAAUCAUGUCCUUUACCUGGUAACUUUUGCAACGUGUUCAUACUGGAAAUUACUUCCUCUCUUGCCUGAAAAGAUGAGCCAGUUGUGCUUGGAGUACACACAAUCCUACCAUGUAUUUGCGUGUGUUUGAUGAGGAAAUUUAUUUCUUUAACCAACUGACCCUCACCUUUUGGUAGUUCUCUUUGGAAUGGGAUCACAUGACCGCGCAAAUCAAUGUGAAGAUGGAUAACAUUUUACUUUUCCUUUCCAUUGAAAUGAAAGCCUCUUAUUGCUAGAGGCAUUGAAAUGGUCAACAAUCUACUUUUUAACUCAUAUUUAGUGACCUACAUCAUAUUUGAAUUAGCUAUAAUUUAAAGAAUAGGUUGUCAUGAAUUUAAAUAACAAGUUAAUUCUAUAUAUAUAUAUAUAUAUAUAUAUAUUAAUGAGUCUAAACCAUAUCUAUAUGCAAUUCAUGUCAAUCAAAAAAGAUAAAAUAGUAAUGAUUUUUCCAUUUGCUUUCACGGGGCUCCUUCUUAAUUGGCCUCAUGCCUGAGUGUGGCACCCCCGGUACAUGGAGAUCAGUGCAUGUGGCACAACAACUGCAUGAGCUUUUUCUUCACUUGCCUAUUGCUUUGACCAAUGAUCGAGUGGCACAUCAUUCGUUCCCUACUCAUUACAGAUUGGUAGAUCUAGUGGGACUCGUGUGGAGCUUAUAUGGGUCCUAUCAUUUUUAGUUUUCCAAACAUGAUGUUUCUUAUGAUAUCAUUUAGCUCCAUGUCCAAACGACAACAUCAAUUAGGGCUAGUUCAGCCAAACCUCUUCAAUACACUUAAGGAUGUUAGGAAUUAGACUAAUAUCACGUGCUUAAUCUACACAUACAAAUUUUUAUCUUAAGUAUCCAGGGAUUAAAGUUAUGGUGAAGUAUAAGGGAAUGAAGAAAGCAUGAGAAAAUUACCAAAAAAAGUCAUUGUGUUAAUUUAGUCAUAAACUUUUUAAUUUGACCAAUUUAAUCCCAAGCCUUUUGACAAUUUGCCAAUAUAGUCCAUGUAACCAAAUUUACCCCAAAAUUAUUGAUUUAGAUGCUAGGCAUCCUACAUGGCAUUGCCAAUAUUGAGAUAGAAAUUUUUUUGAAAAUUUUAAUUUUUUGAAUUUUAAUUCAUUAUUAUUAUUUUUAUUAUUAAAGGGCCAUUGGGGGGAGUGGGUUAGCUUGCCAUAGAGUGAGGACCUGUGAGCCCUCAUCAAUAGCUAGCGAGGGUUACAGCUCUUGCCUUGGACAACAAGGGCUACAAGGGUCACGACCCUUGCCAACUAUGAAUGAGGGCCAUGAGCCCUCAACUAGUGGCUAACGAAGGCUUGUUACCCUCACACGUGGUAGGCAAAGGCCAUGAGCCCUCACCGAUCACUAGGGAAGGGCUAAGUCACCUAGUGGCCGACAAGGGAUCGCUGCCCUCAUACAUGGCAAGCAAGAGUUGAGAGCCCUCCUUGGCCACUGGGCGAGGGUUGCAAGUCCUUGCUAGCCAUGUCACACAGAAUGGUUGUUAUCUACAUCAGUAAUUUUCAGUUGAAAUUAGCCGAAUAUACUACAUUAAUAAAUUGUCAAAACGUUGAUGACUAAAUUAGUAAAAUCAAAACGUUCAAGAUUGAAUUAACAUAAGUAUAAUAGAUUUAUGACUUUUUUUGAUAAUUUUUCUUCCAUUAAAUCACAUGGAAACCACACUUAAUGAUGCGUUUCUUUGAUCCAAUCCACAAAGAUCUUCCUAGAAAUUUCCUACACAUUGAAUUAUUUUAGAGUGAAAGAAGGUCACCUUCCUCCCAUGAAGUUCAUGAUGGGUUCUAGAAAAGAAAUAAUACAUUCGGAACCAUCUCAUGGUUAGAACAGUAAACAAUAGAGCAUUUUAAUUUAAUCUUUAAAAUUUAUUUGUGGGAGAAGAAUUUUAACGAAACUAAAUUAGUGGAUGACUGGAGGGACAUUGUUGGUAUUCACAACUAAUGACGGAUUUCAACUGCAAUUUUCAGAUAUAGUAAUAAACACAAAAAAAGGAAAUGAGCAGACCCAAAAUCGCGUGCCACUCUAAGUCAAGAAUGGUGGGUGCCUUCUUUUUCAUAAGGGUCUCAUGCAAUCAUGCAAACCACACAACAAUUAACCUUUAUUGCGAUGGGAUUUAAUUAGUUAGUAAUUGAGGGACACCGAGCAGUUUACUGAUGCUUUAAGUCCUUGCCUUUAUCUCCUUUAAGACCUCGCCCUCUAGUCAAGUCAAACUUGUUGGCUUGGUCCACUUCCGAUUAACAUGUACGUUAAUUUCAAAGUUGGACUAUAAAAGGAUGGAAUCUGUUUUCAAACAUAUUCCAUUCGUUUAAAAAUAUAAGCAUGAAUUCGGUUGUUAUUUGGUUAUUGAAGAUCACAAUUUCAUAAAUCAUAUCUAGUUAAAAUGGAUUUAGAAAUGGAUGGAAGACAUGAAGAAAGAAUCUUAUGUGUACCAAAGCCUCUAAAGCUCAAGAAUACAUCAUGGGGAUCAUUUUCCCUCUCCUGUUGGUGUUGGAUAGAUGAACGAAUAUGUAGGUGCUCCAUUAGUGCUCUUAUUUUCUGCAUGUGUCGCUUCCACUCUUUUUCCUCUUCUUGAGGAGAUUACAACCUAACCCAGAUCAAAUAAUUGGUGCCGCAAGCACCAUAGAAGAACGCCCUAAAAUGAACUGAUGCAUUCUCUGUUUGAUCUGCUGAGGGUCUUUCCUUUGUUUGAUUUACUCAGGCUCAACUUGACUACUUGUGAAGAAAAGUCCUGAAAUUGAUACAUAUGCACCGUCUGGAAAUUACUAGGUAAUUUACGAAUGUCAAAUAAGAAUCGCCAUUACUUAGAUGGGAUCCAGUCUUAUUUUCCCUUCUCAUCUAGUUUUUGUCGAUUGUUUGACAGAUCUUUGCCAAUCUUUCUUAGAAAUCCCCCCCUCCCCUGGGGUUUCGAAAUGCUAUUUUUCCAAAAUUGGUAAAUCAUUCCAUUGAAAUAUAUAUAAGGGUAAAAAUGUAACUAAGAAACUAUACUACUUUGCCAAUAUUUUCUUUUGCCGAUGCACAGCAACAAAUUUGAGAUACUUCUCAUAGAUCUAUAACUUUAGUACGACACGCAAGUCUUCUUUUUGCAGAGGAGCCUUCACACAUAUUCCUAUCUACCGAGGUCAACAAUGACUCAAACCCAGAAAAAUGAAAAUAAAAAGAACCAAGGGUGUAAAAAGAAGCCAGAAGAACUUAUAGGAAGGCAAAAUAGAGUUUAGACAAACUUCAAGUACGAAAAUGAAAUUUUCAAAAAAAAUUGAAAAAAAUAUGGCUCCAAUCUCUCCCAUUCUCCAGCAUAUAUAAAAGUAGAAAGGAAAAACAUUAAUCUCCCCAUCGCUAGGAAGGUUUUUCAAAAAGAGCACUUCUAGCGCACGCUUUUGGCAAAGACUAGCGAUCAAUUUGAUUCCGACUUGUGCACCAUCGGUCGAUCGAUUGAAUCGCUCGAACAGGUUGACUUCCAUGGAGGAUCAAGGCUUGGAGGUAGAGAAAGCUCGAUUACUAAGCUAGGUGCUCGAGUGCGGCUUCGACAAGCAGUCCACCAACAGGUGCUUGGACUGUCUUGUUUCGCUCCACGGUACUUGAAUCAUUAUUUUGUCACAUUUUUUGUGCUAGUUAGCUUUGCAGAUAUUAUGUAGGUAUUUCUUGUUCACUAUGAUGGGUCAAAUUGGUCUUGGAUUAUUUUUUAGUAAAACAGAACUGGUACAGCGAAGUAGUCUUGCCGACAAGCAAAAUGUUUGGUACUGUUCCGGUUUGAUUGUGUUUAGGUUGCUUUGGAUGGUGGUUUUUCUUGGUUAUUAGCUGAAUUGCAUCUUAAUGGAUGCUUAGGGCGCGUUUGGUAACGAUUCUGUUCCCUGGAGUAGAUUCUAAUUAGAAAUAUUUUUUUUUUUAAUUUCUGUUCCCAGUAAUAGAUUCUAAGCAUUUCUUUAAAAAAAGAAGAAGAAGAUUCUAAGCAUUUUAAGCCGUUUGAUAACAGUCCAAAUUUUUUUUAUUCUGGAAUAGAAUUGUGUUUGGUACUGUGCUCAUUAAUUCUGUUCCAAAUCAUUUUCUUUUAAUUUAUAUAUUUUUUUUCAUUUUUUUCUUUUCCUUUUCUCAUUUUCUUUUUUUCCUUUUUUUUCUUUUUUUUUUUCUCUUUUCUCCUAUUCUUUUUCUUCAGGCUGACAAGACCCACUCAAAAGAAAAGUGGGGAAAAAGAUUCUAGCGAUUGAAAGCAAGUCAAAGUCUUUCACCACCUUUUUUGGUUAGUUGCACCGGGAGACUAGAGACCAUUAUUUAUCAUGAAAAUAUUGUAUAAAUUUAAUUUAUAAAUGAUGUGAUGGAGAACAUUAAUCACAAUAUAAUAAUUGUACUGAAAUUUGUAUUUUACGAAGAGGCUUUGUAUGGGGUUUGCACAGUUUCUUUUAAGUGUUUUAAUAAAAUCUAGAUGUCCAACAAUGCUACAUAAAAACACUACGCAUCAAACUCUUCAAUUUGCCUAUUGACUCCAAAUAACUCAUAUUGAUCUGAUAGCAUAAGUGGUAAUGUUAUUAUUCUAUAAUUAUACUCAUUUUCCUUUAAAUUGACAAUAGUGAGCCCAAACAGAUUAUCGUCCAUAAAUGUGAACACUUGAAUAUGCAAUACAUGUAAUCCUAAAGCUAGUCCGUCAUCAAAUAUUUGAGGUGAGUUGAAAUUGAUAUGUGAAAGCUAUCUGUUACUUAGCAUAGCAAAGAUUAGCUACCUGAUGAAGUUUGUCAAAUUUUUAUCUUUACUCAAAUUCAUAAAAUCCAUUUUCUUCUCCCCUGCUUGCUCUGCUUAUGUUGUUCGUGAGUUUUUUUUUUUCUUUUUUUAGUUUUGAAUUAAAUCCAUCACUUUUGUGGCUCUAGAUUCAAUUUAGCACAUAUAUUAAAUUUACGGAAUAAUUCCUCCAUAUUACGAGAGUGCUUUUAAAGGAGUAACAUGUAAAACUAGUAAGAUUUUUGCCUUCUGUUGAGGGUGAAACCUGUCAUUUUCUGGCUUAACAAAUUAUGGACCUUUAGAUUGAUCUGGAAAAAUCUGAUUUAGCCGGCUUUUAUUGUAUAGAAACCAUAUGAAUAGAAACCUGUCAUUUUCUGGGUUAACAAAUUAUGGUUCAGGUCCAAUUCAAAAUGGUAAGUCAUAGGAAUAAGGUUUCAAAUUACUUGCACCAAAUACAAAUUGUAGAUGUCUAUGUUUUCUAUACAAGUAUGUGCUAUAUCAUCAUCUCAACUAGGGGUGAUCAUUUCCCAUAAUUGGUUUGAAAUUGAUGUCCUUUCAUAUAAGAUGGAUCUUGGUAGCAUGCAAAAUAUUGAAUCUACUGAAUCAUGAAGGAAGAUAUUAAUUUGAAUUUAUUAAGUUGAAUCAUCGUGAAGUAGUUGAUUCAUCGUGAAGCAGUUGAAUUUCUGCUCAGUCUUAAAGCAGUUGAUGUAUGUUUCGAGCUGAAGUAAUUAUAAGACAAAUAGUGACAAUUGGUGCUUGCUGAUCAGAUGAAGGUGAAUAAAGCGUAAUUACUUCAUCCCUUCCUCUCUUUAUGUGCUCUUCUGAUGUUUUUACCCUUCGUUUCAGCUGCCAGCAACUCUUAAACCAGAGUUGCAGCUGUUAUAUCUCCCUUGCUAUCUCUCAUCCAGGAUCAAAUAAUUACUCUAACCCUCAAGGACAGAAUUCCAUCUACUUUCUUGAACUCUCAGCAAACUGCUGCCCAAGCAGCAAGGUUUAGCUCUCUCUCUCUCUCUCUCUCUCUCUCUCUCUCUCUCUCUCUCUCUCUCUCUCUCUCUCUCUCUCUCUCUCUCUCUCUCUCUCUCUCUCUCUCUCUCUCUCUCGCCCUAGUGAAGCAUAUCAUACCAUACAAUAUUUAUCCCACCAUAAAAUGGUUAUGCUCCAUACCCCAUAUGUUGCAAAGGAUGUUCUUAGUGUUCCUAGAGAAACUAUAUCAUACCAUAUUUAUGAUGUUGCCAAUGCAAAACUACUGUUCUUAUUCCAGAUAAAGAAAAGCAAGUUAAAUUUUUUAUAUGCUCACUCAAAUCUCUUUUUUUCAAACGUUUUUGCAUCUUCUGCGUUUCUGGCCUAAUUAAAAUUGGCGAUGUUAUGCUGAACCUUCUGAAACCUAGACCUUCUAUGAAGUUCUAGUAUAACAGAAUGCAAUGUUGAAAUAACUAAUUCUGGAAAUGAUCUAGUUCCUUCUUUUGCGAAAAGUCAGUGGAACAUCGUAAUCAUAGUAAGCAAAAUGCACGCAACUAAAUUGAGCUCCAUGGAAAUUACUUUUGGAAGUAAUUGGAAGUGUCCAUGUUUGGCAUAAUAGUCAGAUCUUUUAAGCUGGUUCUUGUGUCCCUACUUAUUCUCAUAACCUUUAUGCUAUUUAUUAACAACUUGAGAUAUAAGGCAAAAGUUCACGCAUGUGAUCAUUGAUUGCGUUUCUUAUAAGGUCUUUAUUGGAUUUGCUCUACCAGUGCGAUCUCAUGAAAGGAGUAAAGCUUUUUAGUUGCGUAUUGCUGUUUCGAGCUUUUCUCAUAUAUUUGAUAGAUUGUGAAUGAGUAAAGCUUAUUGAUCAUUACUUUCUUGGUUGUCAUGAUUGCAGUCAAUGGGGACAUGAUUUUUGUCCAGAUUAUAGAAGACUGGGUUGUCUCAAGCAAAACUUUCCAUGCGUCCUGGUGAUGGCCUUAACUGCAACUGCCACUCAGCCAGUUCAUGAGGUACAAAAUUUGCACAUUAUCCUCCAGAUUAUGUUGAAAAUUCAUUUGGGUCUGAUCGAAAUGUACAUUCAUUGCAGGAUAUCCCAAAAGCUCUGAAGAUCCCACAUGCUCUUGUUCUCAAGACAAGCUUUGACAGACCAAACCUAAAAUAUGAGGUCAUAUCUAAGACCAAGGAACCGCUGAAGCAGCCUGGAGAGCUGCUAAAGAAUCGUUUUGCUAAUUUGUGUGGAAUAGUGUAUUGCAUCUCGAAUAGUGAAAGUGCUGAUGUUGCAAAAUACUUGAAUGAUAAGUGCGGUAUAAAAAUGGUGUACUAUCAUGCUGGAUGAGCAGCCUGUCAAAGAGUAACUGUUCAAAAGAAAUGGCAUACUGGAGAGGUCUAGAUUGUAUGUGCAGCCAUUGCUUUUGGGAUGGGAAUAGACAAACCUGAUGUUGUAAGUUGAAAUGGACUCUCUGCCUUUGCCUAUUUUUAGUUUUGAAAUCAAGGUGACAUGCUGGCAAAUACUCAACUAAUACACUUUUUUUCUAAUGUUUUAGUUUCACUGAUCGGUUUGUUGGUGUGCUUGGAAGUAAACUCUACUGGUUCCAUGGUCUAGUGUCCUGCUAAAUUGUCAUUCUUGGCUAUUGAUUGCGGAACUAGCACAUUAUGUGUCUUCUUCAAGUCAAAUUCUUUAUUCCAUGCAUGGAACUUUGGUGUGCUGAAAUUAAGUUAAACUAGGAUAAAGUUCUUUUCUUUACUGUAAAAGUGGCAAAUGAAUCUGAUCUAACUUGACUUUCUGUUAUAAUGUUUUUGUCAUAUUUCAACUUAUUUUUGCCGGUUCAGUAAUUAUUUUUUUAUGGCAUGUGGUCAGCGUUUUGUCGUCCACAACACAAUGUCCAAGUCAAUCGAAAGCUAUUACCAAGAAUCAGGGAGGGGAGGAAGAGAUAAUCUACCAGCAGUGUGCAUUGCUCUAUAUGCCAAAAAGGAUUUCAGCCAGGUUAUGUGCAUGUUAAGCAGUGGUCAAGGACGUAAAACCGAAAUCUUCGAAAGUGCAAUGGCUCAAGCUAGGAAAAUGCAGCAAUAUUGUGAACUCAAGGCAAUCCAAUUUCUCAACUUAUCUCUGAUUAUCUCAACUAAGUGAUGCUUCUCUUUUGUGUUUACACGUUUUACCUUGUUCUAUUGAUUGUUGUUAGUGUUAGUCUGGCAUUAACCCGUCUGGGUGCUGGAUCAUUAGAUGGGUCUGUUGGCAACGUAUAAUAAUAAUGGAACGUUGGGGGCUAAACUCAUAUUCUGCACACCUGAAUGGAGCAAAGUCUAUUGAUAAACAGGUGUUUCCUUUCUAAUUUGAGAAAUUUUCAGGAUGAGUUUUUGGCGGCAAACCUUACUUGCACACUUUGGCAAGUCUUUGAAUUGGAAAGACUAUUACAGCUCUAAUCCUUGCGACAAUUGUCUCGAAGCCUCUUCAUAGAAGUAAAUGUUUCAGGUGUCAACUCUCUUGAGGGCGAAAGGAGGUACCGACUUACGCAUGAUCUUGAGCCUCACAGUUCUUCUAGUUCCAUCAUCCGCAAUUAUUGGAAGACUACAUGGUAAUGGAGGGGCAGAGGUCCUGAAUUAUGGACACAGAAUUUCUCAGUUCCGAUGGUUCAAUCGGACGAUUCUACCAAUUUACUUUUAGACUAGAAUCCAAACCGGUUCUUUGACUGGUCCGGUUUUGGAAACGCUGCUCGACACGAUUGCAAGACCUGAUUAUUAUAUGUGAACAAAAAUUGCCAGCUCUCACAGCGAUAACGUUGUGAUAACGUGGAGGGUUGAGCAGCACUAACUUGGCGGAGAUAUGGGGCUCGCUUGAUGCUGACAAUAUCUUCCUAAGGAUGAUGCAAGGUCGGGCAGUGGCGUUGACUUGUCGGUGAGUGGCGCUGACUUGUCCGAUGAGUGGUUCGUUGACAAAUGAGGGUCGAAGCGCGGCAGGGUAUGAUGGCACGGAUUGGACGAGUUUGUGUUGUCCCGGCUUGUGAAGCUUUCGUCCAUGGUGGAGGUGGGUUGCGGCGGGCGUCAAUUCGGCAACGUGAUUCUCAGAUUCAAAGUCUUUUGUAGUAGAUGGCUGCGGAGGCUGUCUCAAUGGCGAUGCGAGUUUUGAAAUGGUUGCGAGAGACAAUGAACUGAAGACCUUUUGUACAUAACUGGAAUGUCUAAUACCAAUACGGGUGAUCAAUUAUGUAGACCCCAAACUAAUUUAGAGAUGCACAAUAUCAUGAAUGUGGACAUAAUAUUUUAAAUACAUAAGAGAUUCAGUAAUUUUGCGGAUGACGUUCACCACAAUCAUAUAAGACAAGUUGCAACAUUGUUUUCAUAAAUUAAUGAUUUUUCUCUGAUGUUGCAAUUAAAUAGAUUUUGGGUGUUAAUUUGAAGGGAGGCUUUCAUGUCAGGUAAAUUGGAGUCUCGUAUGGUUUUUACUCUCAAAGUUAGCUUUUCCUAUAUAUGUAUAAAAUUUUUGGAGUUUGAAAUCAGGUUUUGAUUCAAUGUUAACAUCUCAAUUUUUUAAAACUCGAAGACAAAUUUUAAAAGCUGGCGUUUUAAUUUGGUUCAUAGCAAGAUAAAUUUCUUGUUAAAUAUUUAUGGGUUGUUGAACGCGUGAAAAUGAGAAAACAUGGUAUUUGUCUUCUGCAGUAUUGAUUUGGUAACUGGAAUUAGUUGUUGAAUAUGGAAACAAAGAUAUAAUAUUUAUUGUCAGUCGCAAAGAAAAAAAACAAUAAAAGAAGAAGAAGAUUUUGAACAGAAGGCACGCAGGUUAAGAAAUUAUUCGAGAAAUUAUGGUCUAUUAUUAGAAGAUAUGCCAAAAAAUGGAACAUUAUUUACUGUCCACUAUUAAAAGAUUUGCAUCUUGGAUUACGUUUUAUUGGUCCAUAACCAAUGAUUUUUCAAAAAUAGUCGCCAGACGAGUUAUUAAAGCCAACUAGAUUGUUCCGUUUAAGAACCAUAAAUGGGGAUUAUUGUUUUUCUUUUUUUAUGGCCAAACUUUCGUUUGUAUUAAUCUAGUCCGAGGAGCACUAAUAAGUCUUAUUUGGCCGAAAAUGGAAAAAUUAAUAGGUCUACCUCACUAGUCACUGAUUAAUUGUCUUGGUCUUUUAUAAUGGUUUGAGCGUUGGUCUUUGUUUUUGUAUUUUUUUUUUAUCUAGAAAGAGUCUUGGUCUUCAUUACAUCUUCCAGUUGGCUAACAUGGAUGUGAGCUUAGAUUGCGACAUUCUUCCCAAGAUUAAGAAUUAAUAAUUGCCUUUUAAAAAUUGGUCGCAAAAAAACAAUAAAAAGAAGAAAGAAGAUUUCGAAUAGAAGGCACACGAUUUAAGAAAUUGAUCAUGAAAUUGUGGUCUAUCAUUAGAACAUAUGCCAAAAAAUGGAACAGUAUCUACUAUCCAUUAUUAAAAGAUUUGCAUCUUGAAUAAUAUUUUAUUGGUCCGCAACCAUUGACUUAUCAAAAAUAGUCAUGGGACAAAUUAUUGAAGCCAACUAGAUUAUUCUAUCGAAAAAAAAUCAUAAAAGUGGAUUUUCUUUUUUUAUGGCCUAUCAUGAUCAAAUUUUGUCACACUUUCGUUUUAUAUCGAUUUUGGUAGAGGAAAACUAAUAAAUCCGAUUUAGCCCAAAAAAAGAAAAAUUGCCUCACUAGUCAGUGAUUAUUUGUCUUGGUCUUUUGUAAUGAUUUAAGUCUUGGUCUUUGUUUUUUUAUUUUUUUUUUCUAGAGGGAGUCUUAGCCUUCGUAACAUCUUCUUGCCGGCUAACAUGGAUGGGACCUUAGAUUGUGACAUUCUCCCUAAGGUUAAAAAUCAAUAAUUGUCUUUUAAAAGUUGGUCGCAAAAAAAUAAAAAUAAAAGAAGAAGAAGAAGAAGAAGAAGAAGAUUUUGACUAGAAGGCAUGUGAUUUAAGAAAUUGUUCAAGAAAUUAUGCUCUAUUAUUAGAAGAUAUGCCAAAAAAUGGAACACUAUUUACUGUCCAUUAUUAAAUUAUUUACAUCUUGGAUAAUGUUUUAUUGGUCCACAACCAUUGACAUUUCAAAAAUAGUUGCAGGAUGAGUUAUUAAAGCCAAUAGAUUAUUCUGUUUAAAGGACUAUAAAUGGGGAUUUUUUUUUGGCUAAUCAUAAUCAAAUUUUGUCACACUUUCAUUUUAGGGCCCGUUUGGUUCGGCUUUGGAGAAAUGCCCUUGGGAAAAUACAAAUACCUUUAAGAUAAAAUGGGUUUUCUGAAAUGCUAGAUUGUUUGGUAAACUAUAACUAAAUAGUGCUUUAGGGAAAUGCAAGACUGUUUGGUAAACAUAUAUUUGAAAAGCCCUUUAAUGUGAGUAAAUUAAGUUUUUUAGUUUUAGUAUUUUUAAAAUUGCAAAAAAGAAACAAUGACUAUAUAACCUUUUACAUUUUCAUGUUGAAAGUAAUGUAAAAGAUAUAUAUUAGUAAACUUAUUUAAAAAUUAUAUUAAAAGAUAUUGAUUAUAGAUUAGAUGCAAAGCUCAACUUUUGGCAUAGGGUUCUUUUAGGUUUGUUUUUAACUUUAAAUAAUUUUUUUAAUUAUUGUAGUAUUAAUCAUCUUCGUUAAUUAAUGAUCAUUCUAGUGUCUUGAUAAAAAGUUGGGCUAUUGAUUGUCAAAGGAUAAAAAUGACAAAAAAAAAAAAGGUGAACCCAACAUUUACAAAGGGUUUUUAUUAUUUUUUAAAAAAUAAAAAUAAAAUUCGAUGAAACUCCCUCACCAAUCAACAGCGGUUGGGAUGUGGGGAAGAUGAUUGGUUUAGAAAAAAAAAAGAAAAGAAGAAGAAGAAGAAGUUAAUGGAUGAAUAGUAGAGGUGGACUUGCAUUUUCGAAAUGCUAAAAGCCCAAAACAGAUCCCCACCUGCUUUGAGCUUUCAGCAUUUUAAAGGCUAGCAUUUGGUCAAGGACACCUCCAAAUGUUGAACCAAAUACCUAAAUUUUUUCCCAAUGGGCUUUCGAGGCUGAAAGCCUCUUGGGAAUGCUAAAUCAAACGGGGCCUAUAAUGAUUUAGGUAGAGGAUAACAAAUAAGUCUGAUUUAGCCACAAAAAAAAAUUAUUAAGUCUACCCCACCAGUCGCUGAUUAUUUGUCUUGGUCACUGGUUUGAGUCUUGGUCUCUGAUUUUCAUUUUUUUUUCCCACUAUAAAGAGUCUUGAUCAUGGUUACAUCUUCCAGCUGGCUAACAAUGGAUGGGAUCUUAAAAGGGGAAAUUCUCCCCAAGGUUAAGAAUCAAUAAUUGCCUUUUAAAAGUUAGUUACGGGUAAUGAUGGAGAAAUAUUCUAUUAUGAAAUUGAUUAUUGUAGGGUAAAAGCAUAGCAAAUAUAAAAUUAUUUCAAUUUAAAAACAAAAUUAGAUAGGAAUACUACUUUUGUUGUACUUACACAAUAUCAUCGUUAGAUUACUAUUAUUAUUUGUAAUCUUCACGAGCCGAUUCAAUGUUUUCCGAUGUUUCACGUAUUGUAAAGAAUGUAACCAACACUCAAAAGACCAUGGCAGUUUCUUGCAAUUGUAACGAAAGGGCAAAUGAAAAAAAAAAUUAUAUGUUGGAAAUGUGAAAUUGUUUGACAAACAUUACUUUUCAACUUGACCGCAGGAAGGAAACGAUAAAUAGAUGCUAAUUCACGAAUUUGUUAAAUGAUUCUUGUCCAUCUCCUUCCAAGUUCUAAACUUCAUCAAUUUAUCAAACGAGUGAAUAUAUUUUAGAUUAGUAAUAAUAAGGUGCAUUACAUAGUAUUUUCCUUUCGAUAAGCCAUGCAAUGCACUAAAUAAACCACAUAGCCCAACCACAUAUUUCUUCAUCCUAUGCACUUUGAGAAUUAAGGGAAAAAUUAAACCAUUUCAUGGCAUCUAAUUUAAUAAGAAUGGAUCGAGCAAUGAAUGGAUUUUGAGUCAAAUUGUUAUUUUGGACAUGCAUAAAAAAUGUUUAGAUGGGUGAAUUAUUUUUAGUAAUCUCAUAGCAGUAUGUUGGGUUACGACAUACGGAAAUCGGGUUGGUGCUCAUGGUUGAACUACAUCUUGAGAUAUGAUAUAUGCUCAUAGGCUAGUUCAGUCCUGGGCUUAAUCACAACCGACAUAGUUUUCCAACCUUGUUGUGACAUCCAGAAUUUUCAGUAUUGUUUUCUAUUAAAUUAAUCGGGCAUUUCAUUGACGUGUCUAUAGGGUUGUUCUCAGAGCUGAUCACUCUCGAGAUAACUAGACUAGCUGGGUAAGCCAUUAAAGAAUAUUAAGGCAAUGGAUUUGAGAAUUCGACCAGGAAGCGGCUUCUCGACCGUGUUCAUCUUUAGAGGUCAUUACUGCACAGUAAAGAUCGAAUUGAGAUCAGAGAUAGGUCGGUUCGACUGAGAUGUGUGGCCGAUCGUGGGUGACUCCACUAAAUUGGAAAAUUCUCGUCGACCGGCACUAAUUUGAUUUUCUGUCGUUUUGGUACCCUGUGUUAGUAGUCGAGCCAUCGAGAUUUUCACGACAAUUGAUAGUCGCAAAUGUGUCGAGUGGGUUCAUUGUGGCUCGAAGAAAAUCGACCACGAGUCAAUUGCCCUAAAAAGUUCUGAAAACUACCCGAUAGUCUAGGUCACACUAAAAGCACGCCGGAGUGAAAUUAACCGUCGAUUUGAGUCAGAUUUCAGAAAUCGAAAGUUCAGUGAUGUCACAAGCUAUUUUAGGAACGUCAACUCAGCCUCAGAAGAUUUUUCGGAGGUCCCGAGAUUUUUACGGAAAUUGGGUUCGGACGUCGUGGAAGUUUGGCCGAAGUUCGGAUUGGCUAAAUUAAUGGGAAAUUUGACUUUCGGGUUGAGCCGUUGUGUGUCGGGGAAUUAUAGAAAAUCAUUUGGGAUUUUUUCUACAUCAAAAUUGGACCUCAAUUUGGAGAGAAUGGUUGUGCAAGUUAAGCCAUCUCUCCCAAAUUCGUGUACCCCACCUAGCCACAACCUUUGGACCACUUGGUCUUCUAGAAGAGAGUGUUUUGAUGGCCUAUUGAAGGCCAAGUAUUCUUACAUGGCCAAGAUUGAUUUUGGAAGAUAUUUUGUGAAAUAUCCAACCAAGUGGAGCCCAACUCUUCCUCAUCCUCUCCAUCUUGCUGCCGUCAAUUACCUCUCUCACUCCUUUCCAUUUUUCUCUGGCGUUCGACACCUCCAGCAGCAAUUGAAGAAGACCCGGCUGCUUCCUUCGAAAUUUUCCAAGCGUCCACCAAGCUGCCCGAGAAGCUCAGCAUCUGCCGAAUUCUCCACGCUUCUCCGUCGAAAUCUUCAACGCCAGCCUCCACCAAAAAUCAGCCACCGGCAGUCCAGCGAAACUGCCCCUCAUCCGCUGCCACUUGCCCGCUUCUCUUUCUACUUCGGUCAACAAGCAAACCAGCGAAGCCUUGAAGACCGAAGCUCCACCGAACGAAGACUCCACCGAGUGAAGCCACACGCGAGCUGCCCCUCAUCCGCAUCUGCCUCUUCUUCGGUCAACAAGCGGACAUUGAAGAUCCCACCGAAGUAAAGUCUCCAGCAAAACUUCUCAGAGUCAACUUCAAGCCACGCCGAAGCCCCUUCGUUGACUGCAUCUCGUCCGCUCAGUCUUCAGCUGCGUGGACUCCUUCAGCUUGCUCAUCUCCACGAAGCAGGACGCCGAAGCUGCUUCUUUGCUGUUUCUCUCGCCUGGUCUGGCUUGCACUCUAGCUCACAGCCCAGCCCAUGAGGCCAAUGACUUCAGCCCAGCAAUUGAUUAAUUUCAGCAGCCCAUCAACUAAAAUUGGAGGCCCAAUUUUCAGCAAAGAAUUUUGAAGCCCAAGUGAAGUCAGUCCAGAAAUUUCAGCAAGCCCAACCCAAUUUGGGUCUGGCCCAAAAGCAAGAAACAAAUCUCAGUUGGGCUGAGAUUUGUUGGGGCCAAGUCCAAGGCCCGGUCCAAGUUCGCCGGUGUCGUCGAAAGUCCUAUUUCGGCCGCCGUCGCGUCGCCGUUGCGGUGAUUCGGUCCCCGCUUUUGAUCAAGUGAGUUUUACUCACUAAUGCUUUAUUAGUUUGCUAAUUAUGCUUAAGGUUGGUUAGAUUUAAUUAAGUGCAAUUAGGUGGUUAGAUUAGGUUAGAACAAUUAAUUUAGUGACUUAAUAAUGCAUGUUAGGUGGUUAGACCUAGUUAUUAGCAAGUAGAAAUGUUUGAUUAUUUAUUGAAUGCAUCUCGGGAUUUUUCCCAACCCGUCUCGGGCUCCAAUAAGGCAAUAUGGGCCUAAAUUGGAUUUUUAAUGUUUAUUUAUUUAUUUUCGAAAUUUAUUUAUUUAAUUAAUUAUUUUUCCGGAAAUUCAACCGGGAUGGCCGGUGACCGGAAAUUUCGUGCCGAUUGUCGUGGUGCAGACCGUUUAUUUAUUUGAGCUCUACGUUGUGUGGAAUUGAAUUUAUUGUGGAAUUUUAGGAAUUGUCUUAAAUUGUUUGUUAUUGAAUAUUUGAUUGGUAAUGGCCAAGCAUGGGUAUAUAGCGCCAGUACGUUGAUGGGCUAUAUAGUAGGGAGAAUGGUGAGACCAAUCAGGUACGAUAUUAUUGGACAUACGUGGUUCGGUGAUUGGAAGUAUCACUGGUGAAAACGGCGCCUUAAAGAACGCACGUAAAUGACUUAUAGACAAACGUGGUUCGGUGAUUAUGGGAAUAUCACUGGUGAAAACGGCGCCUUAAAGAACGCACGAUGUUGUCUAUAGCCGAUGUCACAUUGGCGAAAACGGCGCCCUUGAAAGGACACGUGGUUCGGUGAUCAAGGUUAUCACUGGUGAAAACGGCGCCUUAAAGAACGCACGGUGUCGGUGAUCGGUAUGUCAUUGGCGAAAACGACGCCCGAGAAACACAUGUGAUUUGGUGAAUGAGUACACCACUGGGAAAGCGUGGUAUGAGUGGGAAUGACCUAGAAAGGGUCUGGCUGACAUGUAAUCGACUUAGUCGAUUGAUCAAUGCUUGAUCGGAUGUCGUGAAUUGUUUGAAUGCUUGAGUUUAACCUUGAAUUGCAGGUUGGAACUGAGGCCAAGGUAAGUCCUCUGACUCGUGUUGUGCUUAGGCAACCGGAUGGCGUAUUAGUUUAUUAAUCGAGUCUUAGUGGGUAGGACUCGCUGAGAUGUGGUCUCAUUGGUUAUUGAAUAACCAUUUCAGGACCUUGAGGAGAAUCUAAGGAAGAGGAACUUGAAGAGGAGAAAGACUUUUGAGGGAGAAGAUGAUCCAGAGAGGGAUCUUGAAUGUAACCCGGAUGUGGAUUGAGAUCCCAUCCCUUUUGUGAACCCUGUCUUGGUAUAGAUAGGUGUGAGACUUUUAUGCUUUAAAUAGUAUUGUAAAUAUACUAUGAGUGGUGCUGUUAAUGAAAGUGUGGUUGUGAAUUUCAAUAUGAAAAAUAUGGCCUGCUUUCCUAUCCCAUUGUUUUAUUGUCCGGGGAUUUAUAACUGCUUCCGCAUGUGCUUAAUAAAAAGAAAAGGUCGGCGAUACAUCGUCCUGGGAUAUCGCAUUCUAAAAUUGACCAAGUAGAAGGAUGUGCACGCGUCCGAGGAUCGGGGCGUGACAUCCCCUUUUUGUGGUAUCAGAGCGAAUGUCAAGAUUGGAGUGAUAAGGAGCGUUGACCAUGGGAUAGUUAGUAGGAAAUGCCUUUAAAUUCAUGCUGGUGCAUGUCUGUGUUAGCUGAGUGCUAAAAUUGUUUGUUAUUUGAAUCGCUCCGCUUCUAAUUCAGUGUUGAAUUGGAAGUAGGUGUCAGUUCUUUAAAGCGACACUAUGAGCGAUCAGGAGCCGAGGACUCCUGCAAAGAGGGCCAGUAGGGCCGUGACUCGGGGGAGAGCGCCGGCUAGAGUCGGUACCCGAGGAGGCCGUGGUCUCGCGCCAGCUCAGGCUAGCGCGAGUGGAAUGAUUCCACCGGUUGUAGAGGCUAGAGUAGCACCACCUCCUGUUGGUGCUGGGGUAGCAGCCCCGGGUGAGCAAGGGACUGUAGGAAUAAACCAUGCUCUAGAUGCUAUGCGAGAGAUGAUGGGGCAACAGGCCCGAGAUCAGACUGCCGCCUUUACUGCCGCUGUUGGAGCCGCCGCCACUGCCGCUGCCAAUGCUGCCGUUGCUGCCGCUGUACCUGUCGCUGCACCUGCCGCAGCUCAAGCUGAAGGUCCACCUGGAAUAGUGGUCGGGAACAGACCAAUUCAUCAGUUGGUAGAACAAUUUAUGAAGUUGAAUCCGCCUCAGUUUACCGGGAUCGGAGACCCUGAAGCUGCUGCUUCAUGGAUCAAGAAAUUGGAGAAAGCUUUCGCACUGCUAAUGUGCAAUGAGACUGAAAAGGUACUACUUGCAACUUACCAGCUGGAUGGAGUUGCGGAUACUUGGUGGAAGACAACCCGAGAAACCAUGUUCCCGGAAGGCGUUGUUCCGGAGUGGAACACCUUUCGAGAAGCUUUUAAUGUCAAAUAUUUCUCAGAAACUGCCAAAGAGGUGAAGAUGGCAUAAUUUCAACGUCUUCACCAGGGUUCCCUAACCGUCGAUCAAUAUGAAGCGAAGUUCGCUGAACUUUCGCAGUAUGCUCCUGAAUUAAUUGCGAAUCCAGUAAACCGAGCGAGGAGGUUUAGAGAAGGAUUCAAGCCAGACUUAAGAAGUACAUUGGUUUCCCUGAACUUGAGGACUUAUAAUGAUCUUUAUGAGAGAGCCCAAAUGAUCGAGAAAGAUCAGAAUGACAGAGCUGCCUUGUCGGGGUCGAGAUUUAACUCUAAUCGAGAGAAUAUUCGUCAGGGAAAAAGACCCAUGCCGGGAGGUAGAUCCCAUGCCUCACCUUUCAAGAGGAGCGGAUUCAAUAGACAGAUGUCCAAUAACACGGGUAUAUGUCGCUUUUGUGGAAGGCGACAUGGGACAGCUCCAUGCCCAGCCAGGACAGGAGCCUGUUUUGAGUGUGGCCAACAGGGCCACAUCGCAAGGUAUUGUCCCAAGAAGCAGAGAGGACAACCGCAAUUGCCACCUCCACCACCGAGAGGACAGAUAAGAGGGUAUGCCCCUCAGAAUGUGCCGCAAGGAGGACAGCAGAGACCUCCAGCUCAAGGCACUGUGUAUGCAAUUACACAAGGUCAAGCAGAAGCUGCGCCUAACGUGAUAACAGGUAUGGUUUCGCUCAACGACCAACCUGCUUAUGCUUUGUUUGAUCUGGGAGCAACUCACUCAUUUAUUGUUGAACAGUAUGUUAAGUUGAUAGGAGUCAGUCCUAUAUUAUUGGAGUCGGCAAUGUGCAUAUCUACACCCUUGAAAGAUAAAGUUAUUAUUGCUUUGGGUUGUUCGGGGUGCAAGUUAGUGAUUGGUGAGCGAGAGGGGAAAAUAGAUCUUUUAGUCCUAGCCAUGUAUGACUUUGAUUUAAUAAUUGGCAUGGACUGGCUCACCAAGCAAAGAGCUAAAAUGGACUGUUAUCGUAAAAUGAUUCAGUUUGACCCGAUAAAGGGUGAUAGCUUCGAGUUUGUAGGAAGUCGGGGAGGACCCUCGAUUGUCCUAAUCUCGUCGCAAGAGACAACUCGUCUGUUAGACGAGGGUUGUCAAGGUUACCUGGCAACUGUCGUAGAUACGACAGUUGAAGAGCUGAAAGUGGAAGACAUUCCAGUAGUUCAAGAUUUUCCAGAUGUCUUUCCGAAGGAAUUGCCAGGUCUACCGCCAGAAAGAGAGAUUGAAUUUGUGAUUGAACUAGCACCGGGGACAGAACCGAUCUCAAAGGCACCGUACAGAAUGGCAUUGACAGAAUUGAAAGAAUUGAAAGUACAGAUGCAGGAAUUAUUAGACAAAGGAUUUAUUCGUCCUAGCGCAUCACCUUGGGGAGCACCAGUUUUGUUUGUAAAGAAGAAAGAUGGUUCAUUGCGGUUGUGCAUCGAUUAUAGACAACUCAACCAAGUGACCAUUAAGAAUAAGUAUCCACUCCCAAGGAUCGAUGAUCUGUUCGAUCAGUUACAAGGAGCAUCAAUGUUCUCGAAGAUUGAUUUGAGGACGGGAUAUCAUCAGCUGAGAAUUAAGAAAGAGGAUAUUCCUAAGUCAGCAUUUCGUACUCGGUAUGGUCACUAUGAGUUCACAGUGAUGCCAUUCGGGUUGACGAAUGCUCCAGCUGCCUUCAUGGAUAUGAUGAACCGAAUAUUUAAGGAAUAUCUAGAUUAGUUUGUGAUUGUGUUCAUUGAUGAUAUCUUGGUCUAUUCGAGAAGUGACGAAGAGCACGAGAAUCAUCUAAGAUUAGUGCUCCAGACGUUAAGGACGCAUAAGUUGUAUGCUAAGUUUAGCAAAUGCGAGUUUUGGUUGACUCGUGUCGCGUUCUUAGGUCAUGUGAUUUCCGGAGAAGGAAUCUCCGUCGACCCGAGCAAGAUAGAAGCCGUGAUCAAUUGGCAGAGACCGACAUCAGUGACAGAAAUUAGAAGUUUUCUGGGAUUGGCAGGUUAUUACAGACGGUUUGUAGAAGGUUUCUCAGCGUUAGCAUCGCCUCUAACUAAGCUCACAAAGAAAGACGAGAAGUUUAUAUGGACAGACAAGUGCGAGCGUAGUUUUCAAGAGCUGAAGGAAAAGCUGACUACUGCACCUGUGCUGACAAUUCCAUCUGGUCCUGGAGGAUUCGAAAUCUAUAGUGAUGCGUCAUUCAAGGGGUUAGGUUGCGUGCUGAUGCAACAUGGUAGGGUUGUUGCGUACGCCUCCCGUCAGUUGAGACCUCAUGAAUUGAACUACCCGACGCAUGACCUAGAGCUCGCCGCAAUUAUCUUUGCCCUGAAGAUUUGGAGACAUUACUUGUGUGGGGAAAAGUUUCAAAUCUUCACGGAUCAUCAAAGUCUCAAGUAUUUAUUCUCUCAAAAGGAGUUGAACAUGAGACAGUGUAGAUGGAUGGAAUUGCUGAAAGACUACGACUGUGACAUUCUGUAUCACCCAGGAAAGGCGAACAAGGUCGCCGAUGCUUUGAGUCGAAAGUCUUCAGUGGCUCAUAUACUGAUUAAGGAGUGGAACUUAAUCGAGAGAGCUCGGGAUUCGGUAUUCAAAUUUGAGGUAGGCCACCUCUCGAGUUUUAUGGCCGCCCUCAGAAUUGAACCGGAUGUCCAAGUUAGAAUCAAACAACUUCAACCGACAGACCCAGAUGUACAGAGAAUUCUUCAGGAAGACGCAGAGAAAAGAAAGGUUGAUUUUCAGAUUUCUGAUGACGGGACACUAAGAUUCCAAGGACGUUUGGUUGUACCUGACGAUGUAGAGCUUAGAGAAGAAAUUUUAUCUGAAGCACAUCGUAGUAGUUACAGCAUUCAUCCUGGAAGCACUAAGAUGUAUCAGAAUCUACGUCAACAUUAUUGGUGGUCAGGUAUGAAGGCAGAUAUCGCCAAGCAUGUGGCCAAGUGUUUGACAUGUCAACAAGUGAAAGCUCAGCAUUGCAAGCCAGGAGGACUUCUGCAACCUCUCACGAUCCCAGAGUGGAAGUGGGAACAUAUCAUGAUGGAUUUCGUGACUGGACUACCAAGGAGUCAGAGAGGGAAUGAUUCGAUCUGGGUAGUAGUCGAUAGACUGACAAAGUCGGCUCACUUCAUUGCAGUUCGAAAGGACCUCAGUUUGGAUAGGCACGCAGACCUAUAUGUGCGCCAAGUGGUUCGAAUGCAUGGAGUGCCGGUUACGAUAACAUCUGAUAGAGACCCGAGAUUUACUGUUGCUUUUUGGAAAAGCUUGCAGAGUGCUCUUGGUACAAAGCUUCAGUACAGUACGGCUUAUCAUCCUCAGACGGAUGGCCAGUCCGAGAGGACAAUUCAGACCCUCGAGGACAUGCUAAGAGCGUGUGUUAUAGACUUCAAAGGAAGUUGGGAAGAUCAGCUUCAUCUGGUAGAAUUCGCCUACAAUAACAGUUAUCAGCAGAGUAUUCAGAUGGCUCCAUUUGAAGCACUGUAUGGCAGAGCGUGCAGAACACCAGUAUGUUGGGAUGAAGUCGGGGAAAGAAAGAUAACAGGCCCAGAGUUGGUUCAGCAGUCAGUAGACGCCGUGACAGUGAUCAGAGACAGAUUAAAGACAGCGCAGAGCAGGCAGAAAAGUUAUGCAGAUAAGCGCCAGAGGUCUUUGGAAUUCCAAGUUGGUGAUCACGUUUUUCUGAAGGUGUCACCAAUGAGGGGAACUUCGCGCUUUGGUAAGAAAGGAAAACUGAGUCCGAGGUACGUAGGUCCGUUUGAGAUUCUUGAGAGAAUCGGGACCUUAGCGUAUCGUCUUGCGUUGCCGCCAAGAUUGGCGCAAGUGCAUGACGUCUUUCACGUGUCGAUGUUAAGGAAGUAUGAGCCUGACCCGACCCACGUACUCAAUUUUGAAGAAUUGGACGUGGAUGACCGUGUGUCAUACGUUGAAAGACCGGCCCAGAUUGUCGAUCGCAAAGAGCAAGUUCUGCGUACAAAGACUAUUCCCUUAGUCAAAGGGGUCUGGCAACACCACGGUACAGAAGGAGCGACAUGGGAGACUGAGGAGUCAAUGAGAGAAUUGUACCCCCACCUUUUUAAUCAAGUCUUGUAAGGUUUAAAUUUCGAGGACGAAAUUUUUAUAAGAGGGGAAGAGUUGUGACAUCCAGAAUUUUCAGUAUUGUUUUCUAUUAAAUUAAUCGGGCAUUUCAUUGACGUGUCUAUAGGGUUGUUCUCAGAGCUGAUCACUCUCGAGAUAACUAGACUAGCUGGGUAAGCCAUUAAAGAAUAUUAAGGCAAUGGACUUGAGAAUUCGACCAGGAAGCGGCUUCUCGACCGUGUUCAUCUUUAGAGGUCAUUACUGCACAGUAAAGAUCGAAUUGAGAUCAGAGAUAGGUCGGUUCGACUGAGAUGUGUGGCCGAUCGUGGGUGACUCCACUAAAUUGGAAAAUUCUCGUCGACCGGCACUAAUUUGAUUUUCUGUCGUUUUGGUACCCUGUGUUAGUAGUCGAGCCCUCGAGAUUUUCACGACAAUUGAGAGUCGCCAAUGUGUCGAGUGGGUUCAUUGUGGCUCGAAGAAAAUCGACCACGAGUCAAUUGCCCUAAAAAGUUCUGAAAACUACCCGGUAGUCUAGGUCACACUAAAAGCACGCCGGAGUGAAAUUAACCGUCGAUUUGAGUCAGAUUUCAGAAAUCGAAAGUUCAGUGAUGUCACAAGCUAUUUUAGGAACGUCAACUCAGCCUCAGAAGAUUUUUCGGAGGUCCCGAGAUUUUUACGAAAAUUGGGUUCGGACGUCGUGGAAGUUUGGCCGAAGUUCGGAUUGGCUAAAUUAAUGGGAAAUUUGACUUUCGGGUUGAGCCGUUGUGUGUCGGGGAAUUAUAGAAAAUCAUUUGGGAUUUUUUCUACAUCAAAAUUGGACCUCAAUUUGGAGAGAAUGGUUGUGCAAGUUAAGCCAUCUCUCCCAAAUUCGUGUACCCCCACCUAGCCACAACCUUUGGACCACUUGGUCUUCUAGAAGAGAGUGUUUUGAUGGCCUAUUGAAGGCCAAGUAUUCUUACAUGGCCAAGAUUGAUUUUGGAAGAUAUUUUGUGAAAUAUCCAACCAAGUGGAGCCCAACUCUUCCUCAUCCUCUCCAUCUUGCUGCCGUGAACUACCUCUCUCACUCCUUUCCAUUUUUCUCUGGCGUGCGACACCUCCAGCAGCAAUUGAAGAAGACCCGGCUGCUUCCUUCGAAAUUUUCCAAGCGUCCACCAAGCUGCCCGAGAAGCUCAGCAUUUGCCGAAUUCUCCACGCUUCUCCGUCGAAAUCUUCAACGCCAGCCUCCACCAAAAAUCAGCCACCGGCAGUCCAGCGAAACUGCCCCUCAUCCGCUGCCACUUGCCCGCUUCUCUUUCUACUUCGGUCAACAAGCGAACCAGCGAAGCCUUGAAGACCGAAGCUCCACCGAACGAAGACUCCACCGAGUGAAGCCACACGCGAGCUGCCCCUCAUCCGCAUCUGCCUCUUCUUCGGUCAACAAGCGGACAUUGAAGAUCCCACCGAAGUAAAGUCUCCAGCAAAACUUCUCAGAGUCAACUUCAAGCCACGCCGAAGCCCCUUCGUUGACUGCAUCUCGUCCGCUCAGUCUUCAGCUGCGUGGACUCCUUCAGCUUGCUCAUCUCCACGAAGCAGGACGCCGAAGCUGCUUCUUUGCUGUUUCUCUCGCCUGGUCUGGCUUGCACUCUAGCUCACAGCCCAGCCCAUGAGGCCAAUGACUUCAGCCCAGCAAUUGAUUAAUUUCAGCAGCCCAUCAACUAAAAUUGGAGGCCCAAUUUUCAGCAAAGAAUUUUGAAGCCCAAGUGAAGUCAGUCCAGAAAUUUCAGCAAGCCCAACCCAAUUUGGGUCUGGCCCAAAAGCAAGAAACAAAUCUCAGUUGGGCUGAGAUUUGUUGGGGCCAAGUCCAAGGCCCGGUCCAAGUUCGCCGGUGUCAUCGAAAGUCCUAUUUCGGCCGCCGUCGCGUCGCCGUUGCGGUGAUUCGAUCCCCGCUUUUGAUCAAGUGAGUUUUACUCACUAAUGCUUUAUUAGUUUGCUAAUUAUGCUUAAGGUUGGUUAGAUUUAAUUAAGUGCAAUUAGGUGGUUAGAUUAGGUUAGAACAAUUAAUUUAGUGACUUAAUAAUGCAUGUUAGGUGGUUAGACCUAGUUAUUAGCAAGUAGAAAUGUUUGAUUAUUUAUUGAAUGCAUCUCGGGAUUUUUCCCAACCCGUCUCGGGCUCCAAUAAGGCAAUAUGGGCCUAAAUUGGAUUUUUAAUGUUUAUUUAUUUAUUUUCGAAAUUUAUUUAUUUAAUUAAUUAUUUUUCCGGAAAUUCAACCAGGAUGGCCGGUGACCGGAAAUUUCGUGCCGAUUGUCGUGGUGCAGACCGUUUAUUUAUUUGAGCUCUACGUUGUGUGGAAUUGAAUUUAUUGUGGAAUUUUAGGAAUUGUCUUAAAUUGUUUGUUAUUGAAUAUUUGAUUGGUAAUGGCCAAGCAUGGGUAUAUAGCGCCAGUACGUUGAUGGGCUAUAUAGUAGGGAGAAUGGUGAGACCAAUCAGGUACGAUAUUAUUGGACAUACGUGGUUCGGUGAUUGGAAGUAUCACUGGUGAAAACGGCGCCUUAAAGAACGCACGUAAAUGACUUAUAGACAAACGUGGUUCGGUGAUUAUGGGAAUAUCACUGGUGAAAACGGCGCCUUAAAGAACGCACGAUGUUGUCUAUAGCCGAUGUCACAUUGGCGAAAACGGCGCCCUUGAAAGGACACGUGGUUCGGUGAUCAAGGUUAUCACUGGUGAAAACGGCGCCUUAAAGAACGCACGGUGUCGGUGAUCGGUAUGUCAUUGGCGAAAACGACGCCCGAGAAACACAUGUGAUUUGGUGAAUGAGUACACCACUGGGAAAGCGUGGUAUGAGUGGGAAUGACCUAGAAAGGGUCUGGCUGACAUGUAAUCGACUUAGUCGAUUGAUCAAUGCUUGAUCGGAUGUCGUGAAUUGUUUGAAUGCUUGAGUUUAACCUUGAAUUGCAGGUUGGAACUGAGGCCAAGGUAAGUCCUCUGACUCGUGUUGUGCUUAGGCAACCGGAUGGCGUAUUAGUUUAUUAAUCGAGUCUUAGUGGGUAGGACUCGCUGAGACGUGGUCUCAUUGGUUAUUGAAUAACCAUUUCAGGACCUUGAGGAGAAUCUAAGGAAGAGGAACUUGAAGAGGAGAAAGACUUUUGAGGGAGAAGAUGAUCCAGAGAGGGAUCUUGAAUGUAACCCGGAUGUGGAUUGAGAUCCCAUCCCUUUUGUGAACCCUGUCUUGGUAUAGAUAGGUGUGAGACUUUUAUGCUUUAAAUAGUAUUGUAAAUAUACUAUGAGUGGUGCUGUUAAUGAAAGUGUGGUUGUGAAUUUCAAUAUGAAAAAUAUGGCCUGCUUUCCUAUCCCAUUGUUUUAUUGUCCGGGGAUUUAUAACUGCUUCCGCAUGUGCUUAAUAAAAAGAAAGGGUCGGCGAUACAUCGUCCUGGGAUAUCGCAUUCUAAAAUUGACCAAGUAGAAGGAUGUACACGCGUCCGAGGAUCGGGGCGUGACACUUGUCACCUAGCAAAGCAUGACUAGGAUUGAGCAUUGGGGCAUGCCUGAGCUAGCACAACCUAGGCAUGGCUGGCAUGGGCCUAAAUAUUUUAAAGAAAUUAAUUUAAGCAAAAUUAAAUUAAAAAAUUGUAUUUUUUUUUCAAAUAAUGUUAAUAAUGAGAAAUUAUUUGAGGGAAUUAAUAAGGAAAAACACUCGUUCUUUUAAACCAAAUUGAGACCCAAGUACAUCUUCAUAUAAUUUUAGAAAAAAAUUACACUUAGUGGAGCUUUACUAAUGAUUUAACUCAAGCAAUCGUGUCCUUAGGCAACAUUACCUAGAAAUCAAUCAUUGUCUAAUUCGCCUUGUAUGUGCCUCAAAACUAGGGACUUGAUGAUUCUUAUAUACCAUUGGGUGAAGAGUGCUUUACCUGAUUCUUUUUGGGUUUGUGUUUUGCAUCUACCAAUUCCCAUAUGUAGAUAGCCAUUAAUUUCCUAAAUUUCUACCGUUUUUUUAUUAUGUAUAAUUAACCGUAUCAUAAUGAUGCUCAUACUUUAGCUUAACAUUAUCUCCCCAGCAAAAUGGAUUCUGCCCGAGAAAGGCACUCUAAAGAUCAAUGUGGAUGGCUCGAAUGUGAAGGGAGAGAGAAGAGGAAGCAUCGCCGGUGUUUGUGGAUACACUAGCGUGGAUUUACCAAGAAAGUGCGGACGAGUCUAGGAGCAUCGUGGCUGGAUUUACCAAGAAAGUGCGGGUGAACUCGAUCGAGCAAGUGGAUACUCUAGCGUGCANNNNNNNNNNNNNNNNNNNNNNNNNNNNNNNNNNNNNNNNNNNNNNNNNNNNNNNNNNNNNNNNNNNNNNNNNNNNNNNNNNNNNNNNNNNNNNNNNNNNUAAAAGAACUUACAAAAAAUUUUGUAGAAAAACUUAAUUGCGAAAGUUUUCGGUGAUUGGGGCUCUUCCUGAAAUUCUAAUAACUUUAAGACAACUUGAGUAGAGCUUGAACCUGCACAUCAUCAAGGAACUCGUUGAACUGCUUAAUUUCAUCCUAUUCGAAGACUAUCUUAUGAAUGUGCAGAUUCAUAAAAGGAGAAAAUUGGCCUAAAUGACGAGAACAAAUCAAUUUGCGCUUCUGCUCUUUUAUUUGAUGGUCUUGUUCGAGAAUCCGGUUAUCUCAUUGAACCUCUCACUUAUCUCCCCACCAGCAAUUAUCUCCCCAUUAGUGUCUUUACAUCAAAUCAUUUUUUUUUAUUUUUUUUUGCAUGGCUCUCACACUUGCCCAUCCACCACUGCGAGCGAUUGAUUCCAUGAAUCGCUCCGAGUCUUCGCCCGUUCGUGAUAAACAAAUGCAAAAAUGGCGGGUUUCUAGAAGGGCGACGGUGCUUUAUUUUGCUUGAAGAGGAUGAUUAGGAUAAGCCCUUUGCCUUCACCUGCCUAUUUCACCCAACUCCUGGAGGGAUCAUGGAGAAGAUGAAGCAUUGCGCCCCCGCCAUUGACGCGAUCGGUCGGAUGAAUUCGAAGGGAAUGACCCCCAACGUUUUUAGCCUUUGCAUUCUGAUGAAUUGCCUCUACAAAUUGAAAUGGUCCAAUCUUGGACUCAAACCCACAACCGAGAGCUUUAAUCCUUGACAGGUGGCUUAUCUUGCAUAGGCAAAUGGAAAAUAAAGCAAUGACUUUGUUGAUGAAUACAACACGAUUUAGUAUCCAUUAUUAAAAGAUUUGCAUCUUGAAAAUGUUUUUUUGGUCGACAACUAUUGACUUUUCAAAGUUAUUGAUGAAAUUAAAAAGACCAUCAAUGGAGUUUACUUUUUUUGUUAACUGAUCAUGAUAAAAUUUUGUCUCACUUUCAUUUUAUAUCGAUCUAGGUCAAGGACAACUAAUAGAUUUUAUUUGGCUAAAACAUCUUCCAACUAGACAACAUGGAUGGAACCUUGGGCUCCAUAUGUUUCCGGAAAACAUUAGACCAUGUGGUUGCAUCAAGAAGUCAUGAACUCAACCCUUCGCCAAUAGGGAGGCUGUUAUCAUCUGUGAACGCAAAUAUUGGUACAAUUCCUUCAUUUAUGAGAUUGGCGUAGUCUCAAAAGCUCAAGAAUACAUCAUAGGGAUCACUUCCCUCCUCCUGUUGGUGUUGGAGAGACGAAUGUAGAUAUAGACGCUCUGGUAGUGCUCUUAUUUUCGGCAUGCGGUAUUGCUUCCGCUGUUUUUUCUUGUCUUGAGAAGAUUAUAAGUGCACGGCGAAAGAAGAAUUGGCGCACCGCUAAAAGGGCACCCCCAAAGCCGAACUGUUGACACUUCCUUAUUUUCGUUGAUCCGGCUCUUCACUUCAAAAGAAAUGCCCUUCCUGUAGUGCAAGAGGGAUAGAUUAACGUAUGAACUGGACGUUUGCAUCAACUUGAAACGACCGCCACCACACGCUCAACAGUAAAGGGCACAACUUCUUUUACCCAAAGAAAAAAAAAAUUACAGACCCAAGGAUGUCAAAUGAAACCAGGAAAAACUUAAAGGGGGCAAAAAGAAAGCUUAAACAAACUUCAGAUGCGAAAUCAAAAUAUUCAAAAAUAGAAAGGGAAAACAUCAAUCCCGCCAUCGCUGGCGAGGUUCUUCGAACAGAGCCACUUCGAGCGCACGUUCCCGAGAGAGAGGCUAGCGACCGAUUCGAUUCCGGCUCGUGCAUCGUCGAUCGAUCAAAUCGCUUGAACAGGUUGGAAUUCCAUGGGGCAUCGGGGCUUGGAGGUAGAGAAAGCUCGGUUGCUGAACUUGGCUCUCGAGUUCAGCUUCGACGAGCAGUCUGCCAGCAAGUGCUUGGAUCGUUUCGUUUCGCUCUACGGUAACUCGAAUCAUUACUUCGAGUUAUGUAGCCCAUUUUUUAUGCUGAUUGUCAUUCCAGAGGUUCUGUAGGUAAUUCUCGUCCACCGCGGUGAUGAUGGCCGUGGAAUAGUCUGCUCUAGUUUUGAAUAGAUUGGAGCUGGUUCAGCAAAGUGGUCUUGCUGACGAGCGAAAUGUCCGGCACAAUUCUAGUUUGAUGUUUUAAGGUUGCUUCGGAUCUGGUGAUUAGGGAAUGAGGUAAUUGCUUGUGUUGUGUGGAUAAUUCGUGAAUCGAUUGAUUGUGCAUUCCUGGAUAAGGAGAUUUAUUGCGGUUAGUUGUCAUUCUAACGAUGGCUAUGGAAUGGUCUACCUUUUGGAUUUGGAUGGACCGGAGCUGGUUCAAUCUAGUUCAUUGAGCAGUAAUCCCGUCCCUACUUCUCUGUGGAAUGGUCUACGUUUUGGAUUUGAAUGGACCGGACUAGCAAAAUGUCUGACUUCUUCUUGAGCUAACCGCAAAAUUACAUAUGGUGUCUUGCCUUCAUAUUAAUAUGGCGUCUUGCUGAACUAAGUGCAAAUCACAUAUUUUAGAUUGUGUUUAUUUGAUCUCUUAUUUGCCAUGGAACUUACAAAAUCAUCUCUUUCGUCUUUUGGUUUUCUUAAGGUGACGAAGGUCGAGAGUUUAUCACUGUGGAGAACUGUGGCAAUGACUUCCUAGUAGAACUUGUUAAAACCAUGCGAGAUUCUAAGGAUUGGGAUGAUUUGCAAGCUAUGGAAAUCAGAAACUUGUGGAGUUUUGACUGAUAUGUUUGGCCAAGAUAUCAGUAGUGACGGUGAAUGCAAUGGUAUACAAGAUGUCGAUGUUGUAGAAGAUUCCCCACAACCUAAGAAAAACCAAACUUUUCUUGAGGUGAGGAUUCCUCUACUGAUAGUGAUGACGAAGACAAUAUAUUUUCAGUAAAAUGGGUAGGAAAUCUACAUGCUAUGUUCCUAACUAAAGCAGUACUCUAAGCGAUUCUUUCAUUCAACUUCUGGCAUCUUUAGAAUCCAUGGUAUGCUUCGACCAUGGACAUAGCCAAUACAUGCCAAACCACUUAAAUCACUGAGCCACUGUUAUGUUCUCAUAUAAUUUAUGCUCUGAUUGAUCAUUUGCAAUUUGCUUGCAAUUUUGCACACAGCAAAGGACCUACAUGAUGUACAUGUACAAAAGCAUUUAGUAAAUUGCUUAUGGGGCCUCUCAUCCAAUGAAAUGUCCAAUAGACAGUCAUAACUUUUGCCAAUUACUUCCACAAUCUUCAAGGUCGAAAAUGACAUAUUAGAACUCUUUGGUCAAUAGAAAAGUUGACUUUUGUUUUGGAUGAUGUACAAUUACCUAUUUUCUCAAAAUACUUUGAGAGUAUAACUGAUCAUCAAAGUGUGGAACUUAGCGAUCUGGUGUCUUUGAUAGGAAUGUUUUGCAUAAAUGAAGGCUUGUAAUUUAUUUGUGCACAUUUUUUUCAUUUUCCAUGACAAUCCAUGUCAUAAACUAUUACGGUGCUGAAGAGGUUUAUUCCCGUUGAAGGACUGUAAGAGCGCUGUCACUCAAGGUUCAAUAUCAGUUUCAAAUGAAAAUGGCCAAUGUUGUCAUAUUCGAAAAUAGUGCAUUUUGACCAAUGCGGCAUCAGGCAUGUAAAGUUUAUGUAGCCAAGCAAUUACUUCAUUCUCAUGCCCACUGGAGGUGGUAAAAGUUUAUGUUACUAGGUUAGUGAAUGUUAACAUUAUUUCAUUUGUGUAAUGAUCAAAUGUAGAUGUGCGUGUGGAGACAACAUUUGGAGCACAAGCCCUAUGCACUUUGCUCAAUGGUUUCACUGAUUAAAUACUAGACGGAUAGACCUGUACAUUGAAAUUUAAGAUUUAAAAUGAUCUUGUAAUCUGCUUUGUUAGCACUGUUGCAAAGUUUGUCCUUAAACUUAAGUUUGAAAAAUGUUUUCCAAAUGCAAAUUAAGCUAAAGGAAGUGAUUCAGGUACGGAACCAUGGGUUCCAAUGUACAGGAUUUGACUAAGUUGGAAAAGAAUAUUAUAUUGGACAUUCUUGUUCUACCUUCGCACAUUUCUAUCUAUUCUGUGAUUUCUAGAAUUUGAGUUAUCCUGAAGUACUUUCUGUUGAGUCUUGAAGUAGAUGAUAUGUGUUUCUAGUUGAAGUAAAUAUAAGACAGAUAGUGACAGCUAGUGCUUUCUGAUCAGCCGAAGGUGAAUGAAAGGAUAAUUCCUUCAUCCCAUCCUCUCUUCAUGUGCUCUUUUGAUGUUUUUAUCCUUCAUUUCAGCUGCCAACUACUCUUAAACCAAGUGUCACAUUCUUUAUAUGUCCCCUGGUAUCUAUCAACCAGGAUAAAACAAUUACUCUAACCCUCCAUAUGUUGCAAUGGAUGCACAUUUUUUUAUGUAUUUAAUGAAAAGAUUCAUGCCUAAGAUGUUUGCCUCAAAUAAAUUUUAGGAACUUAGUGUACCUAGAGAAGUACAUCAUACCAUACAAUUAUCAUUUUGCCAUAAAAUGUUGGGCUAUAAUUGUUGCUGUGAGGUUUCUAUUGGACUUCAAAACUUUUUUUUGCUGACAAUUGUGAUUAUCAAGUCAUUAAUACAUAAAAAAAGGUGCCUUUUCAGGAAAGUUAAUCCAUCGUGCAAGCUAUUGUAUGUAACUCUUGAAAGGAUUGUAGGAAACCCAUCAUUUCUUUUUCACUUUUUGAUGCUCGGCUGUCGUGCAUUGCAGGCACAACUAGCUGGUUUUGUUGUUGAUAAGACACAUUAAGUGAGGUAUGUUCUUUGGCAUCCUUGCAUCUGAAGCAAAGUUAAUGCUAAAGUUACUUCAAAAGGAAUAUGUAUUUAUGAUGUUGCCAUUGCAAAACCACUGUCCUUGUCCCAGAUAAAAAAGUUAACUUUUAUAUGUGCUCACUCAAACUCUCCUUUUUGAACAUUUUGCAUAUUAUGUAUUUCUAGCCUAAGUACAUUGUCGGUGUUACACUGAACCUUCUGAAACCCAGACUGUGACAUCCAGAUUUUCGGGUUUUAAUUUCGAUUGGAUAAAUAGGGCCGUUUUCAUUAAGUUGAAGCUGGGGAUUAUGAAAGUGAGGAGUAUGAGGAAUUAUUGGAUAAAGAAAAUAAUCAAUUUGAUAAGUGAGACAUUAAUUGAUUUUAUGAGUCAUUUGAGAGAAAUUCAAGAGGGAUAUUGGAUGCAAAAAUGCAAGAGGGGAAUCAAGAACUCUAAUAUAAAAUUCUUUUGGGAAUCUAUAAGUUUAUUCAAAAGAAAUUGAAAUAAGAAUUUUCUAUUUGAGAAAUUUUUUUUCUUUGGUAUUUAUUCUCAUUUCUGCUUUCCUUAUUUGGCCAAACACCUUUCCCCCUUUCUCUCUCUCUUUCUUUCUUUCUUUCUUUCUUUUUCUCUUUCUCUCCCCCUCCCCCUCGUGCGAUUCCUCCCCCCCCCCUUCCCCCCCUUCCCCCCACCGACUCACUUUUCUCUCUCCUUUUGACCAGUCAAAACUCUCUCUCCUCUCUCCUUCUCUUUUGACUCUCUCUCCCUCCUUCCCCUGUUCGCUCAACACCGAACGGAACCAGAGCAGAAGAAGAAGCGAAGACAGCAGCACCGAGAGGGGAAGACCGGAGCAGCUCGCCGUCGCCGCCUGUGCUCCGCCGCUCACCGCCCGCCUUCGCCUCUCCCUUGCGUCCCUCAGCUGUCGCUGCCCUCUCCUUCUCCUUUCUGGUUUGUGCAAAGACAGAAGCCGAAGAAGAGCAGGAGCAGCAGCUCGCCGAAGCCGCCGCUCGCUGCUCGUCCCGCCGCCCGCACCCGCGACGCCCGCCCGCGCACGCCGUGCGCUCCGCCCCGCGUCCGUCGCUCGCUGCCGCUCCUCCCCUGCGCGAUUCAGCCCUUGCUCCGCCUCUGCCCAGCUCGUCCAGCCGCCUCCGGCCGCCGCCCAGCUCCGUCCGGCCACCCUUCGGACCCGCCGGAGCUCCCCUUGCCCUCCGCCGGCCCCGCCUCGCUGUUUUGGCCGCCGGACUAGCUCCGGCCAGCCAAGAACAGCAACCCACGAAGUGGGUAUCCAGCCGGUUCGUGGGCCGUUUUGGGCCGUUUCCGGGCCCCGAACCCGAGGCCCGCUUUGGAGUUCGUUGUUCCUCGCGUCACCCCGUCGGAUUGAUCCGAUUUGCGUGCGAUUCCAGUGAAUAAUCUCCGAAUCCCUGAUUAGUUGACUAAUUAUGCUUAAGGUUGGUUUAGUUUUAAUUAAUUAGGUUUAGGUGGUUAGAUUAGAAUAAAUUAGCAAUUAUUAAUCAAUUGUGAUGCAAUUAGCAAGUAGACAUGGUCUACUAUUUAUUGGAAGUGUCUCAGAAUUUUUCCCGAUUCUUAGUGGCCUUCAAUUAGGCUUUUCGGGCUUAAGUGGAAUUUUUGGCAUUUAAAUAUUAUUUUUUCGAAAUUAAUUAAUUAAUUAUUUAUUUUCCAAAAAUUCAACUAUGAUGGCCAGUGACCGGAAUAUUAUGCUGAUGACUAUGGUGAAAUCCGUUUAUUUAAUCGGGCUUUAUUUUGAGCUAAAUUGAAUUUUUAAUAUUUAUUAAUUAAUUUUCGAAAUUAAUUAUUUAUUUAUUUUUCGGAAAUUAAGAUUUUGAUGGCCGACGACCGAAAUCUCGUGUUAAUCAUCGUGGCGCAGUCCGUUUAUUUAUUUGAGUUCUACGUUGCAUGGAAUUAAAUAAAUUGUGAUAUUUUAGGGAUUUACCCUAAAUUGUUUGAAAUUGAGUGAAAUUGAAUAAUUGAUUGGUAAAUGGCCGAGUAUGUUUAAUUAGUAUUUAUAAUGCUUUGAUUGAGUUGUAAAGUGGAUGGAAUCAUGAGAGUGAAUCGGAAAUACUCUGGGAUUAAACUGAUCAGACACGGUGUAUGGGCCUACAUGGUUCGGUGAUUAGGAUAUCAUUGGCGAAAACGGUGCCUUAAAGAACGCACAUAUCGGUCUAGUACAUACAUUAUUGUGGACCUAUGUGGUUCGGUGAUUGGGAUAUUACUGGCGAAAACGGCGCCUUAAAGAACGCACGUAUCGGUCUAGUACUCAUAUUGUUAUAGGCAUAUAUGGUUCGGUGAUUAAGGACAUCACUGGCGAAAACGGUGCCUUAAAGAAUGCAUGCACUUGUCUAUUAAAUACAUUGUUAUAGGCAUGUGUGGUUCGGUAAUUAUGGACCUCACUGGUGAAAACGACGCCUUAAAAAACGCACACAAUUGUCUAUUGAGUACAUGGUUAUAGGCAUGCGUGGUUCGGUGACUAAGGAUGUCACUGGCGAAAACAGCGCCUUAAAGAACGCACGCAAUUGUCUAGUGGAUAAGUCACCUUGGUGAACUUGACGCCCGAGAGCAUUGACCUAGAAUGGCCCGUCUGACAUGUAAUCGAUUAGAUCGAUUGAUCAUUGCUUUUAUUUGAUGUUGUGAAUUGAUUGACUGAAUGGAAAUGACCGUGAGUGGUCUUGUUGGCAUAUAAUCGACUAAGUCGAUUUGAUCGAUGCUUCGAUCGGUGAUAUGAUUGCUUGGGUGCCUAUUAUGAAUUAUACUGACUUGUAGGUGGGAUCUGAGGUCAAGGUAAGUCCUCUGAUCUAUGCAUGUUUAGGCAGCCUAUAGUAUAAUGGUUUACUAAUCGGGCCUUAAUGGGGUAGAACUCGCUGAGACGUAGUCUCAUCUCGGUUUGGAGACAACAUUUCAGGACCCCGCUGAGGAGCUGAGGAGGAAGAGUUUGAGAAGGAGAACUCUGGGUGAAACCUGAGGAGAAGAAUUUUGGAAGAAGAAGAUAACCCAGAGAGGGAUCUUGAGUAUGACCUUGAUGGGCUGGGAUUUCAUCUUCUUUUGAGAACUCCAUUUUGAUGUGAAUAGAGUAAAGUAAAAAGUUGUGAAGAGUUGUGAAGUACUCUAGUUUAUGUCAUGUAUAAAAGUUUGGUUAUAAGUUUCAAUAUGAAAAAUAUGGCCUUGCUUUUCUAUCCCAUUGUUUUAUUAUCUGGGGAUUUAUAAUUGCUUCCGCAUGUGCAUAAUAAUUGAAAGGGUCAGCGAUACAUUAUCCUGGGAUAUCGCAUUAUAAAAUCGACCAAGUAGAAGGAUGUGUGCGUGCCCGAGGAUCGGGACGUGACAUAGACCUUCUUUGAUGACGUGUCCAUGUUUGGCUUGGUAGUCAGGUCUCUUAAGGUGGUUCUUGUGUCCCUAUUUAUUCUUUUAACCUUUUUACUAUAUAUUAACAAUGUGGGAUAUAAGGAAAAAGUUCGCCCAUUGGAUCAUUGGUUGUGUUUCUUAUGAGGUCUUUACUGGAUUUGUGCUGCCAGUACCAUCUCAUGAAAGAAACAUACUGUGAUUUGAGCUUUUCUCGUAUAUUUGAAUGAUUGUAAAUGAGUAACGCUUAUUGAUCAUUACUUUCUUUGUUGUCAUUAUUGCAGUCCAUGGGGAUGUGAAUUUUGUCCAAAUUAUAGAGGACUGGAAUGUCUCAAGCAAAACUUCCCAUAUGUCCCAACGAUGGCCUUAACUGCCACUGCCACCUGUUCAUGAGGUAUGAAACUUGCACAUUAACCUCGAAGUUUUGCUGAAAUAAUCAUUUAGGACUGAUUGAAAUCUUGAAAGCUCUCGGGAUCCCCCAUGCUCUUGUUCUUGAGACAGAUUUGACAAACCAAAUCUAAUGUCUGAGGUCUUAGCUAAGACCAAAGAACCAAUGAAGUAGCUUGAAGAGCUAUUAAAGAAUCAUUUUGCUAAUUUUUGUCGCAUAGUAUUUUGCCUCUCAGAGAGUAAAUGUGUUGAUGUUACAAAAUUCUUGAAUGAUACAUGUGGUAUAAAGAUGGUGUACUAUCAUGCUGGAUUACCAGCCCAUCAAAGAGUAGCUGUUAAAAAGAAAUAACAUACUGGAGAGGUCCAGGUUGUGUGUGCUACCGUUGUUUUUGGCAUGGGAAUAGACAAACCUGAUGUUGUAAGUUGAAAUGGAUUUUGUGCCUUUGUCUAUUUUUUGUUUUAGAAUCAAAUUGACACGUACUCAAUUAAUCCACUUUUCUUCAAAUGUUUAAGUAUCGCUAAUUGGUUUCUUAGUGUGCUUUGAAGUAAACUUUGCUAGUUGCAUGGUUCAGUGACCUGCUAAAUUAUCAUUCUUGGCUAUUUUUCAAGCCAAAUUCUUUCUUCCAUGCAUGGAACUUUGGUGUGCUGAAAUUAAGUUAAACUAGGAUAAAGUUCUUUUCUUUACUGUAAAAGUGGCAAAUGACCCUGAUCUAACUUGACCUUCAGUUAUAAUGUUUUUGUCAUAUUAUAACUUUUUUUUAAUUGGUUCGGUAAUUAUAUUUUAUGGCAUGUGGUCAGCAUUUUGUCAUCCACAACACAAUGUCGAAGUCAAUCAAAAGCUAUUACCAAGGAUCAGGGAGGCAGGAAGCAGCAAUUUUUCCACUUAACUUCUGGCCAGACGAUCUUUAGAAUCCAUGGUAUGCUUUAACCAUGGACAUAGCCAAUAUAUGCCAAACCACUUAAAUCAUUGUCACUAUUGUGUUCUCAUAUAAUUUAUUCUCUGCUCGAUCAUUUCCAAUUUGCUUGUGAUUCUGCACACAGAAAAGGACCUACACAAUGUACAUGUCCAAAAGCAUUUAGUAAAUUGCUUAUGGGGCUUCUCAUCCAAUCAAAUGUCUAAUAGACAGUCUUAACUUUUGCCAAUUUCUUCCACACUCUUCAAGAUCCAAAAUGACAUACUAGAACUCCUUGGUCAAUAAAGCAGUUGACUUAAGCUUUGGAUGAUGUGCAAAUACCUAUAUGUCUCAAAUACUUUGAGAGUAUAGCAGAUCAUCAAAGUGUGUAUUAGCAAUCCAGCAUCUUUGAUAGGAAUGUUUUGUGUAAACGAAGGCUUGUGAUUUAUGCUGAGUGUUGUGACUGUCAAAUUAUUAAUCUCCACUUUUGCUUUGCCUGCCUUUUUAGAAAAGAUAAACCAUCGUGCAAGCUACUGUAUGUAACUGCUGAAAGGAUUGUGGGAAACCCAUCUUUUUUUGAGAUAUUGUAAUGCUUGCUUACAAAGGGAUUGUUUCUAAUGCACCAUAACUUUUUCUGAUAGGUUCUUUGUAAAUUUAUUAUAUUCGACCAUCAUGCAUUGUAGGCACAGCUAGCUGGUUUUGUUAUUGAUGAGGCACAUUACGUGAGGUAUGUGUAAUAUUUGGCAGGCCUUGUACAUGAAGAAAGAUCAUGCUAGAGUUACUUCAAAAGGAAUAAUUAUUUGUGAUUUUGCCACUGGAAAACUAUUGUCCUUGUUCCUGAUAAACAUAAGCAAGUUAACUUUUAUAGAUGCUAACUUUAACUCUUUUUCCAAACUUUUCCGCAUUUUCUGGGUUUCUAGCUUAAUUAAAUUGACAGUGUUAACUUUACCAAAAUAAAAAAAAUAAAAAAAAAAUGAUAGUGUUAAACUAGACCUUCCGAAGCCCCAGAACCCUAUAAAAUUCUAAUAUAACCGAAUGCAGUGUUCCUUAUUUGAUGAAAAGAUUUAGGUUCCAUUAUUUGGGAACACUUAGUGGCACAUCGUAUAUUAUAUUGAGUAAAGAGGACACAACUCAAUAAAACUGCAAUGGAAAGUACUUCCUAGAGUAAUUGGAUCUAGCAUAAGCUUGGAUAAGGAUCCAAUCUCCUCUUUAUGUUUGGCAGGACACUCAAUCUCUUGAGUUGGUUCUUGUAUCCCUAUUUAUUCCAUUAACGCUUAUAGUUUAUGUUAACAACUUGAGAAAGGUAAAGGUUCAACCAUGUGAUCAUUGAUUGUGUUUCUUAAAAUGUCUUAACUGGAUUUGCUCUGCUAGUUUGAUCUCAUGAAAGGAACGUACUGCUGAUUUGAGCUUUUCUUGAACAUUUGACUGAUUAACAUUGAAAGCUCAUUCAUUGUCACUUUCGUGGUUGUCAUUAAUGUAGUCUAUGGGUACAAGAUUUUCAUCCAGAUUACAGACUGUCAUGUCUCAAGCCUAACUUUGCAUAUGACCCAUUGCUGGCCUUAGCUGAAACUGCCACUCACUCAGUUCAUGAGGUACUAAACUUAUAUAUUAACCUCCUCAUCAUUAUGUUGAAAUAAUCUGUUCAUUCUGAUUGAAUUAUUCAUACAUCGCAGGAUAUCCUAAAAUCUCUUGGGAUUCCCCAUGCUCUUGUUCUUGAGACAAGCUUUGACAUACUAAAUCUAAAAUAUGAGGUUAUAGCCAAGACCAAGGAACCACUGAAGGAGCUCGGAUAGCUGCUAAAGAAUUGUUUUGCUAAUUUGUGUGGCAUAGUAUAUUUGCCUUUCAAAGAGUGAAUGUGUUGAUGUCGCAAAAUACUUGAAUAAGAAGUGAUGUAUAAAGACAGUGUACUAUCAUGUUAGAUUAGUAGCCCGCCAAAGGGUAGCUGUUCAAAAGAAAUGGCAAACUGUAGAGGUCCAAAUCGUAUGUUAUAAAAAGAAAUGGCAUACUAUCAUUCUCGUGUUUGACUAGCUAUAUUAUAAAUUAUAUAAUCAAUACAUUGACUUUACUAGCAACUUUUCUCAUGUUAUAUAUAAUCAGUAGGCUCAAAAUUAGAUUAUUUCGUGUUUGAUAUAUUUAACUAAUGUUUUGACUUGUUAGUGCGGCCCGCAUUACGUAUGAUUUAGUGCUUGAAUAUGCAAACUUGGCUUAACAAGUUAGUUAAAGUUUUGGUAAACAACGACUAAAUUUGAAUAUAUGAUUAUCUUGUGAGUAGCUUUUAACUACUAAAGUUCCACUGUUGUAAUGUAGUAUGAUGAAGAGGAACAUUUGACAGUACUGGCCCCAAAGACAAUGGUUCAAUUGAAAGUUGAAUGCAUGACCAAUGACUAUAAUUUGGUGUAGUAGAGUCCAAGUACUAACCAAGUAGACGACCGGCUUGGUCCAAACCAAAUGGAUAUAAAUUUCGGGAAGAUUUAACAUUUUCUUUAUCAGUCAACUAUAGCCAACACCAAAGAAAAUUUGGUUUCAAGUAUGAUAAUGUAUGGCUGUGUCUACACUGCUUUAUAGGCUCAUGCUUAAAGGAAUCAAGUUUGAGAUUAUACUAUCAAAGUGAUUGCAAAAUGCCAAUACAUGAACUUCCUAAAAUCCAAGAGCUGAUUGUACACUAACGAACACUUCUAUUUUGCGCUCAAAAUUCUUCCGAGUGAGAAACUACUGUCUUUUGGGAACCUUUUUACUGAAAAUCUUGCCUGCAAUUGACAGAUUAUUUGCUGAUUCCAUGAUAUUCGCUUUUUACAUUAAAGAAGUCUCUCACGUUCACAUAAUUGCAGCUAGAAGUGGACAUCUAAAACGGUAAUCUUGUCGACAUACAUGACUUUGUGCUUAACUUCACAUCCAAAACCACCUGUACAUGCAGUCUUCCUGCAAGCAUUUUGAAAUUCUACCUUUGCUAAAUAAUAGCACGAUGUCAAAGUUUGCAAAGGACUAAUGCGCCGCAUUAGUAGAGGUCCCUUUAUAUCAAGAAUCCUAUCAAGAUUAUCAGCAUAGAGCACAUUAUAAACACCUUUAGCAAAGAACUUUGGAACACCUUUCCAUAAUGUCUCAUGACAAAUUUCAUUUCGGUCCACAUCUCCGUCCUAUGAUGCUCGGGAAUGUUCUCUGAAUUUUAUGAAAUGCAGCUUGAAUCUACACAAGAAGGAUAUGAUUUACUAAUUAUCAAUAAAUGGGGAUAUUUGAGAUUGGAGCAUCACAAUUUACAUCAUGAAAGAUAAGGUACAAAUGCACAAACAUCAUUUGCACCAAUUGCAAUUGGACCGUAAUGAAUAGAGACUUCAUGAGCUGGCCGAUGAAAACGUAAACAACAGGCUUGGAAGAAGUAACAAUUAGCAACACUUUCCUUGUUUGUGUUUAGGAACAUAGUUUUUUUUUUUUGGGUCAGGUGUUUAGGAACAUAAUUGAUGUCAAUAAACAUAUGCUGAAAGCUGAAGUGCUUAAACUACAUAAUAGAAAGAUAAAUUUAUUAUUUGGUUAUUUCGCAAUAUCCUGUUAGCAAAAUCAGCAAAACAGGAUAGUUUGCUAGGAGGUGAAUUUUAACUUUACAAAGUCAACGUCGCAUGAAAACUGACCUUAUCAAGUUAAAAAAGUCAGAAACCUAUAUGACAACAUUCAAAGGAUAGUAUCUCAUUGAUGAACUGAUAGAAAUGAAGGAGAUUGUCCUCACGCAUACUUGCAUACUUUUUCAGGUGCAAUUCCAUAGCUCAUAUAGUACGAGCAAACAAGUUAUUUUUCCAUUGUUAUGGUACGACCAGUAGUGCAUACCUCCCUCUGCAGAGCCUUAUCGAGUUCCGGAAUGAUGACAUUAGAAUGCAACGGCAUUAAACAAACAUUUCUGCAUCAGGGUGACAUACAAAAAAAUCAGCAGCUACGUAUUGGAUCAAGAGAGAGGUUGAACCUCAUGAACAUACAAAAAGCAGACUCAACUCAAAAUACAACAUCAAAAUCAUUCGAGUAUGUGCUGUCGAGACCAGAUAAAGUGUACUAGAUCCUCACAAGCAUAAAAAAUUCCCCAAGUAACAUAGAGAAUCUCAAGCGAAGACAAGUCACCGAUUUCACUUGGAAUUGCUCUUUCAGAUAACAGCAUGAUGGGAAACUUAUAGUGCACCAUAUUUUUCAACCUUCCUAUAGCACUAGGAAGCUUUUCAAUACUAGAACCACUAAUGUCUAGAUGUUGCAAAUUCUGUAAAUCUCAAGUUGAGCUAGUGAUAUCUGUGAGCGACUCACAACAGCUGGCACUCGGUUAGUCCAGCUUCCUCAGAGAACCGAUAGACGUAGGAAUCUCAGUAAUAUCAGCAAAAUCUACUAUAAAUUCUAAUUUGACAGAUUCACCUCCUUUCAGUUCUAACUCACAUACCCAUCCGCUCUUGGUCCAGUCCAUUGCCACAUUCUUCUUCCACAAUCCCAAAUCUCCUGUGGAUCCUAAGAUUGCCACACUCUCCCCAAUUUCAACUUGGCGAUCCAGCCGAACGCUGAGAUGCACCUUCUCCCGUCCCAGCAAUCAUAUGAUCUUCUUUGCUUUCUUCUCCUCUUCUCUGCAAUGAACACAUUAUUUCAUAGCUUCUACCAAUAGCCUGCUUCCUUGUCUAAACAACUUAAACAACAAUUUUCACUUGAACCACCGAUUCAUUGUUUGUCAUUUAACACCACAUUCAAAGAGAAACCUCAAAUCAAGACGGUGUCAAAUAAUCCGUGCCACUAGCUUUUAUUGCAAGAAGAACUUGAAAGAAAAACAGAAUAACUCUUUUUUCCGCACCGAUUCUUGUUCAAGUAAUAAACCCCACAUAAACUCCAUCCACACUAGAGACUCAGACAAACCUUCGAUUGAGAAUUCCAUUAAACAACUCAAUACUUCACUCCAAACCCUAGUGCUUGAUUAGACUGACAUAAGUGCACUAGAACAAAUCCAGAGAGAGAGAGAGAGAGAGAGAGAGAGAGAGAGAGAGACCUGGUUUUAGUGGUGAAAACACCACGAACAACCAUGAAGGAGCGACUCUGAGCUGCAUGAGCUCCAUGCAUCCACAUGAGAGAAUCUCGAAGGGGAGAAGUAAUGCUGCUCUUCAAGAAAAAACCGGUCUCUUUACUUGGUUUUAGGAAUGAAAAUGCACAUGGCUGUGUCUCUUCUGAUUUUAUAUUCAUGCUUAAAUAAAUCAAGUAUGAGGUUAUAUGACCAAAAUGUUUGGAAGAUGCCUACAUAUGAAUUUCCGAUGUAACCAGACCAAACGGAUGAUUUUAUAAUGCCAUUAUUUUGGGUUCAAAAUUCUUCCAAAUGAGAAACUACCGUCUUCUUGGAAACCUUUUCAUUGAAACUCUUGGCUGUAGUUGACAGAUUAUUUUUUGAUUCCAUGGCAUUAGCUUUUUCCACAAAAAAGUCUCUCCCAGUCACAAAACUGUAGCUUGAAGUGGACAUCUAAAUGGUAAUCUUGUUAACAAAUCUCAUUUUAUGCUUGACUUCACAUAUAAAACCACCUGCACAUGCAGUCUUCCUCCAAGCGAUUUGUGAUGCAGCCUUUGCUAAAGAAUAGCACAAUUUCAACCUUGCAAAGGACUAAUACACCACAUGAGAAGAGGUUGCCUUACCUCAAGAACCUUUGAAGAGUAUUCACGACAUGGAGCAAAUGACAAAUUCCAAUGGCAAAGAACUUCAAAAUGCCUUUUUAUACUGACAUAGCUCAUUCUUGCCCUUAUCUAAACCCUGUGGAGUUUGGGGACUUCCUCUAAAUUUCAUCAAAUGCAGCUUUAAUCUGCACAAGGACGAUAGCACUGAGUAAUUAUCAAUAAAUUAAGAUGUCCAAGAUCGUAGCAUCAAAAUUUACCUCAUGAGAGAUUAAGGUAAAAAUGCAUAAACAUCAACCCCAAUCAGAGUUGGACCACCAUGAAAGGAGACUUCAUUAGCUGGCCAAUGAAAAAGAAACACACAUGCUUCAAAGAAGUAAGCAAUUAGCAACACUUUCCCUGUUUGUGUUUAGGAACGGAAUUGAAAUUAAUAAUAUUAUGCUGAAAAGGUGAAGUGCCUAAACUACAGAACAGAAAGAUGCAUUUCCUACUUGGUAAUUUUGCAAGAUCCAAUUAGCAAAAUUAGCAAUACUAGAUCGUUUGCAAAGAGGUCAAUUUCAACUUUACAAAUCCAAUGCCGCAUACAUGAGAACUGAGCUUGUCAAACCUAUAUAAUAACAUUAAGAGGAUAUCAUCACACAAAUAAACUGAUAGAAAUGGAGGAGCCUAGCAAUGCAUAUCUCCCUUUGCAUAGCGUCAUCAAUUCCAGAGUUUAGACUACAACCACAUCGAACAACUCUGCAUCAGGGUAACAUACAAAAAAUCAUCAACUUAGUUUUUGAUUAAAAGAGAGCUAGAACCUAAUGAGCAUACAGAAAGCAUAUUUAAUUUAAAAGAAAAAAAAUACAUUUACAAUCAUUUAGGGAUGUGACAUUGAGAUCAGAUCAAGAGUUUUUGAUCUUCACGAGUAUCAAAACUUCCUUAGGACACUCCAGUCAGCCCCAAAGCCUCUUCAAGUUUGGCACGCAAGAUAGUCCUCAGCUAUUGCUGAUGCUUCCUCUGCAAAAUCCCUUUUCUUUAUUUUGAUCAGUCUCAAGUAUGGAAUUUGAAGUCCCUCAGCCAAGUGAGCCACACCCAAAUUAGUCAUGUAAUAAAGCAAUUCCAUGGCAACAAUAGGAUCAAACGGUAUGCAAACUAAUUGCAAAUUCUUGAGCUCCUCAUCCUAGCUUGUUUCACGAUGGGCAAAACAUUUUUCAUUAAUGCAAAACUCAUCGAUACAGUUAAUCGAACUGAAGUCCCAAAGUAAGCCUUGAUCAUUACACAAACCAACCAAACCUGUCAUGGAAGCAGCAUCAAUUUACCUUGCUUGAUAAUAUUCAAAACAAUAGUUUGACUACUAGUAAUGUUAAGGUGGCGUACAUUCAUAUAUGGCAGACUAGCAAAAACUACUUUAACAUUUUUUUUUUAUCACAAACCAAAAACACUUGAUAUGUUUUAUUUUAGCUCACUUCAUCAUACUUAAUGGGAAUUGAUGCUAUUCUCAGAAAGUCCAAGAGGGACAUCAAGGGAACAAUAAGAAACUUGAUAGGGUUUCUGUUCAUCGCGAAAAACCAAUAUGUUUGUCUCAAAUAGGACAUCCGCCAUUAGUCAAAUUUCACACAAAAGAACUCACAAAGUAACUCAAAAUGGCCAAGGAUUUUUUCAAAGAAAAUAUUAAUUCUGGACAUGAAAAUUUUGGAUGUAGUUUACAAUAUUGAGUAACAGAAGUUCAUCAACCUCGAUUUGAAAAUUUCAAAUCCCAGGUUUACUUAUGGAGGAACUGCUAAAUCACUUGGGAAUUCUUGUUUACCUUUGCUUGAUAUUUUCAUCCUUGCCUCACAAAUCUGUUUGCAGUCUGCAUAAGCUGCCAAUGGAAGGAUAAACGAAAAAAUAUUGCUACAUCGUAACCAACAGCAAUAUGUGUAGGCAAAUUUGGAGUUUCCAAAAUCAAUCAAAUAGACACCCAGGGCAAAAAAAAUCAUUCUAAAAGAAAUUAAAAUAAAGCUUCGAGAAAACUAUUACUCUAUUUGCUCACGCUGGCUAUUCAAGGGUGGAGAAUCUUACUAUGCCUUCUAUUGACAUUUGGGUUUAUAUUUUGAUCUUGGCUGAAGCAUCAUGUAUGACCAACUCCCCCAUUCCUUGAAUUGUGACAGAACCCUGUCAUGGAAAACCUUCUUGUCAAAAGAAGAUGGGGAUGAAAAGUAGGUCAUGAAUCUCAGAAGAAAAAUGAUUGUUAACUGCUUAUUUACCUCUGUUGAGGAAACAUCACUCCAAAAAUCAAAAGACAGCUCUCGUUCAUAAUUUCUAAAGAUGCGCGUUUCGGCAUUGCUUCCAAUGAGUCACAACCGGAAAUAUCCAAAUCAAUUAAAUCCAACUUUUCAAGUCCCCGAAGCCGAGGAGGUUUCUUGCUGUCUCGAACUCUUAGAGAUCCUAACCUCUCACAUCCCAUCAAAUCUGGAAAGUCUAUUGAUUUGCAUCCUGUAAAAUCCAAGUCUUCUAAGAACUUCGCACCAUCAAGACCUUGAAUUUCGACUAUAUUGUCACUCCCGACAGCCACUAAUUUCUUCAGACACCGUGAUUCUGGACAGAGAAGCCUUUUAAUGGAAUUGCAAUCAUAUAUAAAUAUGACCUCCAAAAAUGCCAAAUUAUCAUGCCCUGAAUUUCAACUAGGCUAUUGCAAUGCUCAGCGUGCAAUCAUUUCAGACGAGUCAAUCGUGAAAGGUUCAAUCUUUCAAUGGAACUACACUUUUCUAUGGAAAAUCUCGAGGGAAGGGAAGUCACCAAUUUCACUUUUCAGACAACAGCACAACGAGAUAUGUAGAGUCUGCAGAUUUUUCAGCCUUCCAAUCGCAUUGGGAAGCUUUUUGAUCGCAGAAAAACUCAGAUGUUGCAAAUUCUGUAUAUCCCCAAUCGAACUAGGGAUUUCUCUCAGGGACUCAUAACCAUAAGCGCUCGAUUUCUUCAACUUCAUCAGAGAACCAAUAGACGUGUUCAUGGUCAUCAAGAGAGAAAAAAAAAUCCUUCCCAUCCGAGAAAGGGGAGAGGCCGGGAGAGAGAGAGAGAGAGAGAGAGAGAGAGAGAGAGAGAGAGAGAGAGAGAGAGAGAGAGAGAGAGAGAGAGAGAGAGAGAGAGAGGAGAGAUUGAGUACAAGGAUGGACCCGUGGUCACCGAGCUACCGAUCCCAUGGAGUUGGCCGGAGUCUAGAGAUCAUGACAAUUCAAACUCUUAACCAAAACCAGAUGUACGUAGCCAAAUCCCGGCCUCGCAUGCUCGAACACGCUUCACCCCCGCACAGACUAGACAACGUGAAGGAGUCGGCGAUAAAAGCAUCGUGGUGGAAUGAUCCGGAGAAGAAGAGGAAGAGGAGGGUGGCCAGAUACAAGCUUUAUUCGGUCGAAGGCAAGUUCAAGGCUUCUUUCAAACAAGGGUUCCGAUGGUUGAAGCGCAAAUGCUCGACCUUCGCACGUCGAUUCUAAUUAGCAGAAAUUAAGGAAUACCGUGUCCGUCGUCAUCAAGAGAGAAAAAGGGUGAGAAAGAGGAAACAGAGAGAUUCGCUGUGAUCUUUGGGUGUUCAUCUUUAUAUGUAUCUAAUGGUAAUCAAAUAUUCAAAAGGGUGCCGCAAAUGUUCAAUCUUUCCGAUAUUAUGUUCAUCUGACUCAUUGUUUCAUUUAUCGAUCUCCAGCAUUCAAAACAUAGGUAAAUGAGACUCGUACAUGACAGUAAUAUAUAUUUAUAUUUGCCGAUUUUUCUUUUUCUUUUUUGAAUUUUCUUACCUUCUAAUACAUUUGUAACAGGAUUGUGCAUCCAUGCCCAUGCAAAGUAGAAUUGUCUGAUUUGUUCAAUUCUCCUCUUUUCUGUAAGCUCUUUUCCUAGUAAAUGUGAUGCUGAUUGCAAAACCAGAUGAAUACUUGUAUUUGUAGGAUUGACAUUACCAUCUAUUUUGUGGUCGAUUUUGUUGGGUACGAUUUUGUUUUGGCCAAAUCUUGGUUACGCCUUGUUCCUGGGGUUCUUCAACCCCCUAAUUUCCUCAAUUUGUCUAGUUCGAUUCCUCUUCGUUGUACGAUUCAUCAUAUGGCAACAUAUAUUGCUGAAGUAGAUAUUCUAAAAUGACAUGCGCUGGUGCUAAACAAAAUGAAAGGCUUUCGAUGGUUUUAUUUUGAUUUGAGGACAAUUUUCAUAUUUUGAAUAUCCUCCCGUUGAGACCGGAGUUACGAAAAUGUGCAAAACUGAAAAGCCCAAAGGGAACCCUCUUUAAUUCUAUCAAAACUUGCGUAGUUAUUGUUCAAAUGGUCGUAAUUUAUAGGAUCUUGAUGUAUAAUGUGAUAGAACUUUCAAAAACAAGGUCAAAGCAAAUCUCUAGCAUGAAAUUGAAGGAGAAGGAAAGUAUGAAAACUCAUGAGCAGAACCGAACCGGUUCACCAGGUUUAACACCUUCAUCCAGUUAUCCAGUCGAUUCACAGUUUUCAAAUUUUAAAUCAAUUCAGCCGAUAAGGUUGUGACUAAAAUUCUAAAAGUAGUCAAAACACAUGGCCAUUGCCCUUCAGAAUAAUGGCUUAGACAAUGGUUAAGCAACUUAGUAAAUAAAGUGUAGACUCAAUACAUCAACUUUACUUGUGAUUUUUCUUGUGAAAUGUUCGAUCAAUAUUCUGAAAAUUUAAUUAUUUCACAUUAAGUAUGUUUAACAAGUAUUUCAACACGACCAGCACUAUAUUUGUGUUAGUAAUUAUAGAUUCGAACUUGGCUUAAAAAGCUACUUGGCCUUACAAGCUACUUGGCCUUGUAUUGAGCUCUGGAAAAAUUGAGUAUUAAGUUCAAGUAGACAAGCAGCGAAUCAGACAGAGUACCUUGCCAUUAGCGCUCAGCCUUUCAACUACUAAAAUUCCACCAUUGUCAUCUAGUACAAGGGUACAGGAAUAUCAAAACGUGACCUCAAAGAAAUUGCUUCGCGUGACUGUUUAACACAAUUUGGUGUAGUAGAGCCUGUUUAUUAACCAAUAAGAUGACCCUUUUAAAGUUUUUUGUUCAAACCAAAUGAGUAAAUUUUGGGAAUGACUCUUUUCACCCUUCCAAAAAUUUCCCACCUUUUUCAAUAGUCUUCAAUUGUAGCCUACCUACGCCAGAGAAAAAUAGGUUUUAGAUAUGAAAAUGUACAUGGAUGUGACUCUUCUACUUUUAGAUUCAUGCUUAAAUGGUUCAAGUUUGAGAUUAUACGACCAAAACGAUUGCAAAAUGCCUACAUAUGAUUUUCCAACGUAACCUGACUAUAAAGAUGAUUUUACACUAAAUGAGAAAACUACUGUCUUCUUGGAAACAUUAUCAUUGAAACUCUUGCCUGUAAUUGACAAAUUAUUUGCUAAUUCCAUGGCAUUCGCUUUUUCCACGAAAAGAAUCUCCCUGCCACAAAAUUAUAGCAUGAAGUGGACAUCUAAAUGGUAAUCUUGUUAGCAAAUCUCAUUUUAUGCUUAACUUGCAAAUGCAUUCUUCCAACAAGCAUUUUGUGAUUCAGCCUUUCCUAAAGAAUAGCACGAUGUCAAAGCUCGCCAAGUCCUAAUGCACCAUAUGAGAAGAGGUCGCUUCACAUCCAGAAUCCUUUGAAGAGUACUAACAACACAAACGCCAACAGGAAAGAACUUCAGGAUGACUUUCCAUAAUGACAAAGCUCAUUCCUGCUCGCAUCUCCAUCCCAUGGUGUUUGGGGACUUUCUCCGAGUUAAAUGAAUUGAAGCUUAAAUCUACACAAGAGGAAUAGCACUGACUAUUGUCAUCAGUAAUGAAAAAAACCGAGAUACAUAGCAUCACAAUUUACCCCAUCAAAGAUAAGGUACAAAUGCAUAAACAUCAUUUCCACCAGUUGGACCACAACGAACAGACGCUUCAUUAGCUGGUUGAUGAAAUAGAAAACAACAGACUUGGAGAAGUAAGCAAUUAGCAAUACUUCCCUUGUUUGGUUUAGGAACAGAAUUGAUGCUAACGGAAUGAUGCUGAAAAGGUGUGAGUGCCUAAACUACAGAACAGAGAGAUGUAUUUGUUACUUGGGUAUUUCACAAUAUCCUAUUAGCAAAAUCAGCAAUACCGGAUAGUUUGCAAGGAGGUCAAUUUCAACUUUACAAAUCCAAUGCCGCAUACACAUGAGAGGUGAGCCUAUCAAAUCAGAAACCUAUAUGAAAAUAUUUACAAGAUAUUAUCACACUAAUAAACUGAUAGAAAUGAAGGAGAUUGUCAUCAUGCAUACUUGCGUACUAAUUUCGGGUGAAAUUCCAUAGCUCAUAUAGUCUAAGCACACGAGUUAGUCUUUCAUGGUACAACUAGCACUGCAUACCUCUCCCUUCAGAGCCUCAGCGAAUUGAGGAGUGAUAUAUUUAGAAUGCAACUUUAUCAAACAACUCUGCAAUAGGGUAACAUACAAAAAAGUUAGCAGCUAUGUGUUUGAUUAAUGGAGAGAUAGAACCUAAUGAGCAUACAAAAAGCAUAUUUAAUUGAAAAAAAUACAUUUACAAUCGUUCAAGUAUGUACUGUUGAGACAUAAUCAAGUGUUCGAAUAUUCACAAGCAUCAAAACUUCCUCAGGACACUCCAGUUGGCCCCAGAGCGUCUUCAAGGUUGGCACACAAAAUGGUCCUCAGCUAUUGUUGAUGCUUCCUCUGCAAAAUCCCCUUUCUUCAUUUUGAUUGGUCUCAUGUAUGGAAUUUGAAGUUCCUCAGCCAAGUUAGAACUAGUAAUCAUGUUAACAAAUCUCAUUUUAUGCUUGAAUUUACAUAUAUAACCACCUGCACAUGCAGUCUUCCUGAAGUGAUUUGUCAUUCAGCCUUUGCCAAAGGAGAGGACGAUGCCAAAGGUUGCAAAGGACUGAAACACCACAUGAGAAGAGGUCGCUUUACAUCAAGAAUCCUUUGAAGAGUAUUAACAACACAGAGCACAUGAUAAGGAACUUCAAGAUGCCUUUCCAUAAUGACAUAGCUCAUUCCUGCAGUGUUUCAAAACUUUCUUCAAGUUUCAUGGAAUGCAGCUUCAAUCUACACAAGGAAGAUAGCACUGACUAAUUAUCAAUAAAUGAAGAUAUCUGAGAUCCUAUUUUUAUUUAUUGAAAAUUCGGAUUUAUUUCUAUAAAAAAAUUAAUUAUAAAGUCUUAUUGAAACAGUGCGACUGUUCACAAAAAGUUACAAUUAUUUUUAUUUAUUUAAUUCCGAAUUUCUUAUGUCUUUUCAACGUAACUUUUGAGACAUACUUGUUCAUUUUACAACCUUUCCCGAAAGGUUGUCUUUGUUCUUUUGCAACAUUUUGAAGAGUUGCAUCUAUUCGAAAGACAAAGAUAAGUAUGCAUGUUUUGAGAUCAAACACGUAUCUUCUUCCAUUUUUUUUCGUUUUCUUUCGAGAGAAAAACAACAGCCAUUGUUUCUAAUUGUUUCCCAUGAGAGACCCUGGAGAAAUACUAGAAUUGCUAUCUAGUAUUCUCACUUGAGACUUUGUUGUAUUCUGGAGGAAAUUUGCCGGUGACCAUUAGCAACGUAGUGGGGCAAAUAAAUCCUUAAAGAAAGUGAUAUCACGCCUCAAAGUCCGACUUGAGUACUCUAAAGAUCCAACUUCAUUGUUCUACCCAAUUCGAAGCCAUAUUUUCCCAACACCUGCAGUGUUUCAAAACUUUCUUCAAGUUUCAUGGAAUGCAGCUUCAAUCUACACAAGGAAGAUAGCACUGACUAAUUAUCAAUAAAUGAAGAUAUCUGAGAUCCUAGCAUCACAAUUUACACCAUGAGAGAUAAGGUACAAUUGCGUAAACAUCAUUGACACCAAUUGCAGUUGGACGACAAUGAACAGUGACUUCAUUAGCUGGCCGAUGAAAAAGAAAUCAACAAGCUCAAAAGAAGUAAGCAAUUAGCAAUACUUUCCCUGUUUGUGUUUAGGAACAAAAUUGAAGUUAAUAAAAUUAUGCUGAAAAGGUGAAGUGCCUAAACUAUAGAAUAGAAAGAUGUAUUUGCUACUUGGUUAUUUUGCAAGAUCCAAUUAGCAAAAUCAGCAAUACCAAAUAGUUUAUGAGGAGGUCAAUUUCAACUUUACGAAUCCAAUGCCGCAUACAUGAGAGCUAAGCCUAUCAAAUCAGAAAUCUAUCUGAGAACAUUUAGAGGAUAGUAUCACACUAGUAAACUGACAAGAAUGAGGAGAUUGUCAUCAUGCAUACUUUUGUCCUAAUUUCAAGUGAAAUUCCACAGCUCAUAGAGUAUCAGCACACAAGUUAGUCUUUCAUGGUACAACUAGCAAUGCAUACCUCCCCCUUCAGAGCCUCGUCAAGUUCAAGAGUGAUAACAUUAGAAUGCGACUGUAUCAAGCAACUGUGCAUCAGGGUAACACAUAAAAAGUUAGAAGCUAUGUGUUUCAUUAACGAAGAGGUAGAACCUAAUGAGCAUACACAAAGCCUAUUUAAUUAAAAUAAGUACAUUUAGGUAUGUGUUGUUGAGACAAGAUCAAAUGUUUGAACAUUCACACAAAUCAAAACUUCCUUGGGACACUCCAGUUGCCCCUAGAACGUCUUCAAGGUUGGCACACAAGAUGGUCCUUGGCUGUUGCUGAUGCUUCCUCCGCAAAAUCCCUUUUAUUCAUUUUGAUUGGUCUCAUGUAUGGAAUUUGAAGUUGCUCAGCCAAGUUAGCCACACCCAAAUCAGAUGAUAAAACAAUUCCAUGGCAGCAAUAGGAUCAAAUGUGAUGCAAACUAAUUAGCAAAUUCUCGAGCCCCUCAUCCCAGCUUGUUUCACAGACCAGGCAAAAAUUGUCUAAUUAUGCAAAAGGUCAUCGACACGGUUGACUGAAUUGAAGUCCCAAAGUAAGCCUUGAUCAUUACAUAGACCAACCAAACCUAUCAUAGAAGCAGCACCAGUUUACCUUGCUUGAUAAUAUUUCAAAACAGCAUGACUACCGGUAAUGUUAGAUGAUCUACAUUCAUAUAUGACAGACUAGCCAAAACGGCUUUUCACAUUUUCUUUGUCACUAAACAGAAACACUUGAACCUUAAAUUUUAUUUUAGCUCAAUUCAUCAUAUUCCAAGAAGCAAUGCUCUUCUUAGAAGGUUAAUGAGGGACGUCAAGGGAACAAUAAGAAAUUUGACGGGGGUUUCGUUCAUCACGGAAAAUCAAAAGGUGUUUGUUCCGAACAGGAUAUCUACCAUUACUCAAAUUUGUCAUACAAAAGAACUUACAAAGGAACUCAAAAUGGCCAAGGAUUUUUUUCAAAGAAAAUAUGAACAUUGGACAUUGGGAAAUUCUGGGUGUAGUAUACAAUAACGAGAGUAGAAGUUCAUCAGCCUCUAGUUGAAAAUUUCAAAUCUCGGGUUUUUUUAUAAGGGAAAUGUUAAUUACUAGGUAAUUCCUGCUUAUCUUUGUUGGUAUUUAUAUUCUUGCCUGGCUGCUAUAUGUUUGCAGUCUACAAAAGCUGGCAGCGGAAGAAUAAACAAAAAACAUUGCUAUAACGUAAUCAACAGCAAUUAUAGAGAGGCAAAUCCGGAGUUUCCAAAAUCAACCAAAUAGAUACCCAGUGUAGAGCAAAUCAUUCUAAAAAUUUCUCUCUUCGCUCAUGCUGGCAAUUCAAGGAUGAAGAAUUUUACUAUGUCUUCUAUUGGGUCUCCAUUUUGAUCUUGGCUGAAGCAUCACGUCAGCUUCUGGCCAACUCCCCCACUCCUUCAAUUAUGUAAGACUAGCAAUUUAGACCCUGCCAUGGAAAGCCUUCUUGUCAGAAGAAGAUAGUGAUGUAAAGUUGGUCAUGAAUCUCAAAAGAAAAAUGAUUGUUCAUUGCUUAUUUACCUCUAUUGAAGAAACAUUACUCCUCUCACUGUUGUAAUAUGGGUGUAAGAUUUAUUACAUCAUUAUCACCGCAAGAUAAUGUUUUCAAAGAGAACUAAAAACAGGGAGGUAGUUCAUAAUUUUUAAAGAUGCGCAUUCCAGAUAAGUUAGGUAUUGCUUCCAAUGAGUCACAACAAGAAAUAUCCAAAUCAUUUAAAUUCAACAUUUAAAGUCCCUGAAGCUGAGUAAGUUACUUGCAAUCUUGAACUCUUAGAGAUCGUAGCUUCUCACAUCCUGUCAAUUUUGGCAAAGCCUCCAUUGAUUUGCAUCCUGUAAAAUCCAACUCUUCUAAGAACUCCGCAUCGUCAAGACCUUGAAUUUCAACUAGAUUGCCGCAACCAAAAGCCUAUAAUUUCUUCAAACACUUGCAUUCAUAUAAAAAUAUGACCUUCGAGGACUCCAAAUUACCAUAGCCCUCAAUUUCAACUAGGCUAUCGCAAUGCUCUAUGCAUAAUUUCGGAUGACUCAAUCAUAAAAGGCUCAAUGUUUCAAUGGAUUGCAAUUUUUUUAUUUAGUCUUCUAAGCGAAAGUUCUGUCAGCUUAUCCCACUCCUCAAAAUAGAUCUUCAAUCAUUUUGAGGAAGGCCCGCAGAUGUCUUCAUGUAAAUGGCGUACCUCAAGAUCAAGUUCUUCUAGGUGGGUGAGGCUAAAAAGCUGUGGCAGUCCAAGACUCUGAGAAGUGACCAACAGAUCUGUUAAGCCCGAAGGAAGCUAUGGCAGUGACUGAAGCCAGUGACAACUCCUUAGGUCAAGGCGAAGAAAGAUUCCUGACGCUUUUUGGCAGGUCAGUUAUCGGUGUGCUAUCGAGAUUGAGAAUCUUAAGGGAAGGCAAGUCACUGAUUUUGCUUGGAAUUACCCCUUUCAGACUAAAGCACCAUGAGAGAUCUAGAGUCCACAGAUUUUUCAACCUUCCAAUAGCACUGGGAAGUUUUUCGAUCCUAGAAAAACUCAAGCUCAGAUGUUGCAAAUUCUGUAAAUCCCCAAUUGAGCUAGGGAGAGGGGAUUUCUCUCAGCAACUCACAAUAGCUGGCACUUAGUUUCUUCAGCUUCCUCAGAGAAGCAAAAGACGGAGGAAUCUCUGUAAUACCAGUGACACACAUGUAGUCUUCCUGCAAGUGAUUUGUGGUUUGGCCUUUGCUAAAGAAUAGGACAAUGCCAAAGUUUGCAAAGGACUAAAACACCACAUGAGAAGAGGUCGCUUUAUAUCAAGAAUCCUUUGAAGAAGAUUAACAACAC
rnacentral:lncRNA from 1 species